rnacentral:lncRNA from 1 species
CCGGUGGGCAAGGUGUGGCACGUGCCNNNNNNNNNNNNNNNNNNNNNNNNNNNNNNNNNNNNNNNNNNNNNNNNNNNNNNNNNNNNNNNNNNNNNNNNNNNNNNNNNNNNNNNNNNNNNNNNNNNNNNNNNNNNNNNNNNNNNNNNNNNNNNNNNNNNNNNNNNNNNNNNNNNNNNNNNUAUUUCAGCACAUGACCAUCAUCAAAAUCAAGUUAUUUCCAUGGAAGUGGAACAAACUACAAAUUCCGUUGAAGCUAUAGUGGAAGAGAAUGUAGAAGUUCACGGGGUUGAAGGUAUAACUAUUUUUAGUGAAGAUUACAUAAAUGGUGAUCCAGGACUUCGCAUUCCACUUGAUUGUUUUGCCCCCAACAUUAGAGAUGAUGUUAGAUUUGCUUAUAUACGAAUGGGUGCAACUCAACCAACAAGUUGCAUUUCCCCCCCAAAUAGAGAUGGAAGAUGCUUCCGACCACAAUGGUAUAAAGACUUUGCUUGGUUGGAAUAUAGUGUAACAAAGCAUAAGGCUUAUUGCUUCUGUUGUUUUCUUUUCAAGCAUGACCGAAUGGAUGAUAAAUUUGGGCAUGAUGUCUUCUCCAAAUUUGGUUUUGACUGUUGGAAAAAUGCAGUUGCAGCAUUUCGUAAACAUGUUGGUGGGCCAUGUAGCAUCCACAAUAUUUCAAAGACAACAUGUGAUGAUUUUAAAAAUCAAGGGGCAAGUGUGAAAAGUAAAGUUACAAUUUACAGCCAAGAUUCACUAGUCAAGUAUGAAACUCGUGUCGAUACAUCUUUGGGCAUUGUAAGUUAUCUAGCAUUGCAAGGUGAACCAUUUCGUGGACAUGAUGAAUCCAGUUCUUCUUUGAACAAGGGGAAUUUUUUAGAGUUGCUUGAUUGGGUCAAAGAAAGAAUUCCAGAAGUGAAGGUUGCAUUUGAUGAGUUAUGUCCUAAAAAUGCCAAAAUGACUUCCGGGACAAUUCAAAAAGACCUUGUCAAACAUUGUGCAAAUGCAGUCAUCAAAGUAAUCAAAGAAGAGAUGGGUGAUUGCCUUUUCUCUGUUCUUAUUGAUGAGUGCCGUGAUAUAUCGGUGAAAGAACAAAUGGUCGUGGUUAUCAGGUAUGUAUAAUGUAUUGAAGAAUGUUAAGUGUCUAUGUGUUUUUCCUUCUGUUAUAUGUAGAGUAGGUUAACUAAUUUUAUGAUUGUCUACUUCUACAGGUAUUUGAGCAAAAAAGGAGAGACCAUUGAAAGAUUUUUGGCUAUUAAGCAUGUUCCAGACACAACAUCUGUUUCUUUGAAGAAGGCAUUGUUGGAGGUUUUUGCUAAACACGGUUUAGUUGUUGCAAGACUACGAGGGCAAGGAUAUGAUGGGGCAUCUAAUAUGAGAGGAGAAUUCAAUGGACUUCAGAAGUUAAUUCGAGAUGAGAACCCAUAUGCUUUCUAUAUCCACUGCUUUGCCCACCAACUGCAGUUGGUAGUUGUUGCUGUUUCGAGAUGUUGCAAGGGUGUUGAGGAUUUUUUUUGAAUAUGUGACCAUGAUUGCCAAUCUCAAUACUUCAUAUUGCAAGAGGAAGGAUAAAUUGCUUGACAAGCAAAAGGAAAUUCUUUUGGAUAAGAUUGAGAGAGGUGAGAUGACCACAGGAAGAGGGAGAAAUCAGGAAACAUCCUUAGUCAGACCUAGAGACACAAGAUGGGGAUCUCAUUACACAACCUUAUCUCGCAUUGAAUCAAUGUGGGAUGCAGUCAUAGAAGUUUUGGGCAUUGUUGAGGAUGAUUUGCGUGUUCCAUGUAGGGCAGGAGGUUUGGUUCAUCAAAUGGAAACUUUUAGCUUUGUGUUCAUCCUGAAGAUGAUGUUAAAAAUCCUUCGUAUCACAAAUGAUUUAUCUCUUCUAUUGCAAAAAAAGGAUCAAAAUGUUGUUCAGGUAUGUGAUGGAUCAUGUUAGAUGUAUGUAGUAUGGUUCAUAUAUUUAGUUCAUGUCAGCAUACAUGCAUCUAAAAUUGUAUUUAUCUCAUUUCAGGCAAUGUCAUUGGUUACGGAUGUGAGAACACGUUUGAUCAACUUCAGAAAUGAUGGUCGGCAGCCACUAUUGGAAGAUGCCAAAGCCUUUUGCACCAAAAACGACAUUCCAAUACCAAAUAUGGAUGACAUCUUUACAAAGUGGGGUAAAUCAAGAAAAUGUGGACGAAACAAUGUCACAGCUGAUCAUUUUUUUCGUGUGGACACCUUCUAUGCUGCUAUAGACUCCAUCACCACAGAGUUCGAUCAUCGUUUUAAUGAGGUAUCUUCAGAGCUGCUCCAGAACUUCUCUUGUCUUGACCCAAGAAACUCCUUUUCUAGGUUCAACCUGCAUAAACUAGCUAGACUCACAGAGAUAUACCAUGAUGAUUUCUCUGAUUAUGAACGUGAACAUAUAGAAGAUAACCUUGAUCUAUUCAUUAUCCAUAUGAGAAGAAUUGAAGACUUUAGAUCUUGUCAUGAUAUUGCAAGUCUAGCUAAAAUGAUGGUUGAACUUGAAAGGCAUGUCAUGUUUCCUACUGUUUAUCGCCUCAUUGAGUUGGCAUUGUUACUACCGGUAGCGACAGCAACAGUUGAAAGGGCCUUCUCAUCAAUGAAAAUCAUCAAAACUGAGUUGCGCAGCAAGAUGACAGAUGGUUGGCUUAAUGACUUGAUGGUUUGUUAUAUUGAGCGAGAGAUCUUCAAAAGUAUUGAUCUUGGUAAAAUUAAGGAAGAUUUUCAGAAUGAGGGUAGGGCAUUGCCAUUACCUGGGUCUUCUAGACGUCAUUGAAAGCUUCAUUAUCGGUAUGUUUUAGGUUGUUUUUCUAUUGAAACAUGUCUACAUUUUUAUUGUAUUUGGUUUUCAUUUGUAAUGUGUAUUGAGUCUUUCGAUUUGCAUUAAAAGAAUUCUUUCCUUAAGACUUCGCCACACCUUAAAUUUUUUUUCGUCCUCCGCCUCUGCUUCGGCUAGUUCCAGAUUAUGCACUUCAUCAACAUGGCUCAUGCUACCACUUGUACAAAUCCCAAUAGAUUUUUUAUAAUCAAAAAUAGCCCAUGUGCCGUGAAUUGGAGAAGACCACAGGAUCAACAUUCGUCAACAUGAACUUUAUCGGUGGUAGAGACCAUUUUUCAAUCGACCCCUGGUUCUCACACCAUGUGGACGUAGUCUAACCGGAAGCAAUGAACUCUAGAUUGUAACAAUUUGUCAUCAAUUUGACAUCCCUAGUAUAAAUGUAAGAAAUCAGCAAUCAUGUCAUAUUCUCCAAUGAUUUCCUUACGCAUAUUUCUUGAGUGGUUUUGGUUGCAAGAAAACUGUCUUUCUUGUAGCAUCAUCCACUCGCAAGUGAUCAUACGCACUACCUCUUGAAUCAGCUAGUUCAUCUCUACAAAAGUACAAGUUGAUAGCACAAUCAGCUACUUCACCGAGACAAGUAUAAAGAAUGCAAAUUAUUUCCCCUAAUAGUUUCAACAAGAACGUCCAUGAAGUAGAGGUAUGUCUCACUUGGCACAACUUGUCGACCUUCCAUAAAGGAUGGCUUGAAGAGGAUUGCUCGGGCGAUCUCAAUGGAAAAGUUCCAACUCAGCGUGUAAUUCAGAUAUUUUAUUCCAGCUCAGGUUCAUAAGAUUAAACCCCAAAGUUUGAUUAUGCCUCUGAUGAACAAUCAAAGAGCAAACACAAUAUAAAUAGCAUUCAAAACACAUUAGUUUUGCAGUGGAAUGCUCCAUAAUUAAAUAUCUAUGUGGAAUGGCAUGAGAGUCUUUUAGCCACAAGAUAAUCUUGCUCAUACAAUUCUAGUAGGUCACACAUAUUACGCCAAAUAUAUCACCAAGAGUGAUAACUUUACAAGUGACAAACAUUAAGAGUUGAGACUGUGUGCUGAGGGAGAGCAUCUUGAUCUUUGGGUUUUUAUUGCUGACAUCAAGGUUGCUGUAAUAACACCUACCAUUCCUCACACCUAACUUAAUGAACAGUGAUUACCAUAGUGAAAUGUAUUGAGAGAAGAAAAAAACGAGGGACGACGAGGGCCCAAUUAACAUGCUGAAUGGGGAUCGAAUUUGGAGCCGCACCCAUGUCGUGUAACUGGCGGCCUUACUCGCCCUAUCCCAUGCGAGUCGAAUGGGCCGUGGUGGACGACGGAGGCCACUACGGCUGUGGCAGACUAGAAAUUUGGUGGACUAUAUCUGACAUGCCUCGAGCUGACUCCUAUCUAGUCCAAGCCAACCAUUGUUUGACAAUAGAGUCGAGCGGCAGAAAGCCACGAACAAAGCAGAGGAAGGAUAUCGUCCCUGUUGGGGAACGUAGUAAUUUCAAAAAAAAAUCCUACGUCAUGCAAGGAUCUAUCUAUGGAGAAAUCAGCAAUGAGCAAAGAAGUAGAGCAUCUUCAUACCUUUGAAGAUCGUUAAGCAGAAUCGUUGCUAGAACGCGGUUGAUGGAGUCGUACUCGCAGCGAUUCAGAUCACGGUGGAUUCCGAACUAUGCACCGAACAUCGGUGCCUCCGCGUUCAACACACGUGCAGCCCGGUAAUCUCUCUUAGCACGACGGCGUGGUGACGGUGGAGCUGUGUGGUAACUCCGACAGGGCUUUGCUAAGCACUACGGACGACGAGGAUGAGGAGGAGUAGGGCUGCGCCGAGAGAGAAGUAAUUGUUGUCUCAAAUCUGCCCAAAAGUCCUCAAUAUAUAUAGGAGGAGAGGGAGGAGGUGCCCACCCUUUAGGGUUUCCCACACUAAAGGGUGCGGCAGCCCUAGAGCCCAAGGAGCGCGGCAGCCAAGGGUGGAGGGCCCUAGGGUGGGCCUUUGAUGUUGGGGAACGUCGCAUGGGAAACAAAAAUUUUCCUACGCGCACGAAGACCUAUCAUGGUGAUGUCCAUCUAUGAGAGGGGAUGUGUGAUCUACGUACCCUUGUAGACCGUACAGCAGAAGCGUUAGUGAACGCGGUUGAUGUAGUGGAACGUCCUCACGUCCCUCGAUCCGCCCCGGAACUAUCCCGCGAUCAGUCCCACGAUCUAGUGCCGAACGGACGGCACCUCCGCGUUCAGCACACGUACAGCUCGACGAUAAUCUCAGCCUUCUUGAUCCAGCAAGAUAGACGGAGAGGUAGAAGAGUUCUCCGGCAGCGUGACGGCGCUCCAGAGGUUAGUGAUGAUCUUGUCUCAGCAGGGCUCCGCCCGAGCUCCGCAGAAACGCGAUCUAGAGGUAAAACCAUGGAGAUAUGUGGUCGGGCUGCCGUGGCAAAAGUGUGUCAAAUCAACCCUAAAACCCCACUAUAUAUAGGAGGGAGGGGGAGGGAAGAGGCAGCCUCAAACCCUCAAGGUUUGGCCGAAAUUGGAGGUGGAGGAGUCCUACUCCAAUCCUACUUGGAGUAGGAUUCCACCUUCCCACUUGGAAACUCUUUCCACCUUGUGUUUUUUCCUUCUCAAACCUUAUGGGCCUUAGUGGGAACUUAUUCCAGCCCACUAGGGACUGGUUUAUCUCUUCCCAUAGCCCAUGAGACCCCUUGGGGCGUGACACCCCUCCCGAUGGUCCCCGGCACCCCUCCGGCACUCCCGGUACACUACCGAUGAGCCCGAAACUUUUCCGGUGACCAAAACAGGACUUCCUAUAUAUCAAUCUUUACCUCCGGACCAUUCCGGAGCUCCUCGUGACAUCCUGGUUCUCAUCCGGGACUCCGAACAACAUUCGGUAACCAACCAUAUAACUCAAAUACGCAUAAAACAACGUCGAACCUUAAGUGUGCAGAUCCUGCGGGUUCGAGAACUAUGUAGACAUGACCCGAGAGACUCCUCGGUCAAUAUCCAAUAGCGGGACCUGGAUGCCCAUAUUGGAUCCUACAUAUUCUACGAAGAUCUUAUCGUUUGAACCUCAGUGCCAAGGAUUCAUAUAAUCCCGUAUGUCAUUCCCUUUGUCCUUCGGUAUGUUACUUGCCCGAGAUUCGAUCCUUAGUAUCCGCAUACCUAUUUCAAUCUCGUUUACCGGCAAGUCUCUUUACUCGUUCCGUAAUACAAGAUCCCGCAACUUACACUAAGUCACAUUGCUUGCAAGGCUUGUGUGUGAUGCUGUAUUACCGAGUGGGCCCCGAGAUACCUCUCCGUCACACGGAGUGACAAAUCCCAGUCUCGAUUCAUACUAACUUAACGAACACCUUCGGAGAUACCUGUAGAGCAUCUUUACAGUCACCCAGUUACGUUGCGACGUUUGAUACACACAAAGUAUUCCUCCGGUGUUAGUAAGUUAUAUGAUCUCAUGGUCAUAGGAACAAAUACUUGACACGCAGAAAACAGUAGCAACAAAAUGACACGAUCAACAUGCUACGUCUAUUAGUUUGGGUCUAGUCCAUCACAUGAUUCCCCUAAGGAUGUGAUCCCGUUAUCAAGUGACAACACUUGCCUAUGGCCAGGAAACCUUGACCAUCUUUGAUCAACGAGCUAGUCAACUAGAGGCUUACUAGGGACAGUGUUUUGUCUAUGUAUCCACACAAGUAUUGUGUUUCCAAUCAAUACAAUUAUAGCAUGGAUAAUAAAAGAUUAUCAUGAACUAAGAAAUAUAAUAAUAACUAAUUUAUUAUUGCCUCUAGGGCAUAUUUCCAACAUUUGAGGCCCAAGGUGGCCUCCCACGCCUAGGGUUUCCCCUCUCUCCACCCCUUGUGCGCCUUGGGCUAGUUGUGGAGGCGCACCAGCCCACAUAUGGGCUGGUUCCCACCCACUCUUAACUCAUGUAGCAACUUGGGGCUGGUGGCCCUUGCCGGUGGACCCCAGGAACCCUUCCGGUGGUCCCGGUACAUUACCGGUGUCACCCGAAACAAUUCCGGUGACCAAAUCCUCACUUCCUAUAUAUGAAUAUUUACCUGUGGACCAUUCCGGAACUUCUCGUUACGUCCAGGAUCUCAUCCGGGACUCCGAACAACCUUCGGUAACCACGUACACUAUUUCCCUAUAACCCUAGCGUCAUCGAACCUUAAGUGUGUAGACCCGACGGGUUCGGGAAGCAUGCAGACAUGACCGAGACACCUCUCCGGUCAAUAAUCAACAUCGGAGUUUGGAUAUCCAUGUUGGUUACCACAUGUUCCUCGAUGAUUUCAUCAGGGGGGGGGGGAUGUUGGGGAUUCAAUCAAUCCUGUAUGCAAUUCCCUUUGUCUACCGGUAUGAUACUUGUCCGAGAUUCGAUCGUCGGUAUCCCUAUACCUUGUUCAAUCUCGUUACCGGCAAGUCUCUUUACUCGUUCCGUAACACAUCAUCCCGUGGCUAACUCCUUAGGGCCCGUUCAGUAGCCCUCCGCUCCUCCUAAUCCGGUCGCUCCGCUCCAGGCGAGUGAGGAGCCGCUCCCCUGAUCGCUAGCUUGAGCGUGGAACCGUUCGGUAGCGAUCUGUGCCCCUGUUUCAUGUGUAGUUGGGUUGUCGGCCCAUUUCUUGUGGAUCCAGCCUGCUAAUAGCAGGAAGAUGGAUCCAAAUUCUCUAAAAAAAUCAAAACAGAUCUAGCACGUGGAGAGGUGUAUGUUUGCUGGGGGUGGAUUGAAAUUCGUCUCGUGGUCUAGUUUUGGCGGAGGAGAGCUUAAUUCGGACAGCAACACACUUCGAUCGACGUGGAGGUCUAGGGUUCGGGCGCCAUGGCGAGGAGCUCGAACGGGGAAGAAAAGACACGAGAGAGAUUCAACAGCGUCGUACCUGUUCGUUAUUACUUAUCAGUGGCAUCCACAUGUAAUUUCAUGCCGCUCCUGAUUUUUCGUCUUCGUGGAGCGGGACCAGGCUAGCUCUGCAAAAUCAGCCUAAUCGAUGGAGCCUCCAUCUUUGUCGAUCCGCGGAGCGCGACUGUUUGGGACAGCUCCGCUGGCUCCGGCUGCGAAGCAAGGAGCUGGAGCGUUGCCGAACGGGUCCUUAGUCACACUGAGCUCAAUAUGAUGAUGAAUUACAGAGUGGGCCUAGAGAUACCUCUCCAUCACACGGAGUGACAAAUUCCAGUCUCGAUUCAUACAACCCAACAGAUAUUUUCGGAGAUACCUGUAGUGCACCUUUAUAAUCAUCCAGUUACGUUGUAACUUUUGAUACACCCAAAGCACUCCUACAGUAUCCGGGAGUUGCACAAUCUCAUGGUCUAAGGAAAUGAUACUUGACAUUAGAAAAGCUUUAGCACACGAACAACACGAUCUAGUGCUAUGCUUAGGAUUGGUCUUGUCCAUCACAUCAUUCAUAAAUGAUGUGAUCACGUUAUCAAUGACAUCCAAUGUCCAUUAUCACAAAACCAUGAUCAUCUAUUGAUCAACGAGCUAGCCAACUAGAGGCUCACUAGGGACACAUUGUGAUCUAUAUAUUCUCACAUGAAUUACGGUUUCCGGUUAAUACAAUUAUAGCAUGAAUAAUAGACAAUUAUCAUUAUCUAGGAAAUAUAAUAAUAACUACUUUAUUAUUGCCUCUAUGGCACAUUUUCAGCAGUCACAUGGUGAACAUGUGGCCUCAUUUGGCAGAGGGUACGCACGGGUAAUUCACACUCUACCUAUGGUUAUCUUCAAUAAAACCAUGGUGGCGGCGAAAGUGCUUUUUUAAUCCUGAGCACACAUGCAUCCGGUUGAAUAUAUAGUAAAAUCUGAAAAAGUAGCAGAUAAAUCCAAAAACAAUUUUAUUUUUCCAUGUGAUAAACAUUGAUGAAUGUUUUAGUUGCUUGUAAAACNNNNNNNNNNNNNNNNNNNNNNNNNNNNNNNNGGAAAAAAAAAGGUCCAUGUUCCAAACUGCUUUUAAAAUUGGUCUUUUGGAAGCGUCGAUUUUAUUGUUUCUGUCCAGAUUUCAAAGAAUGUCAUUUCAUCUCGAAUUUUCGCAUGAAUGUGAGACAUUCAUCAUUAGUUCAGAAUUAUUUGAAUUGUUUAACUAUUUUUUCUGAUUUUAUGGUUCAUCCGGGUGCAUAUNNNNNNNNNNNNNNNNNNNNNNNNNNNNNNNNNNNNNNNNNNNNNNNNNNNNNNNNNNNNNNNNNNNNNNNNNNNNNNNNNNNNNNNNNNNNNNNNNNNNNNNNNNNNNNNNNNNNNNNNNNNNNNNNNNNNNNNNNNNNNNNNNNNNNNNNNNNNNNNNNNNNNNNNNNNNNNNNNNNNNNNNNNNNNNNNNNNNNNNNNNNNNNNNNNNNNNNNNNNNNNNNNNNNNNNNNNNNNNNNNNNNNNNNNNNNNNNNNNNNNNNNNNNNNNNNNNNNNNNNNNNNNNNNNNNNNNNNNNNNNNNNNNNNNNNNNNNNNNNNNNNNNNNNNNNNNNNNNNNNNNNNNNNNNNNNNNNNNNNNNNNNNNNNNNNNNNNNNNNNNNNNNNNNNNNNNNNNNNNNNNNNNNNNNNNNNNNNNNNNNNNNNNNNNNNNNNNNNNNNNNNNNNNNNNNNNNNNNNNNNNNNNNNNNNNNNNNNNNNNNNNNNNNNNNNNNNNNNNNNNNNNNNNNNNNNNNNNNNNNNNNNNNNNNNNNNNNNNNNNNNNNNNNNNNNNNNNNNNNNNNNNNNNNNNNNNNNNNNNNNNNNNNNNNNNNNNNNNNNNNNNNNNNNNNNNNNNNNNNNNNNNNNNNNNNNNNNNNNNNNNNNNNNNNNNNNNNNNNNNNNNNNNNNNNNNNNNNNCCCUACCAAACAGCGAAAAGUAGAUCGGGGAUGGAAUUUUUGGGCUCAUACAGUCUUCAUACAGGCUACCAAACACAUCCUAUAUGUCUGCAACUAACAUGCCACUGUGCUGGCGCUGCUAUGCACUUUUUUCUUUUAAUCCACUAGUGGGGACAGGGCCUUUAGUCCCGGUCCGUAAGGGGCUUUAGUCCCGGUUCACCAACCGGGACUAAAGGGGCAGGACUAAAGGCCUAACCUUUAGUCCCGGCCCUGUUCCAAGCCGGGACCAAAGGUGCUCCACGUGGCCGCCUCGGAGGGAGUACCUUUAGUCUCGGUUCUACUUACGAACCGNUUGACCCGAAAAGUUAGAUUUUUUUUUUUCAAAUUUUAUUUUUGAAUAUUUUUUAUGUUUUAUUCCAAUUUUCUAAUCUUUGAAUUAUUUGACAAUUUAAUCUCUAAUCACCCAUUCUCACUGUUCGCUUCAGCCCGAGCACGCUUAACUUUCUGGUUCUAUCGCCCCUAGUUGCCAAGUGUGCACUUGUUGUUUUCCUGACAAUAGUAAGCUAUCAAUCCUAAACAACUUGGGUCUUGAUGUCAUGUCACCUGAUUUAUUUUUUUGAAUAACAAACAAUUAUUAAAAUAAACUUAAUAAGUAACAAUAAUAGUGAAUUUCAAUGAAAACAACCUAAUAUUUUUAAAUAAAAUUAUUUUUCUUUUUUUGGAAAAAACUUCUUUNNNNNNNNNNNNNNNNNNNNNNNNNNNNNNNNNNNNNNNNNNNNNNNNNNNNNNNNNNNNNNNNNNNNNNNNNNNNNNNNNNNNNNNNNNNNNNNNNNNNNNNNNNNNNNNNNNNNNNNNNNNNNNNNNNNNNNNNNNNNNNNNNNNNNNNNNNNNNNNNNNNNNNNNNNNNNNNNNNNNNNNNNNNNNNNNNNNNNNNNNNNNNNNNNNNNNNNNNNNNNNNNNNNNNNNNNNNNNNNNNNNNNNNNNNNNNNNNNNNNNNNNNNNNNNNNNNNNNNNNNNNNNNNNNNNNNNNNNNNNNNNNNNNNNNNNNNNNNNNNNNNNNNNNNCACGAACCGGGACUAAAGGUCUACCUUUUAGUCCCGGUUCAAGACACCAACUGGGACUAAAUCCUCCAAACCCUUUAGUCCCGGUUCGAGACACGAACCGGGACUAAAGGUCCACCCUUUAGUCCCGAUUCAAGACACCAACCGGGACUAAAUCUUCCAAACCCUUUAGUCCCGGUUCGAGAUACGAACCGGGACUAAAGGUCCAAGACACGAACCGGGACUAAAUCCUCCAAACCCUUUAGUCCCGGUUCGAGACACGAACCCCCCAACCGGGACUAAAGGUCUCAUUUGAACCGGAACUAAUGCCCGACCGGCGCCUUUACCUCUCGAACCGGGACUAAUACUAACAUUAGUCCCGGUUCAUAAAGGAACCGGGACUAAUGUGUUUUUCAAGCUGGGACGAAAGCCCUUAUUUCUACUAGUGAUCUCUGCAAACUGUCUUGUGGGUCAGAUCGAUCUAGCUAGUCAGCCAGCAUGGAGUUAACCAGCCUCUACAAAAUAACCAGGGUUUAGUUAGUGGGUAGCUUGAGAAGGCCACACGACCUUCGUACGUACGUUGGCGCAAAAUUAAGCUUAGCAAAGUAGUCCUACUCCUAGUUGAUGGCAUGUAUGCAUUUCUCACUAUUAACAAAAGACUGUUCUAUCACCACACGAAUUCCAGCUGUGGAUAUUUUUUUACACCUAGCAGUAGUAGCUGUUCAGUUUAUAACUAGAGGUUAUCUGAAUCUGAGAACCUAAAUCAGCAGAGGAUACCAUUUCAUCACUGUGUCUGGUUUAUUUACUAGCUAUCACUAGCUAAUUGGGUCGGUCCACCCCAUGUUCACCUUUCCUUUAUGACGAUCGCACUUUCAUUUCACGGGUCUCCUUUCUGUCACUCUUGAAGUGACAUGGAAACGGCGAUCGCCGAAACAGAACAACAAAGAUGGGCGCAAUUGUAGGCUAGGUUUUAGUCCGAUCGCGUUUUAAUGAAAAAUAUCAAGAAUGUAAUGAACGUGCUCCGAUUUAUAUAAAAAGAAAAUGCCUAGAACUCAGCCAGUUGAAAUUUUCUAUGAUCUCGUUCACAUAAUGUUAUUAUAUUUUGUAUUUAGUCUAUUUGUUUCCUUUAGCACAUCAUUUUAUUCUUUUGGGCUGACAUGUCUUAUUUUUCGUUGUUUUUUGUUAUGCGUCCCAUCUGGCCGAUCCAAUAACUACUCGUUCGAUUUUUGUUGUUGCACGCCGUAUCUUUUAAAAAAGAAAUCGCUGAUAAAAAAAGAAUAAGCGAAAAAAGUUAUGUAAUGGCUUGUUAGCUUCAACUACUCUCACCACUAAAGAUUCUUGUACAAUGAAGUAGUGUGUCCUUAUUAUAUGAAUUGUGAUGUAAUAAUUUAUUUAUUUUCUUAAUAAAAAAUUAUUUGAUUCUAGCUUUUCCAUGUAGUUGCUGCACAAAUAAGAUUUGCAGUUACGAUCCGCAUGUGAAUACUUACAGUUGCGAUCCGACUAUGAAUAUUUGCAAUUGCGAUCCGACUAUGAAUACUUGCAAUUGCGACCCGACUAUGAAUAUUUGCAGUUGCGAUUAGACUUUGAAUACUUGUAAUUGCGACCCGAAUUUAAGUACUUGCAAUUGCGACCCGACAUUAAAUACUUGCAGUUGCGACCCGACUUUAAAUACAUGCAGUUUCCAUCCGACUUUGAAUACUUGAAGUUGCGAGCCGACAUUAAAGAUUUGCAGUUGCGACCACAUUUUAAAUCUUAUAGUUGCGACCCGACUUUGAAUAUUAAUGUCAUUAAUGUAAAAAGGGAAAAAAAGAGACACCAAAACAUUAAAUAAAAUAAGGACUAAAAAAGUAAAAACAAGGACUAAAUCUCACGCUUCAUGUCCUUCUCUUCUCACUCUAAGCCACGAGGAUAAAACGAAGUGUCUGUCUCUAGGACAACAACAGAAAAAAAAAGGCAGCAACGAAAACAACAACGACACAAGACGAAAGAACAACAACAAAGUGCAACAUUUCCAGCCCAACAUGAGCCGCGAAAAAGAAAGAAACUGGGCCGCAACGGGCCGUAAAAGGCUUCCUGAGCCUGCAAUACGAAUCAUGAGGCAAGAUUAUCCAACGGCUGUCAAAGUGAAUGAGACUAAACAAAAACUCAGCUAGCUAAGAUUUAGCAAAACCGAUAUAAAAAUCAUCCGGUUUCUAUGAAUUUGUCGGGUUUAUUAAAAUUCAUUUUGGAAUGUAUAUGGCUAUGAUUGGAAGAUCAACUUGCUCCUCAGUGUUUGUGGAUUGAUUUCAUUGAUCUCUAAAUGAUGUGGAUUGAUCUCAUGGAUCUCUAAAUGAAUACAGUGUCCAAUUUAAGGGUUAGCAUCCGGAGAGCACGGAGCAUGCAUAUUCAAGCAACUUGUCAUGUCGUCGAAGAGCCCAUGACUUUUUGAUAAGAAAGCACGCGUCCAUACCAUGACUGUGACCCGAUCCAGUGUUUUUAGCCAAUAUAAAGUACUGUUUUCGUACAGUGUAGCACGUGUCCGGCUGCGAAUUUGUCCUGCAAGACUGCAGGUGGUACGUAGCUUUGCAUGCAUCGUCCGAGAGAUAAAACGACGGCACUCAAAAUGAUCCCCAACUAAUAACCACACAGCGUUAGCUUAGCGUCGGUAGCCGCCAUUAACUAAUUGAUCACUCUAACUCGUAGCUAGGUGUCGUUCAGAAUGAUUCUAUAUCCGUCAAGUAGAUCCAACAUGGAUCCGUAAAUUAUGCGCUGCCAACAAGCUAUCAAGCGUGGGAUCAAUCUGGCAACGUGCGUACUGCUUUUUUCCUUACAUACAUAGUACUCCUAAGUACGUGCAGAAAGCUAAUAAUAUGUCAGACACUGUAUGCCUUCAUGUGCAGGGCUGUUGUUAAUCAGGCUCGAUCGAGAUUUUUUCUUCUUCUGACUUUGUAUCAAUUACUGCAUCCGACUUGUACAAGUUGGUUCACUUUUCAACCGAAGCCCUCUGACUUGUCUUGUGGAUCACAUCGAGCUAUAUAUAUAAAUUACUCGCCAACACGGAGGUAAUUAACCGGUCAUAAAAACUCACCAACAAAUGGUAGUUGGUAUCAUGUGCAAGCCACACGAGACCCGCACUAGUGGAAAACGGGCAUUUGGCCUGGACCCUUUAGUCCCGGCAGUCCCGGCCACGUCGCUCCAAAUCGCAAUGCCGCCCAUGAGGCUUUGGUUCCGACCCGUAAGGAGCCUUUAGUCCCGGUUUGUGUCUCAAACCAGGACUAAAGGGCUACGCGGUGUGCAGCCUGCAUGUGCGUCACCUUUAGUCUCGGUUUGUGUCUCAAACCGGGACUAAAGUCCUCUGCCUAUAUAUAUUGGCCACAACCCCCCUCUCCCCUCUUCCUUGCAUUUUUCUUGGAUGGAAGAGUGUGGGUGUGUGCUACCUCUCCAUUUUUCUUGGAUGCACUAGAGGGGUUUGUUGAAAUGUGUGUAAGAGCAAUGACGCUUCAGUUCACCGAACACAACUACGAUAUGAGAUGCCCGAGCCACGCUUAAACCUCUUCCUCUUUAUUUCUACUUAUUCUAAAAGGUUAGCAACUAUAUUUCCUCGUUUAGACCGUGCGGUACUAAUUUUUAGGAUCGUGAUUGUAUUUGAUAUACUGUCGUAUAACGCAGAUGAGCCAUCCAUGGAUGUACGGUGAUCGACGCAUAGCCGCUUACAGAGAAGGCGUGCAUUCUUUUCGAGAUGCAGCCGAUGCGAACAAGCAUGGUGGUGGCUAUAUGUUUUGUCCAUGUGUUGAAUGUCGAAAUGAGAAGGAUUACACUUCCUCAAGAGUCAUUCAGAGCCACCUGCUUCGGUCCGGUUUUAUGUCGGGCUAUAAUGUUUGGACCAAGCACGGAGAAAGAGGGGUUAUGAUGGAAGACGACGAUGAAGAAGAAGAGAACGAUGAUGACAACUACCGAUCUAUGUUCCCUGAGUAUGCUGAUACCGCAAUGGAAGACAAUGAAGAAGAAGACCAGGAUGAAGAACGGGAACCAGAUGAGCCCGCUGAUGAUCUUGGCCGGGUCAUUUCUGAUGCACGGCGAGGUUGCGACACAGAAAAGGAGAUGUUGCAGUUCGAGCAGAUGUUACAGGACCACAACAAAUUGUUGUACCCAACUUGUGAAGAUGGCCAAAAGAAGCUGGGUACCACUCUGGAAUUGCUGAAGUGGAAGGCAGAGACCGGUGUGACUGACUCGUCAUUCAAAAAGUUGCUGGUAUUGAUGAAGAAGAUGCUUCCAGGAAAGAACGAAUUGCCCGCCAGCACGUACGAAGCAAAGAAGCUUAUCUGCCCUCUAGGAUUAGACGUGCAGAAGAUACAUGCAUGCCAUAAUGACUGCAUCCUCUAUCGCGGUGAGAAGUACGAGAAUAUGGAUAAAUGCCCGGUAUGCACUGCAUUGCGGUAUAAGAUCAGAAAAGAUGACCCUGGUGAUAUUGAGGACGAGCCACCCAGGAAGAGGGUUCCUGCCAAGGUGAUGUGGUAUGCUCCUAUAAUACCACGGUUGAAACGUCUGUUCAGAAAUAAAGAUCAUGCGAAGUUGUUGCGAUGGCACAUGGAAGAUCGUAUGAAAUACGAUAAGUUGAGGCACACCACUGAUGGUCGGCAGUGGAGAAAAAUCAAGAGAGAGUUCCCGAGAUUUGCAGGUGACGCAAGGAACUUAUGGUUUGGUCUGAGUACAGAUGGCAUGAAUCCUUUUGGGGAGCAGAGUUGCAGUCACAACACCUGGCCCGUUACUCUAUGUAUCUACAACCUUCCUCCUUGGUUGUGCAUGAAGCGGAAGUUCAUUAUGAUGCCAGUGCUUAUCCAAGGUCCAAGGCAACCCGGCAACGAUAUUGAUGUGUACCUAAGGCCAUUAGUUGAUGAACUUCUACAGCUGUGGGCUGAACCAGGUGUACGUGUGUGGGACGAGCACAAACAAGAGGAAUUUGACCUUCAAGCGUUGCUUUUCGUAACCAUCAAUGAUUGGCCUGCUCUUAGUAACAUUUCAGGACAGUCAAACAAGGGAUACAAUGCAUGCACGCACUGUUUGGAUCAGACAGAAAGUAUAUAUCUGGACAAAUGUAGGAAGAAUGUGUACCCGUACAAUCGUCAUUUUCUUCCGCCCAAGCAUCCCUUAAAGAAAAAAGGCAAGCAUUUCAAUGGCAAGGCAGAACCCCGGGGGAAGCCUGUCAUCCGUACUGGUGCUAAAGUAUUUGAUAUGGUCAAAGAUUUAAAAGUAAUCUUUGGAAAGGGUCCUGGCAGCCAACCUGUUCCUAACGGCCCUGAUAAGCGCGUACCCAUGUGGAAGAAGAAAUCUAUAUAUUGGGAGCUACCCUACUGGGAAGUCCAUGAGGUCCGUUCGGCAAUCAACGUGAUGCACCUGACGAAGAAUCUCUGCGUGAAUAUUCUAGGCUUCCUGGGCUUGUAUGGGAAGUCAAAAGAUACACUGGAAGCACGGGAGGACCAGGAACGUCAUAAAGGAAGAGAUGGCAUGCAUCCAGGGCAGUUUCAAGGGCGUGCCAACUACGCUCUUACUAAGGAAGAGAAGGAAAUCUUCUUUGAAGUCCUUUUCAGUAUCAAGGUCCUGACUGGCUUCUCGUCGAAUAUAAAGGGAAUCGUAAAUAUGAAAGACAAAAAAUUCCAAAACCUAAAGUCUCAUGACUGCCACGUGCUUAUGACGCAAUUGCUUCCGGUUGCAUUGAGGGGAAUUCUACCGGAAAAUGUUCGCCUGGCAAUUGUGAAGGUAUGUGCAUUCCUCAAUGCAAUUUCUCAGAAGGUAAUCGAUCGAGAAAGUCUAUCAGGGUUACAGAUUGAUGUGGUCCAAUGUUUGGUCAGCUUUGAGUUGUUGUUCCCGCCAUCCUUCUUCAAUAUAAUGACACACCUCCUAGUUCACCUAGUCGAAGAGAUUAGAAUUCUCGGUCCUGUGUUUCUACACAAUAUGUUCCCCUUCGAGAGGUUCAUGGGAGUCUUAAAGAAAUAUGUUCGUAACCGUGCUAGGCCAGAAGGAAGCAUCUCCAAGGGCUAUGGAAUAGAGGAGGUCAUUGAGUUUUGUGUGGACUUUCUUCCUGACCUUAAGCCGAUUGGUGUUCCUGAAUCUCGGUAUGAGGGUAGGCUCACAGGAAAAGGCACACUGGGAAGGAAAGCAAAAGUAUGUAUGGACGGGCAUUCUUUCUCUCAAGCACACUACACAGUUCUACACAAUUCCACCGUGGUGGCUCUCUAUAUCGUGAGACAUAAGAAAUAUUCUACACUCCGAAAACCCGGGGAAGGCCGACUCUUGGAUUAAAGGGGAACACGAGAAGACUUUCGACAGUUGGUUGCAGACACAUCUCAUGAAUGACGACACCGUUGGAGAUCAGUUGUACUGUUUGGCCAGGCCACCAUCUUCGACUAUAUGUACUUUCCAAGGGUAUGAGAUAAAUGGGAAUACAUUUUACACGGUUGCCCAAGAUAAAAAGAGCACCAACCAAAAUAGUGGUGUCCGCUUUGAUGCAACAGACGAGAAUGGGCACUGUUUGGAAACAUAUUACGGGUACAUAGAGGAGAUAUGGGAACUUGACUAUGGACCUACUUUUAAGAUCCCUUUGUUUCGGUGCAAAUGGGUGAAGCUGACACGAGGCGGGGUAGUUGUAGACCAAAAGUACGGCAUGACAACAGUGGAUCUCAACAAUCUUGCGUACAUGGACGAACCAUUUGUCCUAGCCAAUGAUGUCGCUCAGGUUUUCUAUGUGAAGGACAUGUCUACAAAAACGAGAAAAGAAAUCAGCAAAAGAAGAUAUCGUCCGAUGAGCCAAAAUGCCACAUAGUUCUUUCAGGAAAAAGAAACAUCGUGGGAGUAGAUGACAAGACAAACAUGUCAGUAGAUUAUAAUAAGUUUCAUGAAAUUCUGCCCUUCAAAGUGAAAACUGACCCAAGCAUCCUACUGAAUGAUGAAGAUUCUCCAUGGCUACGACCCAGACGAAAACAUAAAUAAUAGAUAGGAAUAUUGGUGCAAUAAUGUAAUAAUGUAUUAAACCUUUUAUGUAAUGCAUGUAUGGAAUGUACUAAACCUUUUAGUUUUGAAUUAUUUAUUCAAUUUCAAACACUUUUCAUUUUCAUAGUUUUUUCAAAUUCUCAAAUAUGCAAAAAUAAUUUUAGUAAACAUCUGCAAGAGAUGAGUUCUCGUUCGAAACUCUGAUACUUCGAGAGAGAUUGUCCGUUUUGUACACGAAGUGCAUCCAGCUUUUGUCGUAGCCCUCUCAACUUUGUAUCACAUGCUAUGUGGGUGAAAUGAUGAUAGCAUGCCAACUUUCAACAUUUUCAUAGUUCAUUUGUAGUGCUUUUCAAUUUUAGGGUCAACUAGCCCAAAAAAACAAAAGUUAAAUGCACGAAAAAUACCAAAUUAAGUCAGAAAUUGUUUUAAAUUUGUGAUGUGCCUUUGAAUGGUGCAUUUUAAACACACAAAAAGUAUGGAGUUCAAAUAAGUUCAAUAAAUGAAAUCCCUUUGUAACAGAUGAGUUCUCGUUCGAAACCCUGAUACUUCGAGAGAGAUUGUCUGUUCUGUACACGAAGUGCAUCCAGUUUUUGUCGUAACCCUCUCCACUUUUUAGCACAUGCUAUGUGAGUGAAAUGAUGAUACCAUGCUAACUUUCAACAUUUUCGGAGUUCAUUUGUAGUGCUUUUCAAUUUUAGGGUCAACUAGCUCAAAAAAAAAAAGUAAAUGCACGAAAUAUACCAAAUGUAGUCAGAAAUUGUUGAAAUUUUGUGAUUUGCCUUUGAAUGGUGCAUUUUGAACACACAAAAAGUAUGGAGUUCAAAUAAGUUCAAAAAAAUGAAAUCCCUUUGUAAGAGAUGAGUUCUCGUUCGAAACCCUGAUACUUCGAGAGAGAUUGUCCGUUUUGUACACGAAGUGCAUCCAGUUUUUGUCGUAGCCCUCUCAACUUUUUAACACAUGCUAUUUGGGUGAAAUGAUGAUAGCAUGCCAACUUUCAACAUUUUCAGAGUUCAUUUGUAGUGCUUUUCAAUUUUAGGGUCAACUAGCCCAAAAAAACAAAAGUAAAUGCACGAAGAAUACCAAAUUAAGUCAGAAAUUGUUGAAAAUUUGUGAUGUGCCUUUUAAUGGUGCAUUUUAAACACACAAAAAGUAUGGAGUUCAAAUAAGUUCAAUAAAUGAAAUCCCUUUGUAACAGAUGAGUUCUCGUUCGAAACCCUCAUACUUCGAGAGAGAUUGUCUGUUUUGUACACGAAGUGCAUCCAUUUUUUGUCGUAACCCUCUCCACUUUUUAGCACAUGCUAUGUGGGUGAAAUGAUGAUACCAUGCCAACUUUCAACAUUUUCAGAGUUCAUUUGUAGUGCUUUUCGAUUUUAGGGUCAACUAGCUCAAAAAAAAUAAGUAAAUGCACGAAAAAUACCAAAUGAAGUCAGAAAUUGUUGAAAUUUUGUGAUGUGCCUUUGAAUGGUGCAUUUUGAACACACAAAAGUAUGGAGUUCAAAUAUGUUCAAAAAAAUGAAAUCCCUUUGUAAGAGAUGAGUUCUCGUUCGAAACCCUCAUACUUCGAGAGAGAUUGUCCGUUUCGUACACGAAGUGCAUCCAGUUUUUGUCGUAGCCCUCUCAACUUUUAACACAUGCUAUGUGGGUGAAAUUAUGAUAGCAUACCAACUUUCAACAUUUUCAGAGUUCAUUUGUAGUGCUUUUCAAUUUCAGGGUCAACUAGCCCAAAAAAACAAAAGUAAAUGCACGAAGAAUACCAAAUUAAGUCAGAAAUUGUUGAAAAUUUGUGAUGUGCCUUUUAAUGGUGCAUUUUAAACACACAAAAAGUAUGGAGUUCAAAUAAGUUCAAAAAAUGAAAUCCCUUUGUAACAGAUGAGUUCUCGUUCGAAACCCUCAUACUUCGAGAGAGAUUGUCUGUUUUGUACACGAAGUGCAUCCAUUUUUUGUCGUAACCCUCUCCACUUUUUAGCACAUGCUAUGUGGGUGAAAUGAUGAUACCAUGCCAACUUUCAACAUUUUCAGAGUUCAUUUGUAGUGCUUUUCGAUUUUAGGGUCAACUAGCUCAAAAAAAAUAAGUAAAUGCACGAAAAAUACCAAAUGAAGUCAGAAAUUGUUGAAAUUUUGUGAUGUGCCUUUGAAUGGUGCAUUUUGAACACACAAAAGUAUGGAGUUCAAAUAUGUUCAAAAAAAUGAAAUCCCUUUGUAAGAGAUGAGUUCUCGUUCGAAACCCUCAUACUUCGAGAGAGAUUGUCCGUUUCGUACACGAAGUGCAUCCAGUUUUUGUCGUAGCCCUCUCAACUUUUAACACAUGCUAUGUGGGUGAAAUUAUGAUAGCAUACCAACUUUCAACAUUUUCAGAGUUCAUUUGUAGUGCUUUUCAAUUUCAGGGUCAACUAGCCCAAAAAAACAAAAGUAAAUGCACGAAGAAUACCAAAUUAAGUCAGAAAUUGUUGAAAAUUUGUGAUGUGCCUUUUAAUGGUGCAUUUUAAACACACAAAAAGUAUGGAGUUCAAAUAAGUUCAAAAAAUGAAAUCCCUUUGUAACACAUAAGUUCUCGUUCAAAACCCUGAUACUUCGAGAGAGAUUUUCCGUUUUGUACACGAAGUGCAUCCAGUUUUUGUCGUAGCCUCUCAACUUUUUAACACAUGCUAUGUGGGUGAAAUGAUGAUAGCAUGCCAACUUUCAACAUUUUCAGAGUUUAUUUGUAGUGAUUUUCAAUUUUAGGGUCAACUAGCACAAAAAAAAAGUAAAUGCACGAAAAAUACCAAAUAAUAGUUUGGAUAGUCAAAAUAAUUAAUUUUGAAAAUAUAAAAUAGUUUUGAAUUACUUAUUCAAUUUCAAACACUUUUCAUUAUCAUAGUUUUGUCAAAUUCUCAAAUAUGCAAAAAGAAUUUUAAUAAACAUAGUUUUUAAUUGAAAAUAACAAAAUAGUUAAUAGUUUGGAUAGUCAAAAUAAAUAAUUUUGAAAAUAUAAAAUAGUUUAGAAUUAUUUAUUCAAUUUCAAACACUUUUUAUUUUCAUAGUUUUGUCAAAUUCUCAAAUAUGCAAAAACAAUUUUAAUAAACAUAGUUUUUAAUUUAAAAUAACAAAAUAGUUAAUAGUUUGGAUAGUCAAAAUAAUUAAUUUUGAAAAUAGAAAAUAGUUUUGAAUUAUUUAUUCAAUUUCAAACACUUUUCAUUAGAACAGUUUUCUCAAAUUCUCAAAUAUGCAAAAAGAAUUUUAAUAAACAUAGUUUUUAAUUGAAAAUAACAAAAUAGUUAAUAGUUUGGAUAGUAAAAAUAAUUAAAUUUGAAAAUAUGAAAUAGUUUUGAAUUAUUUAUUCAAUUUCAAACACUUUUCAUUUUCACAGUUUUGUCAAAUUCUCAAAUAUGCAAAAAGAAUUUUAAUAAACAUAGUUUUUAAUUGAAAAUAACAAAAUAGUUAAUAGUUUGGAUAGUCAAAAUAAUUAAUUUUGAAAAUAGAAAAAAUUGAAACUAUAUGAGAAUUCAGGUUGACUUUUCUCCAUAGUUUUAAAUAUAGUUUCAAUUUUUAAAUUUACAGUCUGUUUAGGCCCAUAAGCCUGCUUUAGAGAGGAGCUCGAUGGAGAUGCUGCGACGGGGCUUAUAAACUAGUGUUAGUGCCCCUCGCUGGGCGAGGUGAGACUAAACUUAUCGUGCAGCCAGCGGAGGGGCUUUAGUCUCGGGUGGAGCCAUGACCCGGGACUAAAGCCGCUCGCCUGCCCCCUGCCGAAAAGGGGUCUUUAGCCCCGGGUCGUGGCAAGACCCGGGNNNNNNNNNNNNNNNNNNNNNNNNNNNNNNNNNNNNNNNNNNNNNNNNNNNNNNNNNNNNNNNNNNNNNNNNNNNNNNNNNNNNNNNNNNNNNNNNNNNNNNNNNNNNNNNNNNNNNNNNNNNNNNNNNNNNNNNNNNNNNNNNNNNNNNNNNNNNNNNNNNNNNNNNNNNNNNNNNNNNNNNNNNNNNNNNNNNNNNNNNNNNNNNNNNNNNNNNNNNNNNNNNNNNNNNNNNNNNNNNNNNNNNNNNNNNNNNNNNNNNNNNNNNNNNNNNNNNNNNNNNNNNNNNNNNNNNNNNNNNNNNNNNNNNNNNNNNNNNNNNNNNNNNNNNNNNNNNNNNNNNNNNNNNNNNNNNNNNNNNNNNNNNNNNNNNNNNNNNNNNNNNNNNNNNNNNNNNNNNNNNNNNNNNNNNNNNNNNNNNNNNNNNNNNNNNNNNNNNNNNNNNNNNNNNNNNNNNNNNNNNNNNNNNNNNNNNNNNNNNNNNNNNNNNNNNNNNNNNNNNNNNNNNNNNNNNNNNNNNNNNNNNNNNNNNNNNNNNNNNNNNNNNNNNNNNNNNNNNNNNNNNNNNNNNNNNNNNNNNNNNNNNNNNNNNNNNNNNNNNNNNNNNNNNNNNNNNNNNNNNNNNNNNNNNNNNNNNNNNNNNNNNNNNNNNNNNNNNNNNNNNNNNNNNNNNNNNNNNNNNNNNNNNNNNNNNNNNNNNNNNNNNNNNNNNNNNNNNNNNNNNNNNNNNNNNNNNNNNNNNNNNNNNNNNNNNNNNNNNNNNNNNNNNNNNNNNNNNNNNNNNNNNNNNNNNNNNNNNNNNNNNNNNNNNNNNNNNNNNNNNNNNNNNNNNNNNNNNNNNNNNNNNNNNNNNNNNNNNNNNNNNNNNNNNNNNNNNNNNNNNNNNNNNNNNNNNNNNNNNNNNNNNNNNNNNNNNNNNNNNNNNNNNNNNNNNNNNNNNNNNNNNNNNNNNNNNNNNNNNNNNNNNNNNNNNNNNNNNNNNNNNNNNNNNNNNNNNNNNNNNNNNNNNNNNNNNNNNNNNNNNNNNNNNNNNNNNNNNNNNNNNNNNNNNNNNNNNNNNNNNNNNNNNNNNNNNNNNNNNNNNNNNNNNNNNNNNNNNNNNNNNNNNNNNNNNNNNNNNNNNNNNNNNNNNNNNNNNNNNNNNNNNNNNNNNNNNNNNNNNNNNNNNNNNNNNNNNNNNNNNNNNNNNNNNNNNNNNNNNNNNNNNNNNNNNNNNNNNNNNNNNNNNNNNNNNNNNNNNNNNNNNNNNNNNNNNNNNNNNNNNNNNNNNNNNNNNNNNNNNNNNNNNNNNNNNNNNNNNNNNNNNNNNNNNNNNNNNNNNNNNNNNNNNNNNNNNNNNNNNNNNNNNNNNNNNNNNNNNNNNNNNNNNNNNNNNNNNNNNNNNNNNNNNNNNNNNNNNNNNNNNNNNNNNNNNNNNNNNNNNNNNNNNNNNNNNNNNNNNNNNNNNNNNNNNNNNNNNNNNNNNNNNNNNNNNNNNNNNNNNNNNNNNNNNNNNNNNNNNNNNNNNNNNNNNNNNNNNNNNNNNNNNNNNNNNNNNNNNNNNNNNNNNNNNNNNNNNNNNNNNNNNNNNNNNNNNNNNNNNNNNNNNNNNNNNNNNNNNNNNNNNNNNNNNNNNNNNNNNNNNNNNNNNNNNNNNNNNNNNNNNNNNNNNNNNNNNNNNNNNNNNNNNNNNNNNNNNNNNNNNNNNNNNNNNNNNNNNNNNNNNNNNNNNNNNNNNNNNNNNNNNNNNNNNNNNNNNNNNNNNNNNNNNNNNNNNNNNNNNNNNNNNNNNNNNNNNNNNNNNNNNNNNNNNNNNNNNNNNNNNNNNNNNNNNNNNNNNNNNNNNNNNNNNNNNNNNNNNNNNNNNNNNNNNNNNNNNNNNNNNNNNNNNNNNNNNNNNNNNNNNNNNNNNNNNNNNNNNNNNNNNNNNNNNNNNNNNNNNNNNNNNNNNUGUGGCGUUUCUAAUAUUAUAUGUGGAUGACAUAUUACUGAUUGGAAACAACGUAGAGCUUUUGGAGAGCGUAAAAGGUUACUUAAAUAAAAGUUUCUCUAUGAAGGACCUAGGAGAAGCUGCUUACAUUCUGGGCAUUAAGAUCUAUAGGGAUAGAUCAAAACGCCUGAUAGGACUUUCACAAAGCACAUACCUUGAUAAAGUUUUGAAGAGGUUCAAAAUGGAACAGUCCAAGAAAGGGUUCUUGUCAGUCUUACAAGGUACGAGAUUGAGUAAGACUCAGUGCCCAGCAACUGAUGAAGAUAGAGAGCAUAUGCGCUCCCUCCCCUAUGCUUCCGCCAUAGGAUCUAUCAUGUAUGCCAUGAUGUGCACUAGACCGGAUGUUAGCCUGGCCAUAAGUAUGGCAGGUAGGUUCCAGAGUAAUCCAGGAGUGGAUCACUGGACGGCGGUCAAGAAUAUCCUGAAGUACCUGAAAAGGACUAAGGAGAUGUUUCUCGUGUAUGGAGGUGACGAAGAGCUCGCCGUAAAAGGUUACGUCGAUGCAAGCUUUGACACAGAUCCGGACGACUNNNNNNNNNNNNNNNNNNNNNNNNNNNNNNNNNNNNNNNNNNNNNNNNNNNNNNNNNNNNNNNNNNNNNNNNNNNNNNNNNNNNNNNNNNNNNNNNNNNNCUACCAUCGGGAUUAGUGAUGAACUUAAAUCAUUGUUAUUUAGUGCCUGCGUUGAGCAUGAACAUUAUAUCUGGAUCUUGUUUAUUGCGAGACGGUUACUCUUUUAAGUCUGAGAAUAAUGGUUGUUCUAUUUCUAUGAGUAACAUCUUUUAUGGUCAUGCACCGAAUGUGAGAGGAUUGUUCAUAUUGAAUCUUGAUAGUCAUACACAUAUACAUAACAUUGACACCAAAAGAGUUAGAGUAAACAAUGAUAGCCCCAUAUUUUUCUGGCACUCCCGCUUGGGUCAUAUUGGUGUAAAGCGCAUGAAGAAACUCCAUGCUGAUGGACUUUUGGAGUCACUUGACUUUGAUUCACUUGACACGUGCGAACCAUGCCUCAUGGGCAAGAUGACUAAGACUCCGUUCUCCGGAACAAUGGAGCGUGCAAGUGACUUGUUGGAAAUCAUACAUACCGAUGUGUGUGGUCCAAUGAGCGUGGAGGCAUGCGGCGGAUAUCGUUAUUUUCUCACCUUCACUGACGAUCUAAGUAGAUAUGGUUAUGUCUACUUGAUGAAGCACAAGUCUGAAACAUUUGAAAAGUUCAAGCAAUUUCANNNNNNNNNNNNNNNNNNNNNNNNNNNNNNNNNNNNNNNNNNNNNNNNNNNNNNNNNNNNNNNNNNNNNNNNNNNNNNNNNNNNNNNNNNNNNNNNNNNNCAACAGGCUUGCCGCUCUUCUUCGAAUUGCCCUUCUUGCCUUUGCCGUUUCUCUUGAAACUAGUGGUCUUGCUCACCAUCAACACUUGAUGCUCUUUACGGAGUUCAGACUCUGCGACUUUCAGCAUCGCAAACAACUCGCCGGGAGACUUGUUCAUCCCUUGCAUGUUGUAGUUCAACACAAAGCCUUUAUAGCUUGGCGGCAGUGAUUGGAGGAUUCUGUCAGUGAUAGCUUCCUGCGGGAGUUCAAUCCCCAGUUCAGCUAGACGGUUUGAGUACCCAGACAUUUUGAGCACAUGUUCACUGACACACGAGUUUUCCUCCAUCUUGCAAGCAUAGAAUUUAUCGGAGGUCUCAUACCUCUCGAUCCGGGCGUUCUUCUGAAAGAUAAACUACAACUCCUGGAACAUCUCAAAUGCUCCAUGACGCUCAAAGAGACGUUGAAGUCCCGGUUCUAAGCCAUACAAGACUGCACAUUGAACUAUUGAGUAGUCCUCCUUGCGAGCUAACCAAGAGUUCUUAACAUCCUGAUCAGCCGUAGCGGGUGGUUCAUCUCCUAGCGCAGCAUUAAGGACAUAAUCCUUCUUUCCAGCUUGUAAGAUUAGCUUAAGAUUACGAGCCCAGUCUACAAAGUUGCUUCCAUCAUCUUUCAACUUAGCUUUCUCUAGGAACGUAUUAAAAUUGAGGAUGACACUUGCGUGAGCCAUGAUCUACAACACAAAUUUAUUCAAAGUGGACUUAGACUAUGUUCAAGAUAAUUAGAGUUCAACUUAAUCAAAUUAUAUGCUAAACUCCCACUCAAAAAGUACAUCUCUCUAGUCAUUUGAGUCGUUCAUGAUCCACUUACACUAUCCCAAGUCCGAUCAUCACGUGAGUAGAGGCUAGUUUAAGUGGUAAGCAUCCCUAUGCUAAUCAUAUCAACUAUAUGAUUCAUGAUCGACCUUUCGGUCUCAUGUGUUCCGAGGCCAUGUCUGCACAUGCUAGGCUCGUCAAGCUUAACCCGAGUGUUCCGCGUGCGCAACUGUUUUGCACCCGUUGUAUGUGAACGUUGAGUCUAUCACACCCGAUCAUCACGUGGUGUCUCGAAACGACGAACUGUAGCAACGGUGCANNNNNNNNNNNNNNNNNNNNNNNNNNNNNNNNNNNNNNNNNNNNNNNNNNNNNNNNNNNNNNNNNNNNNNNNNNNNNNNNNNNNNNNNNNNNNNNNNNNNCAACAGGCUUGCCGCUCUUCUUCGAAUUGCCCUUCUUGCCUUUGCCGUUUCUCUUGAAACUAGUGGUCUUAUUCACCAUCAACACUUGAUGCUCUUUAUGGAGUUCAGACUCUGCGACUUUCAACAUCGCAAACAACUCGCCGGGAGACUUGUUCAUCCCUUGCAUGUUGUAGUUCAACACAAAGCCUUUGUAGCUUGGCGGCAGUGAUUGAAGGAUUCUGUCAGUGAUAGCUUCUUGCGGGAGUUCAAUCCCCAGUUCAGCUAGACGGUUUGAGUACCCAGACAUUUUGAGCACAUGUUCAGUGACAGACAAGUUUUCCUCCAUCUUGCAAGCAUAGAAUUUAUCGGAGGUCUCAUACCUCUCGAUCCGGGCGUUCUUCUGAAAGAUAAACUACAACUCCUGGAACAUCUCAAAUGCUCCAUGACGCUCAAAGAGACGUUGAAGUCCCGGUUCUAAGCCAUACAAGACUGCACAUUGAACUAUUGAGUAGUCCUCCUUGCGAGCUAACCAAGAGUUCUUAACAUCCUGAUCAGCCGUAGCGGGUGGUUCAUCUCCUAGCGCAGCAUUAAGGACAUAAUCCUUCUUCCCAGCUUGUAAGAUUAGCUUAAGAUUAUGAGCCCAGUCUACAAAGUUGCUUCCACCAUCUUUCAACUUAGCUUUCUCUAGGAACGUAUUAAAAUUCAGGAUGACUGUCGCGUGAGCCAUGAUCUACAACACAAAUAUAUUCAAAGUGGACUUAGACUAUGUUCAAGAUAAUUAGAGUUCAACUUAAUCAAAUUAUAUGCUAAACUCCCACUCAAAAAGUACAUCUCUCUAGUCAUUUGAGUCGUUCAUGAUCCACUUACACUAUCCCAAGUCCGAUCAUCACGUGAGUAGAGGCUAGUUUAAGUGGUAAGCAUCCCUAUGCUAAUCAUAUCAACUAUAUGAUUCAUGAUCGACCUUUCGGUCUCAUGUGUUCCGAGGCCAUGUCUGCACAUGCUAGGCUCGUCAAGCUUAACCCGAGUGUUCCGCGUGCGCAACUGUUUUGCACCCGUUGUAUGUGAACGUUGAGUCUAUCACACCCGAUCAUCACGUGGUGUCUCGAAACGACGAACUGUAGCAACGGUGCANNNNNNNNNNNNNNNNNNNNNNNNNNNNNNNNNNNNNNNNNNNNNNNNNNNNNNNNNNNNNNNNNNNNNNNNNNNNNNNNNNNNNNNNNNNNNNNNNNNNAAGCGGAAAAAUGCGUCUUCAUAGGUUACCCAAAAGAGACAGUUGGGUACACCUUCUAUCUCAAAUCCGAGGGCAAAGUGUUUGUUGCUAAGAACGGAGCUUUUCUCGAGAAGGAGUUUCUCUCGAGAGAAUUGAGUGGGAGGAAGAUAAGACUUGACGAGGUUGUCGAACCUCUCAUCCCUCUGGAUGGUGGCGCAGGGCAAGGGGAAACCUCUGUCGUUGCGACGCCGGUUGAGGAGGAAGUUAAUGAUGAUGAUCAUGAAACUCCAGUUCAAGUUUCUGUUGAACCACGCAGGUCGACGAGAUCACGUGCUACUCCAGAGUGGUACGGUAAUCCCGUCUUAUCAAUCAUGUUGUUAGACAACAAUGAACCUGCAAGUUAUGAAGAAGCAAUGGUGGGCCCAGAUUCCAACAAAUGGCUAGAAGCCAUGAAAUACGAGAUAGGAUCCAUGUAUGAGAACAAAGUGUGGACUUUGGAGAUACUACCUGAGGGCCGCAAGGCUAUUCAGAACAAAUGGAUCUUUAAAAAGAAGACGGACACUGACGGUAAUGUGACCGUUUAUAAAGCUUGACUUGUGGCAAAGGGUUUUUCACAAGUUCCAGGAAUUGGCUACGAUGAGACUUUCUCACCCGUGGCGAUGCUUAAGUCCGUCAGAAUCAUGUUAGCAAUAGCUGCAUUUUUCGAUUAUGAAAUCUGGCAGAUGGAUGUCAAAACGGCGUUCCUUAACGGUUUCCUUAAGGAAGAGUUGUAUAUGAUGCAACCCGAAGGUUUUGUCGAUCCUAACAAUGCUCACAAGGUGUGCAAGCUCCAGCGAUCCAUUUAUGGACUGGUCCAAGCAUCUCGGAGUUGGAACAAACGCUUUGAUGAGGUGAUCAACGCAUUUGGGUUUAUACAAGUGGUUGGAGAAUCUUGUAUUUACAAGAAAGUGAGUGGGAGCUCUGUGGCGUUUCUAAUAUUAUAUGUGGAUGACAUAUUACUGAUUGGAAACAACGUAGAGCUUUUGGAGAGCAUAAAAGGUUACUUGAAUAAAAGUUUCUCUAUGAAGGACCUAGGAGAAGCUGCUUACAUUCUAGGCAUUAAGAUCUAUAGGGAUAGAUCAAAACGCCUGACAGGACUUUCACAAAGCACAUACCUUGAUAAAGUUUUGAAGAGGUUCAAAAUGGAACAGUCCAAGAAAGGGUUCUUGUCAGUCUUACAAGGUACGAGAUUGAGUAAGACUCAGUGCCCAGCAACUGAUGAAGAUAGAGAGCAUAUGCGCUCCCUCCCCUAUGCUUCCGCCAUAGGAUCUAUCAUGUAUGCCAUGAUGUGCACUAGACCGGAUGUUAGCCUGGCCAUAAGUAUGGCAGGUAGGUUCCAGAGUAAUCCAGGAGUGGAUCACUGGACAGCUGUCAAGAAUAUCCUGAAGUACCUGAAAAGGACUAAGGAGAUGUUUCUCGUAUAUGGAGGUGACGAAGAGCUCGCCGUAAAAGGUUACGUCGAUGCAAGCUUUGACACAGAUCCGGACGACUNNNNNNNNNNNNNNNNNNNNNNNNNNNNNNNNNNNNNNNNNNNNNNNNNNNNNNNNNNNNNNNNNNNNNNNNNNNNNNNNNNNNNNNNNNNNNNNNNNNNCGCCUGGAUCUUGAUCGGGUCGCGUCGUGGUGUGGGGCUACGGAUCCGGUCGCUAGGCAGCGUGGGGCUGUGGAUCCGACGAGGUCACGAUGGAGGAGGAGCAGGGACUACCCUGCCGUCGCCGCCUCCGCCCCCUCCCCCCGUUCCUUCACCUCCCUCCUCUUCCUCCCUCGCAGUGCAUCUCUUCCUCUUCCCUCUUCUUGCAAACACUGUCCUAUUCAAACAUGUCUCAACACAUACAUGACCACUAAACAACUCAAGAUGUAUGUAUUUAUUAUGUCUAUAUUUAGCAUGUAUUAACAGGGAACAACUAUGUUAGGGUGAGAUCAGCUGUCAAACACACCUAUAGAGAAAGUACAUUGCUGAUUGCUCGAUUGAAUCCAUUCCAUGGAGUACGUGUCAAUAUGGUUGGCCAUAUAGUAUACUAAUGCGGGAUCAAAGUUGGAUAUAUUUAACGGAUAUGGAAUCAUUCCGAACGACACCUAGCUACGAGUUAGAUUGAUUAGUUAAUGGCGGUGGCGGCUACCGAAGUAGCGAAGCUAAGCUGACGCUGCGUGGUUAUUAGUUGGGGAUCAUUUUGAGUGUCGAAAUGCUAUAUCUACGAACAGGCCUUACGUGUUUUUACGUCAUCUACCUUAACUACUAAACUCUUCCUCUGAUUUCAAUCCAGGUGGAGCCCAGUCACUAAGCCUACUUCAAUUACUAACUCCCACGUUAACUUUUACGUAAAAUCAUCACGUAAUAUUACGUAGGUCUAGCAUUGCUCGCAGUGUUACCUCUCGGACGAUGCAUGCAAGGCUACGUACCACUUGCAGUCUUGCAGGACAAAAUUCGCAGCCCGACACGUGCUACACUGUAGUUUAUUGGCUAGAAACACUGGAUGGGGUCACAGUCAUGCAUGGUAUGAACGCGUGCUCUCUUAUCCAAAAAGUCAUUUGGCUUUUCGAUCGUGUCCCAUCUUUCAACGAAUGAAUAUCGCCAUGGCAAGUUGCUUGAAUUAGCAACCCGCGUCGGCGAUUUCGGGAGAACCGGAGAACCAAGCCCAACGGUAAUGGCAUUUUUUUAAUGCUAGCGCUUAAAUCAAACAUCGCAUUUAUCUAUGUGGUACCAGUCCUCAUACAUAAAUGUAGAAGUCGGCCGUCUAACCAUAAGCGCUUACUACCUUCAUUACGGUUUAGAACGCACAGCUAAAUUUACGUGCAUUUCCACUGUAGGCAAGGUUUAAGCCGCAUUGCAUUUACUCCUAGCAUCUAAUUAGUACUCUGUUGUACCAAUCAAUAAAUGCAUGUGUAGUAUGAAUGCUACUUUUAUAUGCAUGUGUAGUAUGAAUGCUAUUUUUAACUCAUUUCACAAUCAAUCAAUAAACACCUAGGUUAUAGAGAAUUUCCAUGCACGUCUUUUAAACCGUGACGGGGGGAGUACAUUUGAAUGCGGAUUUCAAUAAAUUUGACAAGAUUUAUACCAACCGAAAGAUUUUCAUAUAAAUUGAAUCACUAUUAUUAUAUUUUGGACACAAAAAACCAUUGAAUGUAGACUUGGCCCACGACAACGUCCGUUUUUGUUCUUCUGUUUGGGCGAUCGUUGGCUCCAUGUCGUCAUCUCCAUGAGUAUAGGAGAUAAGACCUCAUGUGGUCGUUAAAGAGGAAGAGUGAACAUGGGAUGGACCAGCCCAGUUGGGACUCGUGGGCCCGCCACCUCCCAAUGCCAUACUCAUUUUCGGCGGAGUACGUGACCUUGUCGGUGAACUCGAGGUCCACAAUGGACGUGGAUGCGCUGACACGCUCGUCGUCCGAACGACGCACAUGCAUGGUUUAUAGUCUUAACCGCAAUCGCCUUGGCUGCCUCCGCAUCGGCCGCGAUAGCGUCCGGCUACGUCGGGACAACACUGCAAGCGGCGACCUGAGUGCGUGCGGCCUCAUAGAGCAACCGCAGCUCGGCGACAAAAGAUUGGGUUUGAUGCGACCAUGACCACCAACCACUUUCAUGCUCGACAUUGAUCAUGCGGGGUAGAUAUACGUCCCGUCAUGUCGAGCAACAUCUCUCCGGCAUUGAAUAGCUGCGGACACCAUGGACGUAAUUCAGGGAACUCCCUAUCGGUGAGCCCACUUCAAUGACUAUGCAAGUGAGAGAUCACAUCCCCUCCGGGUUAACAUCAGUGCGAAGCGGCAUGAACAUGGGCUGAAUGCUUUGGGCGGGAAAGGGCUCAUGCAAAGGAGAGGGUUUUGGGUGGGGUCAGCCCCUCACUCCGGAUUUGCCAGAAAAAGACGUUAGACCGGCCAUCGGACGGAUACACGACCGUGUUGGAUGGCAAAAUACGUCCAAACCACGCGGUCCGGGCAGUUUGAGGGUCCGCAUUGGAGAUAUCCUAAGAGGCCUUGUUUGAUAGAGUAGGUUUUCAAGCCCGAAGGGCCUAUGGAUUUUGAGGGAUUUGGUGAAUCCCUCCUCUUCAUUAAUCCCCUAUAUUCCCUCCCAUCCUCAGUCCCAAUAUUUCCAUGCACAUAAAAUUGUUGUUUGGCGGUUGGGGCUAGCCAUUGAGUGCACAACAGAAUAAAAUGUGAUUUUUAUCACACUAACAAGAACAUGAACACACCAAGUUUUGGGUAGGUUCAUCUCAACAGCACACCAAUUCAUCAUAGCAGCACAAUAUAAUAAAAAUUGUUCUUUGAGAUGUUCAUAAAAAAACAAAUCACUUUGUAUGACUUUGAAUCAAAUAAAACAAGGAUAUAUCACCCGCUCUAAAGAAAGAGAAUUGCGACAACAAUUCAGAACAACGGUUCAUCAUAGCAGUUCAUGGGAGAAGUUCGUAAUUUUUGGCAACAACACUCAAAAUCAUGUUACUCUUAUCAUUUUGCUUUCCAUCACUUUACACUUUCGGGAGCAAGGUUCUUCCUUAGAUGAAAAAUAAAAUUAUAGUGUUGUGAGGGCGUAUUAAAUGCAUACGCAAAAUAUUCAAGUCAAACCAUGAAUAUUUAUACACUACAAACCGAAUUGGCAAAGAUCACAACUGAUACAAACUUGUGUUAUCAUAUCAAAUUAUGAAUCACACAAGAAGAAACCAGACACAAAAAUGAUAAUUGGUUGAGCAUUCAGAAAGAAAUUCAAGGACUUGACAAAACUACCGAAGAUUGUAACAAAUAGAUUAAACUAGUUUUGCAAGAGCAUCUCCAAUAGAUGAUCUAAGAUAUUUGUCACCAAAUUGUGUGCUUUGAGUACAAUUUACAUCACCCAAAGUGUUUUUUACAUCACCAAAAAACUUCAACUCCAAUAGAUGGUGGAAAAUAUGAGACUAGUGCUCCAAUAGGUGAUAUAAAACAGGAUAGCCGCACAACAACCGCUUCACAAUUUCAUACAUAUUUGAAUCAAAUAAUAUAAAAAUCACCUAAAUCUGAAACAAACAUAAUGACAAUUUCGUUAACCCUGAACAUCAAAUUAUUAAAUAAUUCAUCAUAUCCAUAAAUUCAAAAGUAACACAAAUACAGAAAAGUUUAGCACAUAAUACAACAAAGUUCAUGCAAAAUACAACUAACGUAUAGAUGAAACUAGGGUAUUUGUUUCCCAUGCCAUGUCCACCACUCAUCCGUCACUCCAUGAUAUCUUUUUAAAGAUCGUUGUGCGUAUCGAACUCUCCGAUAUCAAGGUAUACACCUGCAUAAAGUAUUUGAUUCGGUCUUGCCUUCAACUUUGCCAAAUAUGUACUCCCAUAAUUUCAAAGAUGGUGUAAGUCAAAUUAUGUCCACGUUCAUUCUCAGUGAUCACGUUGUGCAUGAUCACGCAAGCUAUCAUGAUGUAUCCGAGGUUCUCUUGAUCCCAAAACCUAACCGGUCCUCAGACAAUAGAAACAUUAUUCACAAAUUUGAAAAAAGUUCAUCAAUUUUGAAUACAAGUUGAGAAUUUCAGUAAAAAAAUUCAUUGAUUUUUUUAAAAAAACAAUGCAUUGAAAAAAGUUCAUGGAUUUUGAGAAAAAGUUCAUCGAUUUUGUACAAAAAGUUUAUGAAUUUUAAAAGGUUAGUCAGUUGUUUUAAAGGUUCACAUGUUUGAAGAAGAUAGCAUUUAAGGGAAAAAAGAAAACACGAGAAAGAGAAAAUAAAAAGGAAAGGCAACAAGAAAACAAAAAUACUGAAUAAGAACCAUUCGAAAAAUGACUAGCGAAUUGGGAAAAAAUGAUUAAGGAAUCUUUGGGAAGUUUCCAAAACCGGGUGUUUCCACGAACCGAAGAAAGGAUAAUAAAAAAGGAAAGUAAGUAGGCAUAAGCGUUAAGAUGUCCUAGUGGUUACUAUGGUUCUCUCUACUUGAAGAGAUCUCGAAUUUGAACCCAUGCCAUGUUCCUUUUUUGCAGUUUAACAGAAAAUAAGGAAGGUAAAUGUCGUAAUUUUUGGUCAUGUAUGUGAAAAGCAUUCAUGUGGACUUACAAAUGUUAAUCACAUCCAUAUUUAGAAGAAGUUCGUCAUGCGUUCAAAAAAAAGGUUGUUUCACAUUUUGAAAACAAAUUCACCAUGUAUUGUUCAAGUGCUUAGUGUGCAUUAGUAAAAUGCUUAAUUUUACCGUGCAUUAAUAGAAUUGCAUACAUGCCAUCAACUAGGAGUAGGACUACUCUAAGCUUAAUUUUAUGCCUACGUACGUACGAAGGUCAUGUGGCCUGCUUAACUCAAGCUACCCACCAAUUAAACCCUAGUUAUUUUGUAGCGGUUAGUUAACUCCAUGCUGGCUGGCUAGCUAGCUAGCUCGAUCUGAUCCACAGGACAGUUUGCAGAGAUUAACAAAAAAAAAGGGUGCAUAGCAGCGCCAGCACAGUGGCAUGUUUGCUGUAGACACAUAGAGAAAGUACAUUGCUCGAUUGAUUCGAUUCCAUGGAGUACCUGUUAACAGUUGAUUAAUCGAUUCCAUGCUCGAUUGGAUAUACUUAACAGUUGAUUACCUAACCAGUGACAAACUAAAUGCGGCUAGCUAGCUAAGCAAUAGGUUGUUAAUUAGUUGGUGAUACAUCUUAUAAUGUAAGACGUUUUUGCAAGCUAAAUUUAGCCAUGGAUGUACUAGCGACAUCUGCGUUUUCUUCACAUCAUGUAGCCAUGGUUGAAUUUUUGCUCUUGGUUGGUACGUAGCUAAAUAGUGGAGUCUGAGAUGAAAGGAUUUUCCUUCUCAUCCGCAGUAGUACAUCUUGUGGCCAUAUCCAUACUCCAUUGGUCACGCUUGAAAUAGCAAGCUUUGGUAGCAUCUGAUCCAGUAUAAACAGGGUAGCAUUUCUGCGAGCUUAUCCGGUUAUGUUGCAGCAGUAUUUGACAACCGGACAGUGACACCAAAUAGUUUAGUUAAGGCAUAUAUAGGUUUGACCAACAGUACUCUGUUCUUCGCAGAAAGAAAGCUAUUGCUAUGUUAGCAUACGAUUUAUAUCUUUAUCGAAAAAGCAUACGAUUUAUAUUAGUUAUAUGAAAUUAUACGUAGUUACUUUUUAAUGUGAAUCUAAGACAUCAGUUGCAUGUCGCAUAAAUUACAUAAUUAUAGAGUAACUGUUGGUCAAAUGUUUAACUUAACAACACAUAAUUAAUGGAUUCUAAGUUGAAGAAUGGAGAGAGUACAAGGUUUAACUUGCAGUGAUCAUACACCGUAACCACGAUUGUCUGAUAUACUCUGAGCACCCACUCAUCAUUUUAUUACAACACGAACGACGACUGGACAAAACGACUAGCAGAAGGACACCAUCUCCAGUGCACGCGUGAGCUAGCAUGGACGAUUAACCAAUCUCUCACAUGGCGGCGGCGUGUCCCUCGUCGUUGGCGGUCUCGAUACCCUCGACACGCCUGUUGGGGACGGCGCAGUUCUGCCGGAUCUCGCCCUGGGUGCCGGUGAGCAAGUCCAUGUUGCUCAUCUUCACCAUGGACAUGGCGAACUGCCUGAAGAAGGCAGACUGGCUGAGCGCGAACCGCGUGGUCAAGAGCCUCGUGUCGGGGUGGUCGAUGAGGGCCUGGUCGGACUUGAACAAUCCCUGCCUGACGAUGAGGUCGAAGUAGUACUUGUUGUCGAACACGUCGGGCGUGCGCACGUCGAGGGUCUGAUUGACGGUGCCCUGGGGCACGUCCUUGGCGCACUUGGCCCGCAGCCUCCUGGCGAAUAGCGGGUCGAUGAGCGGGUUGAGGUCGAUGUUGGGAGCGAAGCGGUCGGAGAAGACGGGGCAGUGGGCGACGCCGAAGGUGUGCGCGCCGGAGAGCGAGACGAGGUCGGCCACGUCGAGGCUCCGGUUGCCGAAGGAGGAGAUGAGAGUCGGCACGUCGAAGGAGGGCGCCGGCAGGGUGUCCACGAGGUCCUGGGACGCCGGGGCGAGCCCGUCGCGGCGGCCGAGGGCGACGUCGAAGUGUGGCCCGCCAGCCUGCAUCCACCACGUACGUACUCGUUGAUUAAUCGGUUCUGCUCAGGUUGAAAAUAUCGUCUGACAUAUGUACGCUUGUGUGGAGCAUAUGGCCGGCAGGCAUGAAGUGGAGUGUACCUGUACGAGGGCGUCACGGGUGGCGAGGACGGUGAUGUCGGCGCAGGAGACGGUCGGGCCGCAGGCGGCAUGGACGGCGGCGCGGAUGCGCUCGAUGAGGUCGAGAGCAACGGGGCGGAGCGUCUGGUUGGGCACCGCAUUCAGCUCGCUGUUGUUCCCGGUGAGGAGCACCGACGCGUCGCAGCCCUGCGGGAAGCAGUCGUGGAAGAGGAUGCGGAUGAGGGCGGGGGCGACGCCGACGUCGCGCCGGAAGGUCUCCGCCACGAGGUCCCCCACGAUCUUCUCCAGGCCCGGGCACGACGCGGCGUGGAAGCCCCGGGACAGCCCGCCGGCGUCCGCGGCCGAGAUGGUCGACUGGGCGGCGCAGAUCAAGGCUGCCAGGACGAGGACGGUCGCUGUUGCUCUGGACGCCAUUGCUGUCGCCCUACAGAGAUGUAGCUGAGCUUUUUUGCACGAUGAUGGUCGUGUGGCUUGCUCAAGCUAUGGACACUAAACCCUUGUUAUUUAUACACGGCCAAGUGGCUAACCACCCCACAGCUGGGUAGGUACGUACGUGGCUUAACUCGAUAUUAAUUAUCUACAAGGUGGAAAACAUGUGCAAGUCGGUGCCUGAAAUUUCCCAGAACUUUCCGUAUGCCUUGCGCCCAACAACCCCUUCACUGCGUAUGUGAGUAAUUUACGAUUAGGAUGUGUGACAUCGAUCCAAGUGGGACAUAUACAUAAGGGGUCUGGAAUCAUUUUGAAUGACGCCGAGCUGGCUACGUACGACCUACAGGGAUAGGAUCAGCCUGAGCUUCUUAACCCUCAAAAGAGUUAAGUCAUCAAAAUAUUCUCUUGAUCGAUGCGUGCGUUCCCACACAACCAUCUCAAAGCAUCUCCUGGUCCAAAUUUAACGAUCCAGCCCGUGGGGGGGGGGGGGGGGGCGGCCCGGCCCGUGAAAGUCCUCGGCCCCCCUCCCAGGUCGCACGUAGCCUAUGGGGAUAGCUCUGCAAGGCAGAAGCGCACGUAGAAGUAGACUAAUGUAGAUGCGCAGCCAACGUAGGACGUGACCGAUGGACAAGAUCGUGCACAUCACUACCACGCGAAGAUAAUGGGCCCGACCCAGCGCCAUGGGCAUCAUUACCGUGGUUCAGGAAGACCCAAGGUAAAAAACUAAAUUAACGCACAAUGCUCAGUCUUGUUUUUUAGGUCGUCACGCCCAAACUCCCAUCCCAAUCACGGCAAGGCCAUUGCGUGUUUGCCGCAUGUGUUUGCCUCCGAUGCGGGGGCGACACUACGACAGAUGAGCAUCCAAAUAGGGUAGUCAUCUAGAUCUGGUAGGUCAAUUUGCUCCUUUUGAUUCAAUCUUGUGGGUUUUAUGAAUUUUGGGGUUUCUUGAUUUCGGGGAAAAAAUUAUAGUUACAAUGAGAGGAUUUUUGUUUGGCAUUUCAAAAUUAGUAGCCAUGCUGCUAUUGUUCGGUUAUGAAAAUUGGGAAUAUGGGACGAUGUCUACUGCAACAGGAUUAUGAUUAAUCAUUGAAUCGUGUCAAGUUAUUUAUUAACUCGAUAAUCAAUGUUAUGGUUUUGUAGUGCAGCUGCAAAAGCAUUAUGUCCAAGGCAUGUUGAUAGUUCCUUCCGUAUUGAAGAUUCCAACUUAGAUCUCCGGUAUCAAAGUUUUGAUAGAAAAUGAUGUUUUUGGAUUUGGAGAUGAUAUCAAAUAAUAUUGGAUUUUCUGUCGGUACAAUGGGUUUCUCAUAUACCGUAGCUAAAGUUUGACUGUUUGACUCACUAUACAUGUGUUUUAUCUCCAGGGCUUAGAAGAUGUUUCUAAUGCUUCAUAAAAAACAAAGAUUCUUAUCAAGAAGCACAUGAACACGGAGGCACUACAUGAGUUGAUGAUGAUCAAGGUAUGAUUGUUUUUGUUCUACUAUAAGAAGCACAUGCAUCUUUCAAAUAGCUACAUAUUGAUAACAAAUAAUGGAGAAUAAUGUGAGAUACGUAAAUGUCCCAGAGAGGUUAAAAGUUUUGCAACUUAGUAUAUCAAGAAUAAAUUGUUGAAUAAGAUUGAUAUCAAUACCAUCAUCCCUGAGAUUGCAUCUCGGAAUGUUAGACCCAAAUUUUGAGAUACAUAUAUAAAAAUUAUGUGAUUUUAAAUGCAUUUUAAGCGUUACACGACAACAUUUUUUACGUUUAUGAAUUUAUGUUAAAGGGUCCCGGGUUCUAGUUUCGCCCCGGAUCCCCGAAAUCUCAGGACCGGCCCUGGGUCCAAAUUCAAAUCACUAAAAGGUGCUUUUUAUAAAAAGGCUCAACUUCAACAGAUGAUCUAAAACGAAGAUGUAAAAAAAGAGCAUCUCCAAUAGAUGGUCCAAAACAAAGAUGCAAAACCGACCGACGGCCGCACGACUGCUAUUCAGCCACUUUACAGCCGCGGUUUUGCGUUCAAAUAUCACUUCAAAUUCGAAAUAAAGUGCAUCAUCAUCAUAGUUCAAAUCAUAACAAAAGUGCAUCACCAUCAUUAUAGUUUACAAUCCCUCUACCAAAAGUGCAACGUCCCAAUCAAAGUUUUUUGGCGUACAAAUUAAAAUACACAUGAAUAUCAUUCAUGCGGAACAUCAACACCAUCGACGUUGUGAACUGUGGUACGAUCGUCAUCAUACACAUUUCAUCGAACAUGUUGGAGGCGGUGGCCGUCGGCGUGGCCAAAUCUUCCUCCACGUCCGGCGGUGGCAGCGGUGGAGGUGGGGGAUGUUGGGGAACGUUGCAUGGGAAACAAAAAAAUUCUACGCACACGCAAUACCUGUCCAUGGUGAUGAUCAUCUACUAGAAGGGAGAGUGAAUCUACAUACCCUUAUAGAUCGCUAAGCGGAAGCGUAUAUAUUGCGGUUGAUGUAGUGGAACAUCUUCGCAAUCCAAAUCACAGCCCGUCCCACGAUCUCAUCACGAUUCGUCCCGCGAUCCCAUCACGAUCCUUCCCGAUCUAGUGUCGAACGGACGACACCUCCGCGUUCAGCACACGUACAGCUAGAUGAGGAUGUCCACCUUCUUGAUCGAGCAAGAGGGGACGGAGAGGUAGAUGAGUUCUCCAGCACGACGGCGUGGUGGUGGUGGUGGUACUAUUCCAGCACGGAUUCGCCUAAGCACCAUUGAAACUAGAGGAGAAAUAGAUCUAGAGAGAGAGGGCAACACGUGGCUGUUUUCUAUUUUUUUUCUAAAUCCCUCAAAACCCUUAGUAUAUAUAUAGUAGGAAAGGAGGGAGAGUGUUGCGCCCUAGGGCUGCCCUUUCUUCCCUUGCGCAAGGAGGAGAGGAGGAGUCCUCCUUCAAUCCUAGUAGGAGUAGGCUUCCUCCUUCCCAGUUGGAAACUCUUUCCACCUUGUGUUUUUUCCUUCUCAAACCUUAUGGGCCUUAGUGGAAACUUAUUCCAGCCCACUAGGGGCUGGUUUAUCUCUUCCCAUAUCCCAUGAGGCCCCUUGGGGUGUGACACCCCUGCCGAUGGUCUCCGGCACCCCUCACGGCACUCCCGGUACACUACCGAUCAGCUCGAAACUUUUCCGGUGAUCAAAACAUGACUUCCUAUAUAUCAAUCUUUACCUUCGGACCAUUUCAGAGCUGCUCGUGACGUCCUCGAUCUCAUCCAGGACUCCGAACAACCUUUGGUCACCAACACAUAUAACUCAACUAUACCGAACCUUAAGUGUGCAGACCCUGCGGGUUCGAGAACUAUGCAGACAUGACCUGAGACACUCUCCGGUCAAGAACCAAUAGCGGGACCUGGAUGUACAUAUUGGCUCCCACAUAUUCUACGAAGAUCUCUAUUGGUUGAACCUCUAUGUCAAGGAUUCAGUUAAUCCCGUAUGUUGUUCCCUUUGUCCUUCGGUAUGUUACUUGUUGGGUUACGUAGCAUAAAUUCAAAAUUUUCCUACGCAUAUUCAGAUCUUCCUAUGGAGAGACCAGCAACGAGAGAGGGGUAAGAGCAUCUUCAUACCUUUGAAGAUCGCUAAGCGGAAGGGUUGCUAGAACGCGGUUGAUGGAGUCGUACUCGCAGCGAUUCCGAUCUAGUGCCGAACUACGACACCUCCGCGUUCAACACACGUGCAACCUGGUGACGUCUCCCACACCUUGAUCCAGCAAGGAGGAGGGAGAGGUUGGGGAAGAACUCCAGCAGCACGCGGCGUGGUGUCGAUGGAGAGACGAGGUCUCCCGGCAGGACUUCGCCAAGCACCGGUAGAGAGGAGGAGAAAGAAGAGCAGGGCUGCGCCGAGGGAGAGGGAAAAGUCUAUCUCUCAAUGGCAAAAAGUGCCCGAUAUAUAUAGGGGGAGGGGAGAGGGGGUGCCACCCCUAGGGUUCCCACCCUAGGGGGUGCGGCAGCCCCCCAGAUGGGAGGUGCGGCGGCCAGAGGGGGGAGGAGGGGGUGGCGCACCAUCUGGUGGGCCUUAGGCCCACCUGGCUUAGGGUUUGCCCCCCCCCCUUUUCUCUCCCCUGCGCAUUGGGCUGAGUGGGGAGGCGCACCAGCCCACCUAGGGGUUGGUUCCCACCCCCACUUGGCCCACCUUACCUCCCGGGGUCGUUUCCCCCCUUCGGUGGUCCCGGUGGUCCCGGUGGUCCCACUAUGUUACCGGUGAUGCCCGAAACACUUCCGGUAUCCGAAACCAUCCGUCCUAUAUAUCAAUCUUUACCUCCGGACCAUUCCGGAGCUCCUCGUGACGUCCGGGAUCUCAUCCGGGACUCCGAACAUCUUUCGGUAACCUCGUAUAACAAUUCCCUAUAACCCUAGCAUCAUCGAACCUUAAGUGUGUAGACCCUAUGGGUUCGGGAGACAGGCAGACAUGACCGAGACACCUCUCUGGCCAAUAACCAUCAACGGGGUCUGGAUACCCAUGGUGGCUCCCACUUGCUCCACGAUGAUCUCAUCGGAUGAACCAUGAUGUCAAGGAUUCAAUCAAUCCCGUAUACGAUUCCCUUUGUUUGUCGGUAUAGAACUUGCCCGAGAUUCGAUCGUCGGUAUACCUAUACCUUGUUCAAUCUCGUUAACGGUAAGUCUCUUUACUCGUUUCGUAGCACGUCAUCGUGUGACUAACUCCUUAGUCACAUUGAGCUCAUGAUGAUGUUCUACCGAGUGGGCCCAGAGAUACCUCUCCGUCACACGGAGUGACAAAUCCCGAUCUCGAUUCGUACCAACCCAACAGACACUUUCGGAGGUACCCGUAGUGCACCUUUAUAGUCACCCAGUUACGUUGUGACGUUUGAUACACCCAAAGCACUCCUACGGUAUCCGGGAGUUGCACAAUCUCACGGUCGAAGGAAAAGAUACUUGACAUUAGGAAAGCUUUAGCAUAGGAACAAUGCGAUCUAGUGCUAUGCUUAGGAUUGGGUCUUGUCCAUCACAUCAUUCUCCUAAUGAUGUGAUCCCGUUAUCAAUGACAUCUAAUGCCCAUGAUCAGGAAACCAUGAUCAUCUAUUGACUAACGAGCUAGCCAACUAGAGGCUUGCUAGGGACACAUUGUGAUCUAUUUAUUCACACAUGUAUUACUGUUUCUUGUUAAUACAAUUAUAGCAUGAACAAUAGACGAUUAUCAUGAACAAGGAAAUAUGAUAAUAACCAUUUUAUUAUUGCCUCUAGGGCAUAUUUCCAACAUUACUUGCCCGAGAUUCGAUCGUCGGUAUCUUCAUACCUAGUUCAAUCUCGUCAUCGGCAAGUCUCUUUACUCAUUCCGCAAUAAAAGAUCCCGUAACUAACUCCUUAGUCACAUUGCUUGCAAGGCUUGUUGUGAUGUUGUAUUACUGAGUGGGCCCCGAGAUAUCUCUCCGUCACACGGAGUGACAAGUCCCAGUUUUGAUCCAUGCCAACCUAACAGACACCUGGAGAUACCUGUAGAGCACCUUUAUAGUCACCCAGUUACGUUGCGACGUUUGAUAGCCCACAAGGUAUUCCUCUGGUGUCCGGGAGUUGCAUGAUCUCAUGGUCAUAGGAACCGAUACAUUGACAUGGGGAAAACAGUAACAAUAAACUGACACGAUCAUUUGCUACGUUCAUAAUUUUGGGUCUUGUCCAUCACAUCAUUCUCCCAAUGAUGUGAUCCCGUUAUCAAGUGACAACACUUGUCUAUGGUCAGGAAACCUUGACCAUCUUUGAUCAAUGAGCUAGUCAACUAGAGGCUCACUAGGGACAGUGUGUUGUCUAUGUAUCCACACAUGUAUUUGAGUUUCCAAUCAAUACAAUUCCAGCAUGGAUAAUAAACGAUUAUCAUGAAUAAAGAAAUAUAAUAAUAACCAAUUUAUUAUUGCCUCUAGGUCAUAUUUCCAACAGAGGAAAGGCUCCUUGGCUGGUAGAGGACGUGGCCGGCCCUAGCUGCGAGUCAUCGGCCCGAGCCCGCCGGCUGCCUUUGAGUUUUUGCCCAGCCGUGAUUAGCCAACCGUUUUCAUGCCUUCGGCGCCUUCGCAGGAACCGUCGGUGCAGGGGCAACCGGCCGGGGCGGCGGACGGGUACGGUGACAUGGACGAGGCGGCAGAGGGCGAGUUCGCCGCAACCGUGGCGGCCGACGGGCGGGUCGUGGGCUGGCGGUCGCGAUGCGGGAGGUGAAUGAACUAGCGGUUAGGCGUUGGCGUGGGGACGCGGUUUUUACAUCACUUGUAUCUUGUGAUGUAAAUUUGCAUCAUGCAGUUUUCAUUUUUACAUCACCGGGAGGCCGCAAUUGAUUUUUUUACAUAUGGACCGUUUGUUGGAGCAUUGUUUUUUUCCCAAGACGAUCCAAAAUUUAGGUAUUUUUACAUUUGUAUCAUCUAUUGGAGAUGCUCUUACAAAGGGUUAACUCAACAAAAUAUUCUCUUUUGAGGGGUUAACCGCACCUAGCUGGACGCCUGGACUCCUAUCCGGCUAACUCCUUAAGUAUUUGAGGAGUUAAGCGUGAAAAACUUCUCAAGGCUCUCAUUUUUGAGUGGGCGAGACAAGUUAUCGGCAAAACACCCCCGCUUCCCAACUCCUUCUCGCGACGCAUCCGCUAAUCAGUGUCACAGUCAGAGCCAUCGGAUACCCCCAUUUCGACGGGAAUGACAUGGGAGGGCGCUUCCAUGUCAAGGAAGCACUCGGGACAAAUAGCGUGGUGAGAACCAUCGCACCGUCGAAAAAGGCAAGCCGUAAGGGUAUGCUUUCACGAAGACGAGAGGUUCCCCUCCAUUUGCUCCGGCUGGUGGCAAGCGAGUGAGGAAGCCACCAGUGGCCGACAAGACGCUUAACAAAGUGCCGGCAAAGAAAAGGAAGAAGAUGUGCACGUCGACGCCUUCUCUGUCAUAGCCCUUCUCCAGCAUCCCCUAUCACCUCCUCCUUUAGCGCGUUUGCCCGCGGCGGAGGUCUGCCAACUACUCGACAAAAUGUCAAAAUGCAUGUGGGGUAAUUUGUUUUUCUGCUGUGGAUAUUGGUAGUAAUGUUUUGCAGCGGAUAUCUUGGGACGUGCUUGUGGUUGUUUAUUUUAGUGUGGAGGAGCAGUUGCAAAUUUCAUGUCUCAAUUGGAUUCAUCACACAUAAUCAGCCUUGACGAUCUAGAUUACGAUGGUCCAAGGUAUGCUCAAGAAACAAGAGAGGGAGGAGGAUGAUCAAAAAGUGAAAGAGGUCAAUGAUCCCGUGGAGCCACAAUAAAGCAUUAUGAAGACGAUAUAGAGGGCAGUAGGGCGUUCAGUGGCACCAUACUAGUUGAGUCUCAUCCAAUUUCGUAUUCUAACCCUUCUUUUGACAUGAUUAACAUUUAUGAACAAUACGCGUGUGAGAUUCUUUCCUCUAAAUGGACAUACAAAGAACGUUGCAAUAAUAAUUUGCACUAAAAGAUACUAUAAAAUCAGGAACUGAAGAUGACAGAUUCCAACAAAAGUGUACCCCUUCUUGAAUAUAUAUAGUAACACUAUUCAUCAUCGAGGGUGUAGAAUGAGUUAUUCUUCAUCCGAAGUAAUCUUACGGUUGUUUCAUAAAUAAUUUUUUUUUUACAAAUAGUUAUAUGCAUAUUGUUUCAUUAUAUAAAAUUUGGCAUAAGAAAACAAUUAUAUAUGUCAGAAGACCAGAAAAAAUGCAUUUUAUGUGUAUUUUACACUAUAUUUUUACGUUUGUAACUUUAAAUAGCGUAAAAUAUUUUUAUGACGAUUUAAUAUUUUCUUUAGUUCCUUUUUUGGUAAAAAGUAAGAAAAAAAAGUACGAACAGUAAAAAUACGGUGCAUUGAUGGUAAAAUAGAGGGGACGAAGAAUAACUAUUCCUCACCUAGGAUGACGAAUAGCGCGACUAUUCGUCACAUCAAUGCACCAUAAUUUUAUGUUCUGUUUUUUCUUCAUACGUAAAAAGAGACCGUAACAAGAUAUAUAGUCAUUAUAAAAAAUAUUUUAUGUCACCUAAAAUUACAAACAUAAAAACAUAGUGUAAAAUAUACAUGAAAUGUGAUUUUUUGAUCUUAUGACCUCUAUUUUUAAUUUUUUACAUCAAAUUUUACGUAAUGGAUCAACAUUAAUGAAACUAUUGGUAUUACAAAUGUAAUAUAUGUAUGAAACGGUCGUAAGAUUACCUGGGUGAGGAAUAACUUAUUUUGCACCCUCGGUGAAUCAUUAUUCAGGAUGCAGAAUAGUUUAUUCUUCAUCCGAGAUAUUUGUACGAUCAAUUUACUAAUAAAUUAAGUUUCAAAUACAAAUAAUUAAAUUUAUAUUGAAUCACUAUGUAAAAUUUGACAAAAUCAAAACAAAAGUAUAGGUCACAAGACUAGAAAAAUUUGAAUUUAUUGUAUUUUUUGCACUAUUUUUGUAUGUUCGUAAUUUUACGUGACAUAAAAUAUUUUUACGUUGAUUAUAUUUUUUUUACUGUCUCUUUUUAUGUAUAAAAUAAGACAAAAUUUACGGAACGUAAAAUUACGGUGCAUUGAUGUUAAAAUUAUGGUGAAUUGAUGUUAAAAUUAUAUAUAUACUAGAUUCAUGCAUGUCAGUAAAAUUUAGCGGCACCGUUCUCGUCGUCACCUAUAUUGUUAAGUGGACUAGUUGGACCAUCGCAAUGACGUGUUGGGUCACCCUUGACACGUGUCAGUGGCAUCUCGAACAUGUUGAGAUAUUCGCCUGCUGUCAGUCGGUGGCCACCACCACUCGAGAACAUUUGUGGCGGGUGUCGAGGGCUUAAGUGAUGUGGUCGUGUGGCAAUAGUUUUUUUUAUAGUGAAGUGAGGCGAUCACACACAGGAAAGAGUGGGGUGCAUGUGGGGGAGAAGACGAUAUGGCAACUAUUGAGUUUAGUCCAUAUUGAUUGUGGGAGCAGGCAUAACAGAAUUUAUAAGGGUGUGGGUGUCCCCUCCUAUCACGCAAGCUUUCUUUUUAAACGAAGGGUCCAAGCCCUGAAUUAAGUCUGUGUUCCUCUCUGGUUGGGCCUGGUUACCGCGCUGAGACGCUCGUGGAGGAUGUGGGUCAUGGUAGUUUGGUGGUUCAGAGGAAGAGGAUGAACAAUAAUGAUUUUUGAGGUUGAAGAAGAUGAUCUGGCCAUCCGUAUUGAAUCCAACGGCUCACAACGAUUCGACUGGCCCAAAUUCGAUUUUCGGUCACGUGACAUCUAUCGAUUCCCAUCAUUUUGCACUAAGUGAUGGACUAUGAUUUGCUCAACCAGUCCACUAAACCCAUGCAAUUUAUACACGGCUAGUUACUUUCAAGCCGGCUUAGGUAGCUAGACAUAUUUUUUCUUGUAAUAAAGGAAUACAUUAAUGUCACUACAAGAAAUAUGCCAACUUGUGACAUUCUCUUGGAGACCGUGAAUGAAUUGGUCGUAAGUCUACGACCAUUUUGAUCGAAUUGGUCAUAAGCUAUUUUAGAGGGUUCAAACCCUCAACCAUAACGACCAUUUUUAGGGGAAAGGUCGCAAUUGCCUGGCAUGAAAUGGUCGUAAAGCAGACAACUAGGAUUGACAACCUUAUUUUUAGCAGAAGACGACCAAUCUAGAUGGCCAUAACCAUGUAAAUUGCGGUGUGUUGCUAUGACCGGGCGCCACCUCAUCAAUUUCGCUUGUGUGUCAUGUAUAUGUGUCAUGUUUAUGUGUUAAUUUACGCUUACUUGUCUAGAUCAAAUAUACCAAUGAUGGGUGGAACCCAUGCAUUGACUGGUUAACCUACACCUCAGACCCACCACCACCUUACACGCUGGACCCAGUACAUCUCGGACCCAACACCAACAUACACGUCGGACCCACCCUAUCAUGGGUCCCACCAACCUGACAUGAAAGACCCACCAUUGAACUGACUUGUUGCCCCACCACGGAUGUGACAUGGAGGCUAAACCGGAGAUAGUAGAAAAAUAGGAAAGAAAUAUGCGUUGAUGGGAUUCGAACCCGUGACGCCCUAAGAGCAAGUUCAGGAGUUCCCCCAUACCUUCCCUGGUCAUUUUUUUAAGGGAGAAAGGCAAAAAAACUGCCUCCAACAGUGCCCCGAUCUACUCCGGAUAUUUUGGCCUCCCCGAAAACGUUUCCUCUCUCCCCUCUAUCUAGGGGAACGAGGACCUCCCCGAUCCCCUCCCCGACAUGCCGAGCGAAGCAACUGCCGGCUCCGAAAAGCUCCCUCCCGCCACCACCCCGCCGCCACCACCGCAUUGCAGGUUCGUUCCCUCCUUUGUUUUCUCUCAGAUCUCGGCAAAAAAUAAUAAUCUAGGCUAGGGAGUAAUGGUGAUGUUGGAGAGUGAUGCAGGGGUGCGCAGUCGCCGUGUGAGGAUGGGGAGGCGCUGGAAGGGAGGAGCUGGGCGUUGUUGCUAGAGAUUUGGGCGCUGCUGCUUGCUAGAGUUUUUGCUACCGCUUUGCUAGAGAGAACAGAGAGAGAGAGAGCAGAGAUAUGAGAGAUUGGGAGAUGCACUGUUUGCUGAACAUUAAUUCAGAUAUACAAUGCUUCUUUUUAUAUAUAGAUCAGAGAGAUAACUUGUUGAUUGCUAUAGAUCAGUGAGCUAUUGUACUGCUGAUUGCUGCACAUUUAGAUAUAGAUCACAGAGAUUGCUUGCUACUGAUUUCGGUUGCUAUUGCUAGUAAUUUGCUAGUGAUUGCUGCUGCUAUUUGCUUUCAUUUGUAUUUGCUACUGAUUGCUCCAAGUUAUUUGCUACUCGGAGAUAAAUUUACAUAUCAAUUUGCGAUUGCUUGCUGCAAGUUAUUUCCUACUAGGAGAUGACAUUUAAAUAGCUAUUUGUGACUGCUUGCUGCUAGUUAUUUUCUACUGGUUGUUGAACAUCUAUAUGAUGUAUGGUUUGUUUGUUUUGUUUCAUAUUUUCAUAAUGGACGGUCAGAGUUAUUUGAUCUUUUGCAAAGUGAUGUCGGCUUGAAUGAUUUGCACUGGACUGAAGAAGAACAAAUCGACCUCGAAAAGAAUGAAGAAAAACAAAUUGAUCUUGAAGGGCCUAAAUAAACUAGUCGUUGGUAGUUAUGAAAUAUUCUUAAAAUAUAGAAUAAGGGAGAUGUUUAGGGGAACUAGUGGAGUUGAGCAAUCUUUAGGGGAGAAUCUUUGUAAGUUAGUCCCCUGUUUUGAGAUAUAGGGGAGAAAUUUUUGGGAAACUGUUGGACUUCCCCUAAGAAAACACGGUGGUUUCUUACCACCACGCCACCACCCAAGUAACGAUACGAAACUCCACUCGCUACUUUUAUACGAAACAGUCGCUUCCUGGGCUUGGGCCUAAAUCAUGAGAGAUCUCCCCUUCGCUCCUUCUUUUUCCCCUUUAGCAUUAUGGUCCAUCGAGUGGCACUAUAACAAAUGUGAUAAUCUAUGAUGCACAUUCUGUGACGAUUCAAUGUAAAAACGUGAGGGAAUCAUCUAAAUUUCAAAAAAUAUGACGUUUUUUCACAGAAUCGUCACAAAAUGAGCGUCUUAGAUUAUCGCAUUUGUUGUAGUGUGGGCCAACGGCCCAUGGCCUAUUAGAAGAUCUUUUCUCGUGGGAAAUGUGUGUUUUUUUGUUUUUUUUCUUCUUUACAAUAUUUCGUGAUUUCAGAAAAUCUCCACACAUUUAAAAAAUUUAUUUUGGAAAAAUGCUCGUGAAAUCAUGAAAUGUUCGUCCAUUAAAUAUGUUCAUGAUUUUUGAAAAAUUUGCGUAUUGAAAUAAUGUUCACGGAUUUGACAAACAAAUGGGAAUUCAAAAAAUCAUCACAAUUUUUUCAUAAAAUGUUCAUUGACGUGAAGGUUUAGAUUUUUUUUAUUUUCUUAUUUUAUACCGAUUUUAAAACCAGGUCACAUAUAAUGAUAGAAUACAAAGGCUUUCCAUAUUUUUUGACACAAUGCAAAUGUUCCUUUUUUACAUGGAACCAUUUGGAAAUUUGUACAUGAAAUGUGGUCUAAUAAUUUCGAAAAUGUUCCGGUAUAGUUUUACAACAAAUAUUUGGUAGUUUCUUCACAAAAAGAACUCAUUUUGUGCACUUAAAAAAUCAAAAUUCCCUUUGGCAACAUUGUUUGCCAUUGCAAGAUGCACCCUUGAAACACAUAAAACUUCACACAACAUAGUUCAUUUCUGAGAAGACUUUUAAAAGGUAUUUAUCGUAGUCCAAAUUUUUUAUUUCUCCUCAAAACAAGAUCACAUAUGAUGACACAAUGCGAAGGUUUCCAAUUAUUUUAACUCUUUUUUCUAAUUUCUUAUGUCCGUUUUAAAAUGCGGUCAAAACGACGGGCAUGAUCGUUCGUAGCUAGGGGUUGAAUCUUGGAAAAACUUUUGGUGUCUUUGAUAAAACCUAUAGUUAUGUACCUAUAGUUCAAAGUUGACCCACUUCUUGCAGAAUCGACCGAAAUUUGUAGUUCAAACUUGACCCGCUUCUUGCUGAAUCUAUCGAAAUUUGUCUUUUUCAUGAGAAGUGACUAAAAAAACUCACUUUAGUCACUCGAAUAAUGCAAAAUGAAUUUACCGUCCAAAGAAAAUGAAAACUUUCUUAGGCAACAUUGUUUGCCAUUCCAAAAUGCACGAUAUUAGAUCAUUUGAAUAAACUAUACAUGAAUGUGGCCAUAAGAUUGAUCAUUUGACUUCAAAGCCAUGAAUCUUCAUACAUGAUAACUCAUUUUUUAGAACACAUUUAAAAAAUAUUUACCUUAUUAUAAUUUUAUUAUUUUUCCUAAUAACUUGGUCACGUAUAAUUAGACAAUGCGAAGGUUUUUCAAUUUUUUGAUUUGUUUUUGAAUUUUUCAAGCCCAUUUCAAAAUGUAGUCAAAACGUCGGGCACGAUCGUUCCUAUCUAGUGGUUGAAUCUUGAAAAACUUCUAAUGUUUCUAUGGUUAAAUAGAUACUUGUUUACCUAGAAAUGAUUUUUGGAAAAAAUAAAGAACAAACUAUGACUCAGCCGCCGUUCAAACUUGACCCGCUUUUUACUAAAUUGGCCGAAAUUUAUCCUUUUCACAAGAUGUGGCUUAAAACUUUUGACACUCAACCAUUUGGUCAAUUGUACAUUAAAAAUGUCCUAAUAUUUUAAAAAAUUGAUUUGGUCCAAAAUUGCCACAAUUAUAUGCUAGACCCUUCAUAAAAAACUCAUUUUAGUCACUUGAAAAAUGGAAAAUAAACUGUUCGUUCAAAAAAAAUAGAAAACUUCGUUACACAACAUUGUUUGCCAUUACAAAAUGCACCAUUUUGCACAAUAUUAGAUCAUUUGAACAAGUUAUGCCAUGAAUGUGGCCGUAAGAUUGAUCAUUUGGUUUGAAAGCCUUGAAUCUUCACAAAUGGUAACUCAUUUCCGAGAAUACUUUUUUUAAAAUAAUUUUCGUAUUAUAAUUUUAUUGUUUUUCCUCGUAACUUGGUCACAUUUAAUGACACAAUGGGAAGGUUUUCCAAUUUUUUUAUUUUUUUUAAAUUUUCAUGCCCGUUUCAAAAUGCAGUCAAAACAACGGGCAUGACCGUUCCUAUCUAGUGGUUGAAUCUUGGAAAAGUUUUGAUGUUUCUCUCAUUAAAUAUAUACUUAUGUAUCUAGAAAUGAUUUUUGAAAAAAAUAAAGAGCAAACUACGAGGCAACUGCAGUUCGAAUUUGUCGCGCUUCCAACUAAAUCAGCGGAAAUUUGUCUUUUUCACGAGAGUUGAUCAAAAGUUUUGACACUCAACCAUUUGGUCAAUUGUACAUUAAAUAUGGCCUAAGAUUUUAUUAAAUUGAUUUAGUCCAAAUUUGCAACAAAUAUUUGUUAGGUUCUCCAGAAAAGAACUUCAUUUUGGGCACUUGAAAAAUGGACGAGAGGUGGACGAAAAACUUUUAAGAAGGAAGUAUUUGGUCAAUUUGUACAUAAAACACGGUCGAAUAUUUUUUAAAAUUGUUGCGGUCCAAUUUUUUAACUAAUAUUUGAUAGGUUAUUCACAUAGGUGAAAACAAAAAAGAGAAAGACAAAGAAAGAAAACACAUUUACAUAAGCUUAAUUCUCGUUGGUGGAGAUGUUUGUGCCAUGGAUUGAUGACAUGGCACACAUCCAUCCAUAUAUCCAUCCACCCGCAGCCCAAACCCUAACUCCAAUACUCCCAUCGGUCCCCUCCCCCUCUCCCCCGAUUCAGAUCCAGUCCUCGCUGCCGCCACCUACCUCAAGCCGAUCCUGUCGUCCAUGCCCGCGCGCCAUCACCCGCUCCGCGACCACCACCCGCUCCUCCUUGCCUCCCGGAGGACGCAGACCCCACGUCGCUCUUCCUCCGCCCGCCAACCCACCCCGUCCUGGAGGCCUCACUAGCUUCCUUCCGUCGCAGGGUCACCGCGCUCAUCGCGCCCUCGGUACGCACCUCCACCGCCAUCUUUGCUGGCUCCUCGCCUCCGCCUCCGCCCCCGCUAAUUCCCCGCCCAGCGGCUACCCGGUGGCGCUCCACCUCCUUCGUGCGCCACUCGAUGAGCUCGAGGCCCUGUGGCUAUGCCAUGUUUGGGACAGGUGCCCGUUCCAGUACGUGGUCGGGAACGAGCACUGGAAGGACCUGGUGGUCGCCAUUCGGGACAGUGUACUCAUCGCACGGCCGAAGGCGGAGGCCGUCGUGGACAUGGUCACCACCAUCGAUUGCGAGCUGGAGUCCUGGGCCUUCCCCUCAUCAUCCUCGGCGGCGACAUGUGGAUGAGCCACCGGACGAUAAGCAGCAGAUCAUGUUUGCGCUGACCUCCAUCAAGGGUGUGGGCCGCCACUUCUCCAACAUCAUCUGCAAGAAUGCCGAGAUCGACAUGAACAAGAGGUGAGGAACCGUCCCCCUUUCUCGCCAGAUCUCGUCGUGGUGGGUGGGGGAUGAGUCGUGCACUGUCUUCUGUGUGGUGUGCGGGGCUGAAAAGCUUUCCGCUAAGGAGAUGGUUGUAUGAUGGCGGUGGUGCACAAUUCACGUCAGUUCAAGGUGUUGGACUGGUUCCUGAACAGGAAGAAGGACUAAAAGAAUGGGAGUUUCUCCCAGUUCAUCUCCAAAGCCACCGAAUUGAAGCUCAGGGAUGACCUUGAGAGGCUCAAGAAGAUAACGUAUAAACUCGUCCCCCCUUGUUUGUUUUUGCUUCAUACUGUUGGCUGAUUGAUCGGUGAUUAGGUGCUAGGUUCAACUUGUUAUGAUCCUGUUAACUAACAUCUUGCACAUGCUUUAGUGGUAGAAGUAGUUGAUAUCUCAUCCAAUACUUUACAACCUAGUCUUGGGAUUCACAUAGUGGGUUUCUGGAAGGAGAUCUCCAAACAUUAGAAUGCCUGAAAUGCGUUUAUUCUGUUGUUCUUGAUGGGCGUAGUGUUGUUCUGGUAGGAUGUACUAACUUCAUGUGCUUUAUUCUAUACUCGUUUAUACACACAACAAUGUGGCUAGAGUUUGAUUUUCAGUCGGUAUAGUCUGCUUAUGUGAUACGUCUCCAACGUAUGCAUAAUUUUUGAUGGUUCCAUGCUAUUAUCUUGUCAUCUUUGGAUGUUUUGUAUGCAUGAAUAUGCUAUUUUAUAUCUUUUUUGGGACUAACCUAUUAACUUAGUGCCAAGUGCCAGUUCUUGUGUUUUCUGUGUUUUGACCUUUUUGAGAGGAGAAUAUUGAACGGAGUCCAAAUGGAAUAAAACCUGCGGAAUGAUUUUUUCCAUAAUAGAAGACAUGCAGGAGACUUGAGAACAAAGGAAUGGGAGCUCGGAGGAUGUCACAAGCCACCCAGGCCCGACCUAGGGGGGGCCUAGCAGGCUUGUGGGCCCCCUGUGGCUCCCCUGCCCUAGUUCUUCCGCCUAUAGAUUCCUUAAAAAUCUGAAACCACGGAAGAGAGCCACGAAAAUACUUUUCCGCCGCCGCAAUCUUCUGUCUUCGCAAGAUCCCAUCCGGGGCACGUUCUGGUGCCCUGUAGGAGGGGGGAUUCGAACACGGAGGGCUUCUUCAUCAACACCAUUGCCUCUCCGAUGAUGCGUGAGUAGUUCACCACAGACCUUUGGGUCCAUAGCUAGUAGCUAGAUGGCUUCUUCUCUCUCUUGGAUCUUCAAUACAAAGUUCUCCAUGAUCUUCAUGGAGAUCUAUCCGAUGUAAUCUUAUUUUGCGGUGUGUUUGUCGAGAUCCGAUGAAUUGUGGAUUUAUGAUCAGAUUAUCUAUGAAUGUUAUUUGAGUCUCCUCUGAUCUCUUAUAUGCAUGAUUUUGUAUCCUUGUAAUUCUCUUCGAGUUGUGGGUUUAGUUUGGCCAACUUGAUCUAUAGUUCCUGCAAUGGGAGAACUGCUUGGUUUUGGGUUCAUACCGUGCGGUGAUCUCACCCAGUGACAGAAGGGGUAGCGAGGCACAUAUCGUGUUGUUGCCAUCAAGGGUAAAAUAUGGGGUUUAUAUCUAUUGCAUGAAUUUAUCCCUCUACAUCAUGUCAUCUUGCUUAAGGCGUUACUCCGUUUGUCAUGAACUUAAUACACUAGAUGCAUGCUGGAUAGUGGUUGAUGUGUGGAGUAAUAAUAGUAGAUGCAGAAAGUAUCGGUCUACUUGUCUCGGACAUGAUGCCUAUAUGUAUGAUCAUUGCCUUAGAUAUCAUCAUGACUUUGCGCGGUUCUAUCAAUUGCUCGAUAGUAAUUCGUUCACCCACCGUAAUACUUGCUAUCAUGAGAGAAGCCUCUAGUGAACACUAUGGCCCCCGGGUCUACUUCACAUCAUAUUUUCAGCUUUACACUUUUAGUUUGUUGCACUUUCCACCUUCAGAUCUCACCUUCUAGUUAACCGUGAAGGGAUUGACAACCCCUUUGUAGCGUUGGGUGCAAGUUUGCUUGUUUUUGCGCAGGUACUUUGGAGACUUGCCUUGAUAGUCCUACUGGAUUGAUACCUUGGUUCUCAAACUGAGGGAAAUACUUACUGCUACUGCGCUGCAUAACCCUUUACUCUUCAAGGGAAAAACCAACGCAAGAUCAAGAGGUAGCAUUAUGUUACUCUUUGGUUGGAGGCAAUUAGAAUGUUGUAGGUUUAGUAUGAACGUGUCUUAAUCCAUUGGAUGCCCUUGGCUAGUUUAGUUGGUAUCUAAUCUAAAAUAAUUUAUUUUCCCAUUUUUUGUUUCCUUGCUAGACAUGUCAUGGUACAAGUGCCGGUGCCGAUGUUUACUACCCCCGCCGUAAAGAAAUAUAAGAGCGUUUAGAUCACUACUUUAGUGAUCUAAAUUCUCUUAUAUUUCUUUACACAGGGAGUACAUGGUAUUAUUGUUAGCUAUAUAUAUACCUCAUACGUCUCCAUCGUAUCUUCUUUUCCAAACUCUUUUGCCCUUGUUUUGGACUCUAAUUAGCAUGAUUUGAGUGGAUCUAACCCGGACUAACGAUGUUUUCACCACAACUGCCAUGGUGUUGUUUUUGUGUAAAAAUAAAAGUUCUCGCAAUGACCGGGAAACUUAUGAGGAUUUUUUGUGGAAUAUAUAAAAAAUAUUGGCGGAAGAAUUACCUGAAGACAUGGAGCCAGGGGCCCACAAGCCCAGGAGGUGCACCCCCCUAGGGCGGGCCUGGCAGGCUUGUGGGGCCCACGUAGCUCCGCAGCCUCCAACUCCAACUCUAUAAAGUCUCUCUUGCCUAGGAAAAAUUAAGAGAGAAGAGUUCAUCGCGUUUCACGACACGGGGCCGCCGCCACCACCUGUUCUUCCUCGGGAGGGCAGAUCUGGAGUCCGAUCUGGGCUCCGGAGAGGGGAAAUCGACGUCGUCGUCAUCGCCAACCAUCCUUCAUCGCCAAUUCCAUGACGCUCUUCACCGUUCGUGAGUAAUCUCAUCAUAGGCUUGCUGGAUGGUGAUGGGUUGGAUGAGAUCUAUCAUGUAAUCGAGUUAGUUUUGAUGGGGUUUGAUCCCUAGUAUCCACUAUGUUCUAAGAUUGAUGUUGCUACUACUUUGCUAUGCUUAAUGCUUGUCACUAGGGCCCGAGUGCCAUGAUUUCAGAUCUGAACCUAUUAUGUUUUCAUCAAUAUAUGUGUGUUCUUGAUCCUAUAUUGCAAGUUGUAGUCACCUACUAUGUGUUAUGACCCGACAACCCCGGAGCGACAAUAGCCGGAACCACUUCCGGAGAUGGCCAUAGUAUGAGGAGUUCAUGUAUUCACUAUGUGCUAAUGCUUUGUUCCGGUUCUCUAUUAAAAGGAGACCUUAAUAUCCCUUAGUUUCCGUUAGUACACCGCUGCCACGGGAGGGAUGGACAAAAGAUGUCAUGCAAGUUCUUUUCCAUAAGCACGUAUGACUAAAUACAGAAUACAUGCCUACAUUACAUUGAUGAACUGGAGCUAGUUACAUAUCACCCUAUGUUAUAACUAUUACAUGAUGAAUGUCAUCCGACAUAAUUAUCCAUCACCGAUCCAAUACCUACGAGCUUUUCCUAUACCGGUCCAUGCUAAAUUACUUUACCGCUACUGCUGUCACUACGGCUGCUGUUACUGCUGCUACCGUUACUAUCACACUACUUUUCUACUAAAACUUUGCUGCAGAUACUAAGUCUUGCAGGUCUGGUUGAAUUGACAACUCAACUGCUAAUACUCAAGAAUAUUCUUUGGCUUCCCUUGUGUCUAAUCAAUAAAUUUGGGUUGAAUACUGUACCCUCGAAAAUUGUUGCGAUCCCCUAUACUUGUGGGUUAUCAAGACCUUUUUGUGGCACCGUCGCCGGGGAGCAUAGCUCUAUUCUCUGAGUCACUUGGGAUUUACGUCUGUUGAUCACUAUGAGGAAUCCGAGAGAUCCAAAAACUAAAGUCUUGCCCUCAACUACGAGGACAGGUAAGGAACUGCCAUCUAGCUCUGCACUUGAUUCACCUUCAGUUAUGAGUAAAUUUGCGACACCACCAACUAUUGGUAAUUCUGAUAUGUCGCAUGUGCUUGAUGAUGCUGCUUCUGCUAUCCAUGAUUCUUAUGAUGAUGCUUUGCUUGAUAAUGAGAUGACACUAGGUGCAUUUCUUGAUGCACAAAUUGCUAGAGUUACUGAUGAAUGUGAUGAUACUUCUGAAACUGAUGAAAUUAUUGAAGUGGAACCUGCUGUUACACCUGUUAGACCUAGCUCUCCCAGAUAUGAAUUGCCUGAUAUACCUAAGGGUUAUGUUAUGGAGGGAGAGGUAGCUGAAGGCUUUCUUGCUUGUAAGGAUAGCUAUGAUCUUGAGAAUUUAUUACGUAAGUGGAAAGAAAAAUCUCUGAAUGCUUGAAUGAAAUAUGAUCCUAAGUUUGCUACUUCGCCCAUCUUUGUUACUGAUAAGGAUUAUGAAUUCUCUGUUAAUCACUUUGGUUGAAUCUGAUCCUUUUCAUGGUUAUGAGUCUGAAACGGUUGUAGCACAUCUUAGCAAACUGAAUGAUAUAGCCACCCUAUUCACGAAUGAGGAAAAAAAGUUCUCCAUUACUAUAUCCUUAAGUUGUUUCCUUUCUCACUAAAGGGUGAUGCUAAAACUUGGUUUACUUCUCUUUCUCCUGGUUGUGUGCGUAGUCCCCAGGAUAUGAUAUACUACUUCUCUGAGAAAUAUUUUCCUGCCCAUAAGAAACAAGCUGCCUUAAAGGAUAUAUAUAACUUUGUGCAAGUUGAAGAAGAGAGUCUCCCACAAGCUUGGGGGGGGGGGCUUGUCCAGUUACUGAAUGCUUUGCCUGAUCACCCUCUUGAGAAAAAUGAAAUACUUGAUAUCUUUUAUAAUGGACUAACCGAUGCUUCUAGGGAUCACCUAGAUAGUUGUGUUGGUUGUGUUUUCAGGGAAAGAACUAUGGAACAAGCUGAAAUUCUAUUGAAUAAUAGCUUGAGCAAUGAUAAUGCUUGGACUAUUCCCGAACCACCUCCGAAGCCAAGAGGUAUUCUAUUCCUCAGUCCUGAAGAUAUGCAAGAAGCCAAGAAAUCUAUGCAAGAGAAAGGUAUUAAAUCUGAAGAUGUUAAGAAACUACCACCUAUUGAAGAAAUACAUGGUCUUGAUAACCCGACACAGGUAGUAGAGGUAAAUUCUCUUCGUAGAUUCAAUGAGAGUGAUAUUCCAUAUGAUAAACCUGCUAGCUUAUGCUUAGAUGAAUUUGAUAACUUUGUUGUCAAACAACAAAGUUUUAAUGAUUAUGUUAGCAGACAAUUGAAACAAAAUGCUCGUAUGAUUAAUCAUAUAAGUGCUUGUGUGGAUAGAAAUGUCAAUGAUCUUAAGCUUUUGGGAAAACAUGCUUCUAUGGUCACUACUCAAGUAGAACAAGUACUUAAGGCUCAAAAUGACUUGCUUAAUGAGUUGAAUGACAAUUCUGUUAGAGUUGUCACUAGAGGUUGUAGAAUGACUCAGGAACCUUUGUAGCCUGAGGGCCAUCCUAAGAGAAUUGAACAAGAUUCUCAAGGAGUUAACACUCAUGCACCUAGUCAUCCUGGUAACAGGAAGAAAAUAAAGAUGAUAGGAACUUGCAUGCUAGCAAACCUGUUGCCGUUACACCCGAGAAUCCAAAUGAUGUCUCUAUUUGUGAUGCCGAAACACAAUCUGGUGAUGAACAUGAGCCUAGUGAUAAUAUUGAUAAUGGUGUUCAUGUUGAUACUCAACCUAGUAAUGAUAAGGAUGUGGAGAUUGAACCUGUUGUUGAUCUUGAUAACCCACAACCUAAGAACAAGCUAUAUGAUAAGAACGACUUUAUUGCUAGGAAGCAUGGUAAAGAAAGAGAACCAUGGGUUCAGAAACCCAUGCCCUUUCCUCCCAAACCAUCCAAGAAAAAGGAUGAUGAGGAUUUUGAGUGCUUUUUUGAAAUGAUUAGACCUGUCUUUUUGCAAAUGUGUUUGGCUGAUAUGCUUAAAAUGUCUCCUUAUGCUAAGUACAUGAAAGAUAUCGUGACUAAUAAAAGGAAGAUACCUGAGGUUGAGAUUUCCACCAUGCUUGCUAAUUACACCUUCAAGGGUGGGACUCCUAAGAAACUAGGUGAUCCCGGAGUGCCCACUAUACCUUGCUCCAAUAAAGGAAAUUAUGUUAGAACUGCUUUAUGCGACCUUGGAGCCGGUGUUAGUGUUAUGCCUCUCUCUUUAUAUCGCAGACUUGAAUUGGAUAAGUUGACACCUACUGAAAUGUCUUUGCAAAUGGACGACAAAUCAACUGGUUUUCCUAUCGGCAUUUGCGAGGAUGUGCUUGUUGUGGUUGCGAACGUUACUAUCUUAACGGACUGUGUUAUUCUGGAUAUUCCCGAGGAUGAUGCCAUGUCGGUCAUCCUUGGAAGAUCCUUUCUAAACACUGCAGGGGCUGUUAUUAAUUGCAACAAAGGCAAUGUCACUUUCCAUGUUAAUGGUAAUGAGCACAUGGUGCACUUUCCGAAGAAACAAUAUCGAGUUCAUUUCAUCAAUGCUAUUGAAAAAUCUUCAUCCAUUAUUAUUGGAGGCUUUGAUUGCCCUAUACCUACUAUCAAGAUGAAAUAUGAUUUACUUGUUGGGGAUAUGCACAUCCCCGUUGAGGUAACCUAGUGAUUAUUCGAAAAUUCUCCGUUUUUAUGUGUUUCGAAAAAAGUUUGUCAAGGAGACUUGAUCAACCUCAUUGACGGAUUUCUGUUGAUGACCAUGAGAUGGAUGAAUCUAGGAGUCACAACCUUCUGUUCCCAACUUUUACUUUCUGUUGUUUAGAAGAAAAAUAAUAAUUUUAGCUUUAUUUUCCUAUUUUCCGCGUUUUCCGUUCAAUAGAAAAGUGACCCGAAAAUAAAAGUUCUCCAAAUGCCCUGAAAUUCAAGUAUGAUUUUUUCUGGAAUAUUUGAAAAUUUCUGAGAUAGAUAACUAGUCACGGGGAUGCACCAGUGGGCCACAAGCCCAGGAGGCGCGCCCACCCCCCUGGGCGCGCCUGGCAGGCUUGUGGGUCCCACAUGACCCCCCUCCACUUAUUCCAGCUCCCAUCUCCUUCGUCUACCUCCAGAAAAAUUAUUCCACUGCUCAAACCCGUGUUCUUGCUCUUUGUGCUGCAUUUUUCAAUCUCCUUGUGCAAAGCUCCAUACACCAAACUGUUUUGGGGAAUUUUUCCUUGGUAUGUGACUCCUCCAUCGAUCCAAUUAGUUUUUGUUCUAGUGCUUUAUUCGUUGCAUAUUUUUGCUGCCUUGGUGACCCCGUUCUUGAGCUUUGCAUGUUAAUUUUAGUUGGUCCCAAGUAGUUUUGAUGCAUGAUAUGGCCUCUAGGAACUUGUAGGAGUAGUUGCUAUGAGUUUUGUUGAGCCUUGUUCACUUUUCUUUUGAGUCACUAAAAAUUUCAAAAAAAGAAGAUGUUCACGAAAAACUAUCAUGGUGGUUCCUCAAGCAAAAGGGGUCCCCGUCUCACGAUUCGGGAGCCCGAUCCUUAUCAGCCGAGGAACGCACAGGUGCAACCAUGUGAAUGGCCUUCCGAUGACUUUAUGAUUGAUGCAGGUUUCAAGGACGAGUUUGAUACUUUUGUUCACAACGCCGGGCUCAAAGAAUUCAUCUCCAAUAAAUGUGAACAGUAUACUACACUCACCGCCUCUUUUGUUCGUAGAUUCAAAUUUUCAGUUGGCCGUGACACAUCCAUACUGUUUGAUCUUUAUGAAAAAUCGUAUACCAUGGAUUUAGAGGAUUUUAAUAGAAUUUGCAAGAUACUUGAUUGGGGUAGUCCCAAUGACCCUCCUAAAUAUUUGGUUAGAGAUUUUAUUUCUAGUAUAAUUGUUGGAGAAACUAGAGAUAUUACGCAGGCUACCAUGGGGAGCAUUCAUUUUCCUGCCUUACAUUAUUUUGCCCUCUUCAUAGGUAUAUGCAUUAACGGCAAGCAUGAGCAUAGUCACCUCUGCGCACCUAACCUUAGUAUUCUUAAGAGCGCAGUAACGAGUGAUAGAAGUUUCAACAUGGGAGCUAUAAUUGCGAGGAGGCUAAAUAGUAAUGCUAAUGAAGGGGAUUUCUUUGGUGGGAUCUAUGCCACUCGCAUAGGAAAUUUUCUUCGAAUACCCAUCCGCACAGGAGAUCCCCCGGUCCAUACAGCUUUCCUUGAUCACGCCGCUAUGAGACAUUAUCAGUUCCUUGAGAGGGAUAAUGAAUCCCUCCUAUACCGGUUAAUAUUUAACUGACAACGCGUUUUCCAUAUUACCCUUCCUGCUCCUGCCUUCUUUGACUUUCAGGGAAAACAGAGAUAUUACAUAACCAGAGGAGAGGCAGAGGAGUAUGAGAGGGAGGUGAAGGUUGCUCGCCUCCGUGAGGCAGCUAUUCAGGCGGUAGCUGCCACGUUCCCGUACAACCCCCAUUAUGAUUUUGGAUAUCGCCCGGACCAGCCGUGGGAGUAGACCAACUUAGGCCAAAAUCCUAAGCUUGGGGAGUACGUGUCUCUCACCGACUUUAUAUUCAUGCUCACACAUUCACUUUGAUAGUCGGUGUUCACACUUUGCCAUUGUAUCAUCCAUGCUAGUUUAUUUCUUUUUCUCGCUUUCUUCUUGUGUGUAAGAAAAAUUAGUUGUAAGUUUACUUUCCAGCUUGCUUAGUGGUAAUUAAAAAGAAAACCCAAAAAGAUUUCCCGUUCUUCUUUUUCUUGUUGGGAGCUUUUCCGUGUAAAUAGUUUUCUUUUUCUUUGGGUCAAGGUAGAAUAUCAUGAUUAAAAUGUUUAGUGGCUCUCAUAUGCAUAAUUGUUUAUCCGUCAGAGAGCCCGUAUUACUUUGUCUUCUCCUCUAAGUUUGCUUGCAGAUUCCAGCUUAGUCCAAUGCAGGAACACUCUCAUUAUUAUUCACUUCAUUCGGUCGUGCAAGUGAAAGGCAAUAAUGACGAUAUAUGAUGAAGUGACUGAGCCUGGAAAAGCUGGUAUGAACUCGACCUAUUUUGUUUUUGUAAAUAUGACUAGCUCAUCGUUCCUAAUUCAGCAUUGUUAUGAGAGAAACAUGUUUGCAAUGACAACUUAGAGAUCAUAGCUUCUGAUGCCAUGCUUAAUUAUCUAGGAGCUUAUAAUGGUUUGUCUUGGAUGCCAACAUGAAUUUCAAAAUGAUUAUGAUGCAGUAUGAUAAAAUGGUAUCCUCCUUUGAAUGAUUCAAGUGGCUUGACUUGGCAAAUGUUCACGCAUGUAGUUGAAACAAAAUCAACAUAGCCUCUAUGAUAUUCAUGUUUAUGGUGAUUUAUAUCCUACUCAUGCUUGCACUCAACAUUGGUUAAUUUCAAUGCAUAUUAAUGACUGUUGUCCCUCUCUAGUUGGUCGCUUCCCAGUCUUUUGCUAGCCUUCACUUGUACUAAGUACGAAUACUGCUUGUGCAUCCACUUCCAUAAACCCAAAGUUGUUCCAUAUGCGUCCACCAUACCUACCUAUAUGCGGUAUCUACCUGCCGUUCCAAGUAAAUUUGCAUGUGCCAGUCUCUAAACCUUCAAAUAAUAAUCUGUUUUGUAUGCCCGAACCGCUCAUGUGGUGACAAGGGGCGGUCAGUAUCUUCCAUGCUAGGCGUGUUAUCCUUGAUACGUGUUUAUUCACUAUCACUCACGAGAAAGGGGACGGUAAUCGGAAUGCCCAGUUCCAUGCUCAAGUCGAAAAUAUAAUUGCAAACAAAACUCCCCUGGAUUGUUGUUGGUAUGGACGGCAACCGAGGAUUCGGCUAGUCGUGGAGUGUGAUUGAUCGGUGGUGGGGGAGUCAAAACUUUACUUUUCUGUUUGGGAACCGCCUAUAAUAUGUGUAGCAUGGAAGAUGGUGAAAACUCUUGGUCAUCGCGUUGACAACGAAAGCAUGCCACCCAAAAUUAUUUAUCUCUGUUUUAAAAAGCUUGAGCUCUCGCAGCUCUGCAAAUCAAUGCUUCCCUCUGCGAAGGGCCUAUCUAUUUACGUUUCUGUUGAGUCAUCCUCUUCUUAUUAAAAAGCACCAUUAGAGAGCACCUCCGUCAUUUUUAUGCUUUGCUAUUAAUUGAUAUUGAGUAUGACUGCGACUGGAUCUUCUUUGCAAUGAAUUACAAUGUUCAGUCAGCCCUUGGUCUUUGAAGGUGCUCUGCAUUUAUGUUUUGCAGUCUCAGAAAGGGCUAGCGAGACACCAUCUGUUCAUAUUGUAUUAUGAUUGUUUUGAAUGAAGUGUUGAUGUUUGAAACUUAUUAUUAUUGCUCGCUAGUUGAUUAUGCCAUUGAUAUGAGUACAUCAUGAGACCUAAAUGUUAUUGCUUAUGUGGUUAGCUUAUGAUGUUGCUGAAAAUCCGAAUAUGAGUUAGACAUAAUUACUACAACAAGGUCAAACAGAGUUCGUAAAAGUUGUUCUUUUGUCUCUUUCAGUUUGUCAACUGAAUUGCUUGAGGACAAACAAGGCUUUAAGCUUGGGGGAGUUGAUACGUCUCCAUCGUAUCUACUUUUCCAAACUCUUUUGCCCUUGUUUUGGACUCUAAUUUGCAUGAUUUGAAUGAAACUAACCCGGACUAACGCUGUUUUCAGCAGAACUGCCUAGGUGUUGUUUUUGUGCAGAAAUAAAAGUUCUCGGAAUGACCUGGAAACUUACAAGGAUUUUUUGUGGAAUAUAUAAAAAAUACUGACGCAAGAAUUACCUGAAGACACGGAGCCAGGGGCCCACAAGCCCAGGAGGCGUGCCCCCCCCCUAGGGCGCGCCUGACAGGCUUGUGGGGCCCACAUAUCUCCGCAGCCUCCAACUCCAAGUCUAUAAAGUCUCUCUUGCCCAGGAAAAAUUAAGAGAGAAGAGUUCAUCGUGUUUCACAACACGGAGCCGCCGCCACCACCUGUUCUUUCUCGGGAGGGAAGAUCUGGAGUCCGUUCUGGGCUCCAAAGAGGGGAAAUCGACGUCGUCGUCAUCACCAAUUCCAUGAUGCUCUUCACCGUUCGUGAGUAAUCUCAUCGUAGGCUUGCUGGACGGUGAUGGGUUGGAUGAGAUCUAUCAUGUAAUCGAGUUAGUUUUGAUGGGGUUUGAUCCCUAGUAUCCACUAUGUUCUAAGAUUGAUGUUGCUACUACUUUGCUAUGCUUAAUGCUUGUCACUAGGGCCCGAGUGCCAUGAUUUCAGAUCUAAACCUAUUAUGUUUUCAUCAAUAUAUGUGUGUUCUUGAUCCUAUCUUGCAAGUUGUAGUCACCUACUAUGUGUUAUGACCCGGCAACCCCGGAGUGACAAUAGCCGGAACCACUCCCGGAGAUGACCAUAGUAUGAGGAGUUCAUGUAUUCACUAUGUGCUAAUGCUUUGUUCCGGUUCUCUAUUAAAAGGAGACCUUAAUAUCCCUUAGUUUCCAUUAGGACCCCGCUGCCACGGGAGGGAUGGACAAAAGAUGUCAUGCAAGUUCUUUUCCAUAAGCACGUAUGACUAAAUACGGAAUACAUGCCUACAUUACAUUGACGAACUGGAGCUAGUUACAUAUCACCCUAUGUUAUAACUGUUACAUGAUGAAUGUCAUCCGAAGUAAUUAUCCAUCACCGAUCCAAUGCCUACGAGCUUUUCCUAUACCGGUCCUUGCUAAGUUACUUUACCGCUACUGCUGUCACUACUGCUACUGUUACUGCUGCUACAGUUACUAUCACACUACUUUGCUACAUAUACUAAGUCUUUCAGGUGUGGUUGAAUUGACAACUCAACUGCUAAUACUCGAGAAUAUUCUUUGGCUCUCCUUGUGUCGAAUCAAUAAAUUUGGGUUGAAUACUGUAUCCUCGAAAACUGUUUCGAUCCCCUAUACUUGUGGGUUAUCAAGAAUACCCGCCCUGAGUCAUGCUCUUGUGGUUAGGAUUCUACUCCUCUAAGUGAUGCUUUUGCAUGCCUUUCCUUCCUCACGCACCUACAAACUAUUCGCUAUUUCCUUCCGCGAUAAUGUGAGCAGUUUUGAAAUUUCUGUAAAGUGGACCCAAUGUGUGAGAUGAUGACAACUGGGACCCAUCUGAUUGGUGGGACAACUCCAAAAUAUAAUGGCCCAAACAAUGUUAAAAGGCCAUGACCUAGAAAUAAAUAAAGGCUGAAUUGUAGGGUUUGGCCUAUGUAGCUAACCCAAAUUGGCAAGAAAAAAAUAUGAAUGGGUUGAAUUGUUAGGCUCGGCUCAUGUAAAGUAGUGAAAUGGACCGAGCUGAUUCUUAUCAACGACCAAUUCUAUUGGUUGCAAUUUUGCCGCGAUUUUGCUACAUCAGCUUGCCACGUUGGAUCCGAUGUGGCCUGGGCAGACAACUAGUGGCCAAAACAAAAGGUCAUAGGACCAACGACCUUUUGUUUUGGUCGUUGCUUUCUACGACCAUAUCACAAAGAAGGUCGUUAAGUUUCAUUAAAGAUGGUUAGUUUUUGACCAACUGUUUUUUAGCAUAAAAAGAUCGCAAAUGAAAAACAAUGUUCAUUCAGCGACCAAUAGUGAUGGUCGCAAGUUGACAUAUUUCUUGUAGUGUGUAGCAGAGAUAUCAGACACACAACCUCUGCAACAUCGAAAUGUCCUAAAGACAUUAAGAAUGCACACAACCCAAAAAGAAAAGGAAAACAAGAUUUUUUUUUGCUACAAGAUGAAUUCCUUGUAACUAGCGAUAUGAUCCACAAGCUAAGACAAGUCGUAGCUGUGAGGAAACAAAGUGGAACAAUAUGUGAAGGUCGCAUGGACUUUUCCGCAAAAAAAAAAAGUCGCAUGGACUAAUCAAGGACAGAACAAUUAAUGGGUGGCCACGCUGCUUGUUAAGUGUAAACUAAUGUCUAUGUUUGUAUACGCCUAGCACCAAAUUAACAACCCCGCACUAGACAGUGACAUGUUAUCUCCAUUAUAUUUGUAUACAUUGCUUGAUUGGUUCCAUACAUGCAUCUUGAGAAAAGAAGAAUGCUUUUGUUAAUAAUAUGGUCGGAGAUAAUGAAUAAUCAAGCUGUGAUAUCCAAUGCAAGUUGGAUAUACUUAAGGGACGGGUCUAGAAUUGUUAGAGUUUAAUUAGUUAAUGUAAUUAGUUAACUUAAUCUUUACUUGUAACUGCACGUGGGCAUCUCCACGACCGAACCAACACUUCGUUCGUGGAGCGACGCCUCCACGAACCGCCUCCUCGUACCGUCGCUUUUUUUGGAAGCGACUGUUCCCCAUGUAUAUAUAUGUUCAUUCAUCAAUGAGAAACAGAGUUUGAUUACAUUUCUUCACACGUUAUCAGCACGUAGCCUACCGACAGAGCACCGGAGACGAAGAGAAAAGGUGAGAUGGCAGGGAUGAACCUGCACAGAAUCACCUCCGCCCUCGUUCGUUUCUUUAGAAGAGAAAUCCAUCGAUCUGCAAGAAGCCAGGGUCUUGGAGUUCAUCGCCAUUGGGGCUCUGGCAACGGCCGCCGUGGCUGCUGUGGUCGUCGUGGGCGUCGUGGUCACCACGACCACCAUGGAUCUGCAGCAGCAGGACCAAGCCACCCACCCAUGGCCGUCCACCAUGCCUACCAGGCACCUCCAAUGUCGGACUUCGUCGCCCCGCCGGCCUUUGUCGCUCCAGUCAUGGAUUGGCAACUGGAAUACACAGGGGGGAUCUUCUGUCCUGUGCAUAGAUACGGGCCAUGCCCUUCAAACCCGGCCAAUCCACCACUGGAAUCAGAGAUCGACGGAGGGGACACUUACCCGGAUCUCCCAACACCGACGCCUGCCGACGAAGAUCCCCUUGCCGCCUCCAGGCUAUGGCCCUGUUCCGGCCAUGGCCAAGUGGGAGGUGAUCCUGACGGAGAUGGCCGAAGCCAGCGCCCCAUCGGAGGCGGCCGAAGCCUGCGGUCCAUCGGAGGCGACCGAAGCCAGCGCUCCAUCGGAGGCGGUCGAAGCCAACGCACCGACGGAGGCGACCGGAUCCGGCGCCACCAUCCCCGCAUCUCCGCCGCCUUCGCCCCAAGCCCGCCCUCGGACGCCACCAGCGGCGGCUCGCCGGAUCCUUUGCCGAUUUGCUGCAGCACUAGAGCAGCACCGCCCCGGCCUCCGCUCCGCUCCUGGGCUCACGCCGGCAUCCACCUCCCUGGCUACGACGCGGCAGCCGUAGCCCCGUCCUCUCCCUGAGCGCUGCCGACGAGGGGCGCCAUCGGCGGCGGAUGUUGCGGGACGUCGUGGAGGUGGCUGUGGAACGGGGGAAUUCAAGGCGAUAUUUGUGGUCCUAUCCAACCAUUAUCUGGACCUUUUAGGUAUUUCAUGGUUCUAAUUGACGCAUCUACACGAUGGUCUCACGUGUGUCUAUUAUCCACACGAAACCAUGCAUUUUCCAAAAUAAUGAGACAAGUAAUUAAAUUACAAGCUCAUUAUCCUGAAAAUCGGAUUAAGUCAAUUCGAAUGGACAACGCUGCUAAAUUUUCCUCACGUGCCUUCAAUGAUUAUUGCAUGGCCCUAGGAAUCGAAGUUCAGCACUCGGUCCCAUAUGUCCAGACACAAAAUGGAUUGGAAGAGUCCCUAAUUAAGAGAAUUAAGCUCAUUGCACGGCCCUUGCUAAUGAAUUGCAACUUACCAACUUCAUGUUGGGGUCACGCAGUUUUACACGCUGCUGACUUAAUUCAAUUGCGACCAACUGCAUAUCACAACACUUCCCCUCUGCAAUUAGUACGUGGAAACCUACCAAAUAUUUUCCAUCUGCGUAAAUUCGGAUGCGCCACAUAUGUGCCCAUCUCACCACCGCAGCGUACAUCCAUGGGCCCACAUUGGAAAUUGGGGAUCUAUGUGGGGUGCAAAUCACCGUCGAUAAUCAAGUACCUUGAACCCCUCACUGGGGAUCUAUUCCCAGCCCGUCACGCUGACUGCAUCUUUAAUGAGGAAUAUUUCCCGGCAUUAGGGGGAGACAUCAAGUACCAAAAGAAUGCCCGGAAAUCUAUUGGAAUGCCCAAGACAUUUCCUCCUCUGAUCCACGUACUCAAGAAACUGAACUUCAAGUUCGGAAAAUAAUUAAUUUGCAACAUAUUGCAAAUAACCUGCCAGAUUCAUUUACUGACUAUAAAGGUGUUACAAAAUCCUACAAUCCUGCCAGAAAUGCGCCCGAAAGAGUGGAGGUACCAACAAAAACCACUCAACCCCCUGUUCAAAGGAAGAGGGGGAGAAAUAGGGGGAGAAAUACGGCCACAGAACAGGAUUCAACUUCUCGCAAACAAAAAAGGAAACAGAGGAAGAAACCCCGUGAACCAGUAAAUGUAAAUCAACCUAGCGUUGAUAAUCAUCAAAUGGGUAAUGAACACCCAGUGGAAGAACGGCCUCCACAACCCAGCUCAGUUGUGCACUCAAUGACUAGGACAUCGGAAAACCCUGACUCAAUCGUAUUGGGAAAUCACGACCAGUCAACAUGGGUAAAUGAAAUUUCCACCAACUAUAUGGAUUCUGGAGAAUGUUACAAUCGUAAGUCUACUAUUGUCGACAUAUAUUUCUCAACUACAGUUGCAGACUACCUUCUAAAUGAUCAUGAUCCAAAGACCAUGGCAGAGUGCAAGAAACGCUCCGACUGGCCUAAAUGGAAGGAUGCAAUCCAGGUAGAGUUAGCCUCGCUCAAUAAACGAAAGGUAUUCACUGAAGCAAUACCUACACCUCCCAGAGUUUUCCCUGUGGGAUUCAAAUGGGUUUUCGUCCGUAAAAGAAACGAGAACAACGAGAUGGUGAGAUAUAAAGCAAGGCUUGUAGCCCAAGGUUUCACGCAGAGACCAGGCAUUGAUUGCAAUGAAACAUACUCUCCAGUAAUGAGUGGUAUUACUUUCCGAUACCUUAUUUCUAUGGCAGUACAAAAUCGUCUACCUAUGCAGUUGAUGGACGUAGUGACCGCCUAUCUUUACGGUUCACUUGAUUCGUACAUAUGCAUGAAGGUUCCUGAUGGAGUUCCAAUCCCGAAUCCAAACGCAACGCAUAUUGUGUAAAACUAAACAAGUCUUUAUACGGCUUAAAACAGUGGGGUCGCAUGUGGUACAACCGACUUAGUGAGUUCUUUUUGAAAAAAGAUACUCCAAUAAUGAUGAUUGCCCAUGUGUUUUCAUAAAAAAGUCCGCAACCGGAUUUUGCAUUAUUUCAGUGUAUGUUGAUCAUCUUAACAUCAUUGGAACCACCGAAGAUAUUGAUGAAGCACGCAAUAUCUUAAAGACGGAAUUUGAAAUGAAGGAUUUGGGUAAAACUAAAUUUUGCUUAGGAUUACAACUUGAGCACCUUCCCUCGUGUAUUUUGGUUCAUCAAACCGCCUAUAUCCAGAAAAUAUUGGAGAAAUUCAAUAUGGACAAAUACUAUCCAUCCAAAAUCCCUAUGGUAGUUCGAUCUCUAGACAUAGAGAAAGAUCAGUUUAGACCAAUGGAUGAUGGAGAAAAGAUAUUAGGACCUGAAGUCCCAUAUCUUAGUGUGGUUGGAGCGCUCAUGUAUCUUACAAACUGCACCAGACCUGACAUUGCAUUUGCAGUAAAUUUAUUAGCUAGACAUAGCGCAGCUCCCACUAAACGCCAUUGGAUCGGAGUUAAGAAUAUCUUUCGAUAUCUCCAAGGUACAAAGGAUCUUGGCCUCUUCUUUCAAUUUCAAAGAAAUUUGGACAUUGAUUUGAUUGGGUAUACAGAUGCUGGCUACUUAUCUGACCCCCAUAAUGCCAGAUCACAAACCGGUUUCGUGUUCCUACAUUGUGGGACAGUCAUAUCAUGGAAAUCUUCCAAGCACACCCUAGUGGCUACAUCCACCAAUCGUUCUGAAAUAAUCGCAUUAUAUGAAGCAUCACGUGAAUGUGUAUGGCUUCGCAGAAUGAUAAACCACAUACAAAAAUCAUGUGGCAAAGGUCUUAUCAAAUCUCCAACCAUUAUCUAGGAAGAUAAUGCUCCUUGUGUUGCUCAAAUGCAAACGGGUUAGAUAAAGAGCAAUAUCACUAAGCAUAUUUCUCCUAAAUUAUUUUUUCCCCAUCAAUUACAGAAGAAAGGGAAAAUAAAUAUUUUGCAAGUUAAAUCGUGCGAUAAUCUCACUGACCUAUUUACAAAAUCACUCCCAGCUUCAACAUUUGAAAAAUAUGUUCAUGGGAUAGGUAUGCGAAGACUUCGGGAUUUGCAAAGAUCAGGGGGAGUUUCUCUCUCUGAAAAAUAACCCGUUCAAACAUUAUAUUGCACUCUUUUCCCUUUAUGAGUGUACUUCCAUAGUUCUCAUCAAGGUUUUUAAUGAGACAAUAUCAACAUAAGACAUAUGUCAUACUGUCCGUUUUUCCCCACCGGGUUUUUUAGGAAAAGUAUAUACGACGUAUUUUUGUCCUCUAAUUUUAUGGAUACAUUUCAUAUAGAAUUGACAGAGGCAAUAAUCAUUAUAUGUUGUAUCAUUUUCUCCUUAUUUUUCCACAAGGUUUGAAGGAGUUUUAGCAGCAUAUACUAUACUACUUCUCAUAUUUUUCUCACGGGGUUUUUGGAGGAGACUAUUUUAAGAUGAUGAACAUACAUUUUAAGAUGAUGAACAUACGAUGAAUACUUGCUGUUUUCCCUGCAAUGAAACUGUAUGUACGACCGUGGAAUUCUAGUCCAGUCAUUUCAAUGUCAUUUACGGUGAAACUGAGGAGCAUAACGUACGGGGACACAUGCUAGCUGCAAACACGCGCACUCCGGCCGCCGCCAGUCAUUUGCAACACUGUGCGUUGUGUCAAGCUACGGAUUUCCGGUGGUGGCUGUCGACCGAGAUCGAACGUUUCUUCCGGCGACCUCUAUCUUUUGCUGUGGUAAUUUCUUUUGUCGUCGCUAGAGGACGUGGAUGAUAUUGUUGCAACGCACGGCAAUUCUUUGGUUUUGUUUAUUUAUUUAUAAAUAAUCUAACUGCUGCGGUCACGAUGGAUUUUCUAGGUAGCAUACCUCUUGUAUCUACUCCACGUCUUCACUUCAACUUUAUGCGUGGCUAGCUAGGGCAGUUGCCGACAGUUUGGACAAAAGAUCAGAUCAGUGGCCGAAUCGGGUAAGGUUGUCGGUUCAAGGUUUCAUCGGUCGGUUCACAGUCUGUUUUUUUUUUUWAUAAAAUAUCUUUUGUAUACUGAUGUAAUAUAUUUACCUUUUUCUUAACACAACACAGUCACAUACACUCAUAGAUACGCAAAUAUACUUACCCCUAUGACUGGGAGCUAUGACAUGUUUUCCUUGGGGUUUGUGAUCUCGAACGGACCACUAUUUGUACACGUCGACUUGGUUCGACAUCUCCGGUUUUACCUCCCAAUUCUUUAUCUUUAUCUUUAUCUUUACCUACUAAUAAAGCAAUUAGUGCUUCUGUUGUCCGUCUUUAACAUUGCCCAUAAAGUUGAUGAAAAUUAUCCACAAUUGCCACUUAUAAGUCAUUGAAAACAUUUCAAACAAGAAAAUCUUUGGACUGGGCCGGCCCAUGUAGGCACCUCCUAUAUUACGCUCUGGGCAUUGCAAAAAGAUGCAGCACACCUAUUUGGGCCGGUCCAUGCGUGGCCGCCUGUUAUUUUAGUUUUUUUUACUUUUCAGUUCUAUUUUUUUCUACUUUAAAUAAUUUAGAAGUUCAAAUAACUUUUUCUUAAAUUUAAGAAACUGAGAAUUUUGAAAUAAAAUAUUAAAAAACAUAUUUUUUUGAGAAUUCAAAAACUACUCAGGAGUUUUGAAAAAUGUUUGCAUAUACAAAGAAAUGUUUAAAUUUUUAAAAAAUGUCUGUAAAAUGAAAAAAGUCAAUAAUUUCAAACAAAAGUCCGUGUAAAAAUCUUAAAAACAGUUUGUGCCUCUGUUUUUAGUCUCAUUUUUAAUUUUCAUUUUCUGUUCCAUUUUUUAAAUUUAAAUAAUAUCGACUUUUGAAAUUUUUUUGCAACUUAUAAAACUUAGAAUUUUGAAAUAUAAUUUUGAAGAAAAUAUAAAAUGUUUGUGAAUUCAAAAAAUGCUCGGGAUAUUUGUAAAAGUAUUCCCAUAUUCAGAAAAAUGUUCAUAAUUUUGAGAACAAUGUUGGUGAAAACAAUAAAAGUCCAUGAUUUUGAGAAAAACGUUUGUGUAUUAUUUUUUGAGUGCAAUUGAAAAAAAUAUUUGCUAAUUCAAAAAAUGUUCAUGCAUUUCAAGAAAUGUCCUAAAAUUUUAAGGACGUAAUAUGAUCAACAUCCUUGAAGAUUAUAAUUAUUUUUCUUCCGUUGCAUCGCACGGGACCUUUUGCUAGUUGCAUAAAAAGUUCAAAACCUUUCGAUUCAACCGGUCCACUUUGGUUUAACAGGUGGAACGUCCAGAGAGUUUAAGAAACCGGCAUUGUCCCUGGUUCCAGCUUUCAGUUUCACCAGCGGUCCCGUCCCGUGCUGAUAAAUAUGCUGGCCGAUUAAUUUCGAUAUAUGCCUCUUUUAUUCUUUUAUCUAUCAGCAUAUCAACAUUUGUGUGCAUGUUGAGUCGUUGACUUGCCACCUCGAUCCAUCUUAUAUUCAUUUAUUUGUUCGAGUUGUGCAUUCUAUCUUUGCAGGUGCAAGAGAUAAUAAUUCAGUAUAACCUAGACACUUUCCUCCAUCUAUGGAUUCUCUACUUGAACAUUACCAUCAUAUACCAUCCAGAUGAUACUAGCUGGAUUACUGGGUUGGAUUACAUCUUCGAGUUGGCACCUCUCUUAGAAGAUUUGGAACUACAUGUAAGUUCUUCACUCGCCGAUCAUGGUACUUGCAUCUGUUUGUAUACAAAUAUGUAUUUGGUAUUAAUGAAUGGUUGGAUAUACUUGUGCAAAUAAAUUGUGGUAGAUUUGGCCUUCCUACAAGGAGUGACAACUCUUCCAAGGCCUCGGCGUCAUCAUCUCAGUAGCGCCCGCAUUAUUGAUUUUGUGAUCUGGUGGGGAUAGUCGAGCUUGAUGUCCUCCAGAUCCAGGCACGACGCGCCACAUAGAAGCCUCGUGAUAUCCCCCGGUGGGCGUCACCGACAGAGACAAUUGUGCAAUGAAGACCCCGGCAGCCUUUGUUGUCGCCCUAUAACUGUAGCUGGGUUUUUGCAACUAGGGCGGUCGCGUGGCUCUGCUCAAGCUGCCCACUAGUCCCCUGUUUCGACAUGAUCCAGAAGACAAGUCGCGGAGACUAAACAAGGUUGAACAACAUGUGCCUCUUGCAGUUUAACUAAUGAUGCUUCUUAAAUAAUGCCUUGUCACUUGCUAGAUUUUUCCUCCAAGUUUCUAUAUGCACCGUACCUUGCAUGUCUCUCAGAGAGGAUGGUGUACUGUUGAUGUAUGUACCACUUCUUUUUGCAGGGAAUGUAUAUAUCAUGUACGUACCACUUGCAUGAGCCGCUGAAUGUUCCUAGGUAGUCUUAACGUAUGUUCGUACGCUAACCAUUAGGCUACACUGGAGCGAGUAGUAGUCAACAAGUCAUGGAUGAUGGGAUGCGUGCGUUCAUGCUCUAAAAAGUCAAAGGCUAGCUCUUUUUCUUAAAUUUGUUGCAAUGGUUUUUAGUUGUUGUGGCUAGAAGACGUGGAUGCUAUUGUUGCAAGGCACGACAAUUCCUUGUUUUUAUUUAUUUACAUUUAAAAAUAUGUUGCAGUCGCGACAUAUUUUCUAGGCAGGACGGCAUCUCAUCCCCUUCAUCUUAUCAGUUAACUCGCUAUGCUGUUUAGAUUUCUACACCAUCUCAACUUUGCACAUUUGGUUCGACCUCUUUGGCCGCUAUUGGCCCCUUACGUCAAAUGGUUUCGGCUUUUCUGAUGAAAUGUUUUAAUCACCGAAUAAAGCAACAGAACACGUACUUAAUUUGUACUAAAACCCGAUGAGAUGCAGCCGCGCAGGUAAGGAAGCCCAUCUAUGGGCCCAUCCAGUUUGCCGUACAUAACAACACAAGCCCGUGAAUAUUUGAUUGUCGCAUAGAGAAAAUGUAUUUAAGAAUUCACUAACUGCAACCUUGAAACAUUAAAUAGAAGAAUGACAGAGUGUAGACGUGCACUACCUUUUGGUCAGGGGCAGAGCUAGGAUUUGAACAUAGGUGGGGCGAAGAGGACAAUGCACGUGCAGGAAAUUCAGGACCAAAUAUAUUGAUUCUGAAAUAUAGUGUUAAUAUCAAACAAACAAUGUUAUUUUUUCCUGCAAUAACAUUGAAAUAGCUAGGUUUUUUAUUAGCUUAGAUAUAUAUCUACACACAUCAGGCCCAUCAAACGUCAAGGUUUGUAGAGAUUUCACUCCCAAAAUAUAUACUCCCUCUGUACCUAAAUAAUUGUAGUAGGGAAGAACUAGUCAAGUUUUCCCCAAUUACAAUUAUUUAGAUACAGAGGGAGUACAUGUCACUCUGCAAUGUGCAAUCUCAUCAGUAGACUGGGUGGUUAAAAUAAAUGGUUUCAAUUGUUAGUUAUUGGUGGUCUCUUCUUCCUCAUGCUUUAUGCAAUUCUAGACUUCUAGUUAGUACACAAAUAUCAUUUUUAAUUGAAUCUAACUGGUACAACCUCUGUCCCAAAUUACGUGUCUUAAAUUUAUCAAGAUAUGAAUGUGUUGUAUGUAAACAAACCUAAGACAAGUAACCUUUGGAUCCGCACUGCUUCUGGUACUACCUCAUGUUGGUUUAACAGUGUGCCUCCUCACGCCAUCCAUGAUCAGCGUGUUAGUUAAGCUGUCUUUCCACUCUCUGCCAUAUCUCUUAUACCACUAUCAUGAUGGGCUUGCCUGCAUUUAUACAUAUACUUCUUUUUUUGCACCGUUACAUAUACUUUUUUCGUCACGGGUUAGAAGGCGUGCUUGGAAAUUCUCUGGAACCUAGGCGUUGUUGAUUGAAUGCGAGAUGGGUUGAAAAAUAGAAUUCACACUACGCAUGCAUACAGAACUAGUACAAUGGAGUACUAAUUGGCUGCUAAAAGUAAAUGCAAUGUGUCCACAACUUUGUUUAGUGUGAAAAUGCACGUAAAUUUAACCAUGCGUUCUAAACCGCGACUGAGGGAGUACUUGAUAUGGCAAGUUCUUUUUUAGCAUUUGUGGGCAUAUGUUGGCUUUAUUGACCAUUAAUGGGGUGAUAGUGACAAGGUAGCAUUUCUAGUAUUAUAGGUGAUCCAAAUUUAACGGUGUAUAAUGACCACACUAUUAUCCAAAUGGGAACAACCUCCCAUUAAUGGUAGGAGAAUCAGUCACCCAUUUUUGUACAACCUCCCACUAAUGUGUCUGUGAUUUGUUUGCAAACAUUUAUUUUUUACUCUCACUGCGAAAUGCCCCUAUGAGGAAGAACAACAUAAAAAUAGGUCUCGUGCCUGUGAGUUUUUGCAAAGUUUUUUACUCUCCCUGUCAAGUGGCCCUACAAGUAAGAACAAUAGUAAAAAAUGGAUCGUGUACCUGUGAUUUUUUACAAAGUUUUUUACUCUCACUGCCGAGCGGCCCUAUUAAGAAAAGCAAGACAAAAAUUAGGCAGCAGCUUCAAGGGGUUGAACCAGGUUCCAACUCACCAUCGUACCAUCGCAUACUUCCAAUUUUUCACAGGUUACAAAUGAAGUUAUUCCAUUCCUAAUAAAAUUUGAAAUAAAAAUGAGUUUUUGUUCGGUACACCGUACCCCCGCCCCCUCCCUCACAACCUACCUUGAAAAAAGCCAAGGCACGCGUUGGUUUGAAGUUUUCGUAGCAAUCUAGAGGAUCUGUGUGAUAUUUCAGCUGCAACGGACUGCAGUUCUUUGUCGAUUUUUCUGCAAAUGAUUUACCUAUUGUGGCCGCUAUAGAUUUUCUAGGUAGCAUGUCUUCUCAUCCCAUCCCGGGCCUCGCUCUCGAGGCCAUCGGGGAUCAGUUUGUGUGUUCGUCCGAUUUCUUCUAAGAUCGAUCUGCAACGUCCGUCGGUACCGCUGGAGCUGCACUUCCACUCUAGUGUGGCACGCCAAUAUUUUUUAUCAUAUCUACACGCCGUUGCUUAUACUUUAAAUGGUAUGUUUUGGGAGCAUUCGUUUGUAGCCUUAUGCAACAUAGACUAUCAUGCAAUGACAGGAUGACAGUGACUGAGGUAGAAUUUCUGGAACCGUACCCAAUGACAGAUUUUAAGAUGGAUGGUGAUCACACUGUUAUCCAGAUGGAAAAACCUCCAAUGGUAGGAAUCAUAUACUUGGGCAUGUUGUCCUGAUUUUUCUUUUUGAAAUUGAGACAAAAUAUUUGCCUCAUCUCACUAAUAAAAGAGAGGGUUGAAUUACAUAGCUGGCUGUCCAAGGACGGCUCUCCAAUUUUGUUUUUUAUUCUUACGACAUUACAGAACUAACAUCCUCAGAGCAACUCUAGCACACCCCGCAUCCAUCCCCGACCCGUAAAAUAACCGCCAAAAUGCGGGUACGGGCCGGAAAGCCUGCCCGACCAGACCACGCAUCCCGCCCCGGUCCGCAAAUUUUUUUUGGGGGCGCGGCAAAUUCCCGACCCCAACCCGGAAAAACGCGGGUUUCCGCCUCGCUGCUGCGGUGCCCUGCAUCACAGAGAAGCAGUUGGCGGGAGGGACAUUUCAGGCCGCGCUCUUUGCCCCCUCCUUCCGCCGCCGCCCGCCCUUGCUUACGCCCGCCCGCCGCCGGCGAUUCCGGCAAUAUCUGCAGGCGAGCCGCUGCACCGCCCCUCCGGAUCCGGUGAGAAGACSCCCCCCCCCCCGCCGCUGUCGCCGCCGGGGUAUCGACCACCAUCGAGCGCACCCCCUCGUCGCCGCCCGGGUCAUCCGCAACCGGUUAGUCCUUUAUUUUUAUUUUUGUGAGCUGUGCGAGAAGUUCUUACUAUCCGAUUCGUCCGAUUCGGACGACUCGGAUGUUGAGACCAUGCUUGCGAACUUUCGGCAGCAAACAUUAGUCAUGGCGCUUGCCGUGAAGGAGCAUGAAGACGAGCACCGGAAGAGGAGGCGAGGAUUGACUGUCGGGCGUUUGUGCAUUUCUCGAAAUCGCCAUCUUGGAAACGAGAUGUUGAUGCAAGACUAUUUCACGAAGAAUCCUACAUAUCCUCCGCACCUCUUUCGGAGAAGGGAUCGAAUGCGCCGAUCCCUCUUUGUGAAACUUGUUCAAGCUUGCGAGUCAAAUUGCCGGUAUCCAUUUGUAUUUGUAUUCAUGACAAGUUUUGUAUUGCACUAUUUAAGUUUGCUAUGGUUAUUUGAAUAAUUAUUUGUAAUGCGGAUGAUUAUUGUAUUAUGUUUGAUUCGAAUAAUUAAGUUUGUUUUCGAUUGUUGAAUUAUGUUGUAUUUGAUAUUUGUGGGCUGAUGAUAUGCGGGAUGCAGCGGUGCAAAGAGCAGACCCCGCAAAGCCGACCAGUAAAAAAGUAUAUUCCGCGAAUAUAUAUUUUGACGGAUCCGUUUGGAGGGUCUGCAUGUGUGCCAGCCCGGGCCAGCCCGCAAAAGCUGUUUUACACGAACUGCAAACGCGUUUUGCAAGCAAGUAGUACUUGUUGUGGAACACGUCCGGCGUUCCACCACUCCUUAAUAGUGCCAAUUUUCUGGCCCCCUCUUGCAAAGUUCACUAGUGGAAAACGGACCUUUGGCCGGGACCCUUUAGUCCCGGCCUGCCUCUAGGCCAGGAUUAAAGGCCCGGCCACGUCACCCCAGUUCUCAAUGCCUCCCUCGAGGCUUUAGUCCCGGUCCGUAAGGAGCCUUUAGUCCCGGUUCGUGUCCCAAACCGGGACUAAAGGGCUACGCGGCGGGCAGUGGUGGUGGCAACCGUUCGUAUCCCCCUUUAGUCCCGGUUGGUGGCUCAACCUGGGACUAAAGGCCUAACACGUGGCAUGUCGUAGUGGUGGCAACCGUUGGUAUACCUCUUUAGUCCCGGUUGGUGGCUCAACCCGGGACUAAAGGCCCAAACGGUUUGCAUCCCGCGUCGUUUCGGGCAAUGAAAAGCACGAACCGAAGCACAGUCGCCAUUUCUCUGUUUCUUCUUCUCUCUCGCUCUCCCUCUCUGUUCUUCUCCUCUCUUCUUCCCUUCUCUUCUUCCACCAUGCCAACUCGCUUUCAAAAGGUGCUCGCACAUCGCACGACCAUGCUCGAUGUCGUGUACACGAACGAGAGCAGGGAGGUGCCAUUUUUUCUUGAAUAGUUGAAGGAAAAAUGUCUUGACGCCGCAAUGGAUCAUGAGAAGUUUUUGGGGCUUGAUCUGGAGUACACGGCCGAUCAACACGGUGUUGCCGUCAUCCAACUAUGCUUCGCACGCCAUGUCUUGAUCUUCCAAUGGGCGAGGUAAGUUUUGAGGCUUUCUUUGAUCCAAGAUAAUGACAUUGUAAGUUUAUUUGUUUCAAUCAUAGUUGGUUCCCUUCAAAUAGUUGUAGUGAAACAAUUUUGAUUAGUUGAAGGGGAACACAAUCUAAUUGGUAAUAGURGUUCCAUAAUCUGAAAAUCGUAUUAGAAUCAACUAGUGUUUAAUAUGUUUCAUUGGAAUCAUAGUUGGUUCGCUUCAAAUAGUUGUAGUGAAACAAUUUUGAUUAGUUGAAGGGGAACACAGUCUGAUUGGAAUAGUGUUCCAUAAUCUGAAAAAUCGUAUUAGAAUCAACUAGUGUUUAAUAUGUUCCAUUGGAAUCAUAGUUGGUUCGCUUCAAAUAGUUGUAGUGAAACAAUUUUGAUUAGUUGAAGGGAACACAAUCUGAUUGGAAUAGUGUUCCACAAUCUGAAAAAUAUGAUUGGUUCAAUAUGUUCCAUUGAAAUCAUAGUUGUAGUGAUACAAUUUUAUGCGGUGUUCUUUGAUCCAAGGUUAUGAAAAUUGCAUAUAGCUAGUGAUCUCUCUAGGUUCCAUUGGAUAGCAAUAUGAUAUGUCAUAGUCAUGAAAAUUGCAUAUAGCUAGUGAUCUCUCUAGGUUCCAUUGGAUAGCUAUAGUGAUCUCUGUAGGUUCCAUUGCAUAUGUUCUAUUUGAAUCCUAAAGAUAAUUUUCUCUUCAGUUGUAGUGAAACAUGUUUCCUUAUUGCAGCAGUAUGUAACAUUUGUUCCAUUUUAAUUUGUUUCUGUUGCAGUAGUGACAAGCAUUGUCCAGAACUCAUGGACUUCCUUCGCAGCGGCAUCACUUUUGCUACCGCUGACAUAAGGAACGACAAGCUGAAGAUGAGGUACAACUUCGGUAUUGCAGAAGGAAAACGCCAGGAUAGCAAAGGAACAUCAUGAUGCGCAGAUGAAAAAGAAGGAACCCGAGCCCCGCCCGGAAUACACCGAGAAGCAAAUAGCAUGGGCAAAAGACUUCAUAACCCUUCCAUCACAAUAUGACUUACACUAUAAGCCUGAUGACUAUACACGCACAUUGCAGAAGGAAGUGAAAAAGAGCAGUUCAUGUGCAAGUGCAAGUGGGAGCAAAUCAAGUUCAACUACAAGCAAGAAAAAAUCAGACGUUCCUCAGCUUGGACAACAGGCCAAACAGUCGAUCCCACCCCUCAAGGUGUUAACCGAGAAUGUUCCCCCUCCGAUGCAGGGGCAAGCUUUUGAAAGAGCAAAGGAGUUGGCGGCUGAAUGUGGUAUCUCGGUUGAAGAUUUGCCGGCUUCCCAAGACGACAGGAUACCCAAGGCUGUGGUAGCCCCUAAGCCACAGUUUGUCAUGGGAGAGCCUUUGGUCAGCAAAGAUGAUCUCCCAACAAAUAUGCGUUACUUGCAUCAAUGGUACUUAAGUGAAUCAAAGAAUGGGAGAAUGAUGAUCGUGCUGAGUGUCCCACGGGAGUACUACGGCGGCUCCGAAGAAAUCCAUAUCGACUUUGAUGAACUCUUCCAGAUGUACAAUGGCGACGCCCUCGAUAAAUCGCUUAUGAGUUGCUAUUGUCUGUAUGUUUUUCAAUUCGUUGUCUACAUAUAACUUGUUUAGUUAUUUCAAUUCAUUGUCUAUAUAUAACUUGUACUCUAUUAUGCAGAAUGAAGAUUCUGGAUUGUAAAAGUAAGACCAUCCUAAAUAUUGGGUUUAUUGACCCAGAUAAAAUACAUAUAGCGACGCUAACUGAUAAACCCAAGGAGGCAGAGGAAAACCUUCUAAGGUUUCUAAUAAAUCAAAAUUUCUGUGACCACAUACUGUUUCCAUACAACUUCAGGUGAGGGUCUUUACUCUGUUGUGUCCAUUCACUUAUAAGUGUAAUUGAUAAGUUACUGACAUAUACACACACACACACACACACACACACACACACACACACACACACAUGUGCAGCUUUCAUUGGAUUCUGUUGGCCAUUCAAAUUGAUAAGGGAAGAGUUGAUGUCUUCGACCCAUUAUCGAGACCCUUGGAACAGUUCCAAAGCCUGCAGGACAUGCUCCAAGGGUAAUUUUAAUCAAUCUUGCGCUCUAUCGGUCUCUUUCAAUGAUUUUCUGAUAUAUCAAUUAAUGAAAAACUUAGCAAAUCAUUAUCCUUGUCAGGCAGGGUUUGGAAGCGGUUCAAGUGCGUGACUCCCGGUAACUUUCCUGAGAAGCUGACCUUUAGAGCGGCUCAGGUAAGUAGUAGUAUGAUAUACUUCUAUUAAUUUUCAAUACAUUUAUGAUGCUAGAUUAUUAUUUUGAUUAUAUAUAUUAUAUUCUCGUAAAGUGCGACCAGCAGCCACGGGGAACGCAUCUAUGCGGAUACUAUGUUUGCGAGACCAUUCGCACGUUUACCUCUGAGCUCAAGGAUCACAGAUUCGACGUAAGCAAUGAACAUUCACACCUCUAUUUUUACCCGUCAUUCUUUGUUAUCAUGAUUGAUAUUCAUAUUCAUCUCCUCUUCUUAUAUAGCACACGACCAUGAGGACGAAGGUCCUACCAGAGCAACGCGCGAUUGCUGUUGCAGAGGAGCUUGCGGGAUUUCUGAGAACGGAAGCUAUAGAUGACAAAUGACGAUUUAGUGUAACCAGGGGCCAUUACUGAUGUUCGUCCAUGUAAUCGAAUAGACGGGCUCUAGUCCCGAUAAUUCAAAUCUCCAUAUAAUUGUAUAUAUAUGCUCGCUUGUAAGAUAAGUUAAUCUUAUAUAUAUAUGCAUAAUUAUUUCUAUUUAAAUUAUAUGAAAACUAAUUCCCGAACACCAAACAAGGCAUCACGUUAAUCUCCCGAACACCUAAACCCUAAAACCCUAAAACCCAAAAAUAAUUUCAUUCAAAAAAAAACCCAAAACCAGUAAAAUCUGAAAAUCUUUAGUCCCGGUCCGUGUAACGAACCGGGACUAAAGGGCCUGCCCCUGGGACGCUACGAGGCGCCCACGUGGAGCACCUUUAGACCCGGCUUGUAACAGGGCCGGGACUAAAGAUUAGGCCUUUAGUCCCGCCCCUUUAGUCCCGGUUGGUGAACCGGGACUAAAGCCAGUUCGAACCCGGUCCUGUAUGUAAGUCAAGCAAAGAAUUUAUGCUCUGGUGGUGCCUGAUUGUUCCACACAGCCGUCAUAUUGUCUUAUCACUCACUCAUUUUAUUACAACACCAAAAUUACACAAAAACAGUAGCACCAUGACACGGCGUAGAGCACACACACGCUCACAAGCUUCAGCAUAAAUCAGCACAAAACUUACUGGGAGGUAGCAUCUCUGGACUUCUAGCCAAGACAGAUUUCACGUUGUAUGGUGAUCAGAGUGUUAUCCCAAAUGGGAACAACCUCAUAGGGUAGGAAGCAUAUAUAUAUACUCCGGGCAUGAUGUCUGAUCACUCAACUCAUUUUAUUACAACAUCACAAUUAUAAAGAACCACUAGUACCAUGACAUGAUCAUAGCGCACACACACACACGCUCACACGCUUCAGCAAUCACGGCAACUAAACAAUUUCUUACAUGGCGGAGGCAUGGCCCUCGUCGCUGGCGGUCUCGAUGCCGUCGACACGGCUGUUGGGGACGGCGCAGUUGAACCGGAUCUCGCCCUGGCUGCCGGUGAGCAAGUCCAUGUUGCUCAUCUUCACCAUGGACUUGGCAAACUGCUCGAAGAACGCUCCCUGGUUGAGGGCGAAUCGCGUCGCCAUGCGCGUGGUUUCAGGGUGGACGAUGAGGCCCUGGUCCGACUUGAACAGGCCCUGCUUGGCGAUGAGAUCAAAGUAGUACUUGUUGUCGAACACGUCCGGCGUGCGCACAUCGAGCGACUGGUUGACGCUAAGCGCGGGCACGUCGUUGGCGCACUUGGCCUUGAGCUUGGCGGCGAAAUUGGGGUCGAUUGCUGGGUUGGUGUCGACUUCCGGCGUGAAGCGGUCGGAGAAGGCGGGGCAGUGGGCGAUGCCGAACGUGUGUGCGCCGGAGAGGGACACCAGGUCGGCCUUGUCGAGGUUGCGGUCGCCGAAGGACUUGAGGAGCUCCGGCACGGUGAAUGAGGGGGCUGGAAGGGUGAAGACGAGGUCCUGCGACGCUGGGGCCAGCCCGUCGCGCCGGCCCAGAGCCACCUCAAAGCGGGGCCCGCCAGCCUGCACGCACCACAUCCACGUAAACGUAAACGUAAACGUAUAUGUUAGUCACAGUUCGAGAAACAUGUGUAGAAAAAACUGAAAAAGUAGACUAUGAUAUGCUAGGAAUAAUGGUUUGGCCGUGCAUGCAUGCUGCAUGUCCAGCACGAAAGGUAUAGGGCAAUGGUACCAUACCAGCACGACGGAGUCACGGGUAGCGAGAACGGUGAUGUCGGCGCAGGAGACAGUCCGGCCGCAGGACCUGUGGACGGCGGCGCGGAUGGUCUCGAUGAGGUUGAGCCCCACCGGCCGGAGCGUCAGAUUUGGCCCCAACGCCUGCUCGCUGUUGUUGCCGGUCAGGAGCACCGACGCGUCGCAGCCCUGCAACAAGAGCAAAUAUAAGUAAGUAAGAAGAAGCGCCAUGCAUAUAUCAUAUGUAGAUACAUAUUUCUGACGUUGAUACAUACGCACCUGAGGGAAGCAGUCGUGGAAGAAGAUGCGGAUGAGCCCCGGCGCUACGCCGACGUCUUUACGGAAGGCCUCGGCGACGUGAUACUGGACGAUGUGUUCCAGGUCCGGGCACGAGCCCGCGUGGAAGUCCGGCGAAAGCUCCCCGGCGGCCGCCGCUGCCGAAUGGACGACGGCGCAGGCCAUGGCCACGACGACCAGGGCCGCUGCUGCUCUGGACGCCAUCUUUCGAUCACACUCUCUGCGGCAGAUUGAUGGAGCUAGGUUUUGCAGGUACCUAGGGCGGCCGGCGGUCGUCGUGUGGCUUCCUCAAGCUAGCUAGCCAACCCCUCUCUAUUUAUAAUCGGUCGGUCCUCGGUCAAAUGUCUCCGAUGCAAUUACCUCCACAGCCUUGAUCUGAUCCAGAAUUCCAACACAGACGGACAAGUCGCACUAGCUAGACGUACGUACGUUGCUUACAAAUCUGGAUCAACAUGUGCAAGUCGCUUAACUUUUUUUUAACAUAUACAUGCGCAUACAUUUAUUCCUAUGAAUACAUACAUGCACAUCAUACCCCUAUGAGAAGCUCCGAGAGACUCAAUCGAUAUAUCAUAUUAAGAUUUACAAAAUUAUCAUAGACGCCUCUUCGACAAAAACUCUUCUUCCAAUAAAAGUGUAUAGCUGGAAAUCCUAAAGUAAAUUUGAAAACAAUGCAAACAACAAGAUUUGAUCAUGAUAGGAUGGGGAUAUCACUGUUUCUCUAACCAUUCAAUAGGUUGGUUUACUCAAGUCGCAUGCCUUGAAACUACAUGUCGGAAGAGCUAGUUAAGGCCUACACCGUUGCGAUAAAAGAGUUUGAUAAUGCAUGCAUCGACGGCGUCACUUUCCCGGAGCUUUCGUGCACACGCAUUUGCACCUAACCAACGGUGACAUGUUGCCAAACUAGCAUACAUGUGUAUGCAAUUAAGGGCCGGCGGGCACGCAGGCAAGAGCUGACCGGGCUCCAUUGUUUUCUCGGUGAAGCGGAUCGAUUGGCUGCUCGAUUGAUUCCAUGGAUGGACAAACAAGAAGAUUAGUAUUAAUUAAUCCACUUGUUAAUGUGUAUAUAUAUAGUUUACUGAUCAAGAUAGCUGUAGGAUCAAGUAGGGUUUUAUGUAUGUAUUUCGCCUGCGUUGAAAGGAGACUUGGAUAUGGUUAACUGAUUUGGAAUAAUUUUGGAUGACACAUAGGAGAUGAUUGAGUACUUAAGGACGGAUUAAUUAGCUAGGGGUGGUUGGAUGGGAUCGAUAGAGUGUGGCCUCAUCUCCCGGAGGAUGCCUGCCACUUGCAAGAUCGACAUGAUAGAAUAAUGCCGCUGAAAAUUCUUACAGCAAGGUCGGCCACGUGCUGCACCUACAUAUGGGCGACCUCCAUGGAGGUGGUUAUUUUGAAAAAGACUCAAAAUAAAUUUUAAAGCUUCAAAUAUUUUUGAAAAAAAUGUUACAUGUUCAUAUGUAUUAUGGUUGGAGCUAGACAGAAAAGGCAAAGUCAUGAUUUGAAACCGGCAAACAGUACAAGAACUGUUCACUAUUAAAAAUGUUGGGUUUUAUCUUUUUUGUGUAGCUCUCGCUGUUACGUAUUUCAUCGCCAGAUUUUAUACACAUGUAGAAUACAUCCAUAUGAAUGUGUAGAAUUGUUUUCAGAAUGUUCUAAAACUCCAAAAUGUGAUUAUCGGAUUUUUACAAAAUUUCCAUCUUCAUGGAGGUCGACCGCCAAAAGCCCUCACUCAGCCAAAUACUCUUAUAAUAUAACUGACUUAGGCUAGAUGGAGCCAGUCAUGCGCUCGUUCCUACUUACCCCCUCCGUUCUUAAAUAUAAGACCUUUUAAAAAUUUCACUAUGAACAACAUACGGAUGUAUGUAAUCAUAUUUUAGGAUGUAGAUUCACUUAUUUUGCUUCGUUUUUAGUUCAUAGUGUAAUUUCUAAAAGGUCUUAUAUUUAGAAACGGAGGGAGUACACGAUAGCCAAGGCUCCUCUUUGCGUACAUGCCGGAAGUUCAAAAGAAGCAUGAGAUGAUUGUUUUUCUUUAGAUCUGAAGGCAUUCUAUCUAGGACGGUUCAAUCAGGUUAAAUUACCGUCCUGGAUCUGAGCUAUGGCUGAGCUCAGUUCUGCACCUAGGCAUGUUCAUAUCAAGGACGGUCGACCUGCUCAAGCGAGCCGUCCUGAUCGUUAAGGACACGAACGUCGUGCACUGUACUUGGUAGGUAGCUAAUCUUGGAGUACGUUCGUACGCAGAAUAGUAGGCUGGAUGCGCGCGUUCCAGCACAAGAAGUCAAAGCCUAGCUCCUCCCCUGGGGUGCAUGCAUCUGACUUUGAUCCACCGAAAAUUGUUCGAGGACCGUGGAAUCCUUGUACGGUUCCGGUUAAAUUGCCCUCACGCAAGUGGAGUGGACCUGAGUAGCAUGUAUUUUUUUUCAAACCAUGCCAUUUCACUAAGCCAUGCAUGUCCUUUUCUCGGUGCAAUUAACCCAUUCAUGAUUGUUAGUCCCAAUUUAAAUUUCUGUAUUAGACCCUUGGAGUCAGAAUAUAUAGUUAAGAGUGAAUUCCAGCUUCUACCACCUAUUUUGACAUUUUUAACACUAAUUACCCUAUUUAACGGGACUUCAUCUGUUUUAUCCCAUUUAGCAAAAAUUCUGCCUUAAUUUAUCAUGUUUAAAAUUUUAUGAACGUUCUGAUAGAAAGGUAUCAGUUUUCAGAUUCAGCUGGCAUGCCACAUCAAUGAUUUUUUCCAGCCUAUUUUACUUCAUGUUGAACCGGUGCUGGCAGCUUCUCCCAACUAAGGGAGUCCUUGUCUAAGGGGUCCUCAGGCUGUUUGUCUAUUCUCAUGGACCGAACUCCCGGUCAUGUUCGACCGUCACUAGAACUAUCAGAAUCAAGAUGGACUCUUCCGAAGACUUAACGUACGGUCCAAGGCAACGUAGUGAUCGGCAUAAUCCUUCUCUAUUGUAAUCGAUUUUGUGUAAUCCUAUCAUCCCUGGUAUCUAUAUAAACCAGGGGGCCAUAGUUCAUAGGCCAGAUUAAGCUUAUUACGAUUAGGGUUUAGACCACAACAUAUGAUCUCGAGGUAGAUUAACUCUGUACUCUGUACUACUCCAUCAAUACCAACAAAAGCAAGACGUAGGAUUUUACUUGCAUCAAAAGGGCCCGCACCUGGGUAAAACAUCGUCUUAUUCUUCUCUUGUUACCAUCGACCCAAGAUCCAUAGUUCGGACCCCCUACUCGAGAUCAGAUAGUUUUGCUACCAACACCGACCCAUCCAACCCGAUAUGAACGCACCAGAGCAGGUGGUUCGCAUCACCGACCAAUGCAUAAGUCAGUUUUAGAAGGGUGACAUGUAUACACAUGAUCUUCUAAUAAGGAUCUUAAUUCUAUCAGAAUGAAAUGCCUCAUCGGCCAAUGCAUGAGUUACGAAAAUUUCAGAAUAUACAAAUUGCUAUAUACUAAUGCUGAAAGUCAUGUGGAAUAGGGUACGAAUGAGAGGGCCAUAGACCCGCUAUCAACUGAGCACAACCUGAUGGGGUCCUGCCAUGUCACCGAAGUAGAAAGAACAACUGAGCACAUUGUAAUGGUGUCAUGUACAUGCACACGCCCACACCGACGCCGGCGAGCAUGACAGAGCCGUCAGAUCCCAUGGGGUCGUAUGUUUCCUUGAUGUCACGGCCAUACAACCCUACUCGAGCAGGUAAGAAAUCACGCUGCCAUCGCCAUCGCCGUUGCCUGACAAUCCCUAAGCCUAGGUCUGAGCAAGCCUAGCGGGUGCAUGCGGUCCGAAACAUGGACGGACGACGAUUGGAGGCAAGUGUGGCGCGCAGCCGACUCAGGCAUUGUGCGUUGGACGCGAUGCGAGCGACCUCCAUCGGAUCGGACCUAUUCGGGGGAAGCAGCGAUGAUCGGUUCAGCAGAGAGAAAAGAGACAGAAAAAACAGUUGAUGUGACAUAACGCUUGCAAUGUCUUAAACACUGUAAAUCAUGGCAAAACUUUUGCUAAAUAGGAUAAAAGAGAUAAAAUCUCGCUAAAUAGGGUAUUAGUGUCAAAAAUAUUAAAAUAGAGGGUAAAAACCGGAAUUCACUCUUAAAUGAAAAAGAGUUAGUAAGAGGCCCAUAGGGCAGCACAUAGUUUAGCUAAAUAUGUUGAUGAUCCUUCCAUUUGGUGUUGUCAUUGCUAAUGGUGACUAUUGUAACCAAUUAAUAUAAACCACUAGGGUGGCUUCACAAAAGCGGAGUGUUACAUUAGCCAGCGAACUCUUAUUAAAACACUAAUCUCGCUAACGUCGGUGGUCUCAAACGGACGCGGAGAGGCCCUCAUCGCUAGUGGUCGUGAGGAUGCUCUGUGCAUUGCGCACGAAGCAACUGUUGCGACGGAUCUCGCCGACGUUUCCUUGGGGCCCCUGGAGGUUCCCGAGCUUGGUCAUGGAGGCAGCAAACUGGCCGAAGAACCACCAGUGGUUCCCGGCGAAGCCGUUGACCACCCAUUCGGUGCGCCAGUCGGCGGUGAGCUUCUGGUCGGAGGUGAACACCCCCUUGCCCUCUUGCAGGUUGGUGAAGUACUUGUUGUCGAACACGUCCGGGGUGGUCACGUCCAGGUCCUGCAGCCGGUUAAAGUCGGUGGAGCAGUUGGAGGCGAGGCUUCGGACGAAGCCUGAGUCCUCGGAGAAGCGGUUGGAGAAGGAGCUGCAGUGGCCCUUGCCGAUGGUGUGGCCGCCCGAGAGCGCGACCAGGUCCACGUUGUCGAGGUUGCGGGUCUGGAAGACGUCGAUGAGGGUGGCGGCGUUGGAGCUGGCCUGGGGGAGGUUGAAGACGGCCGAGCUCGGGGCCGGCGCGAGGCUGUCGAGCCGGCCGAGCGGCACGUCGUAGCCCUGACCCCCGGAGAAGGCGACGGCGUCACGGGUAGCGAGGGCCGUGAUGUCGGCGCAGGAGACGACGGGACCGCAGGCUGCGUGCACCAUGGCGCGGAUGGACUCGAUGAGCUGCAGCGCCCGUGGCUGCAGCGUCAGGUUCGGUGCCAGUUGCAGCUCGCUGCCAUCUCCCGUUAGAAGGACCGACGCAUCACAACCCUGUACAACCACGAAUGAAAGAGAUGAUGCUCUCUGGACAUUGACAUGAUCUCAAGUAUAUAUUUUGACCAUUAGUCUACUCAUAUGAGCAAGUUUUACAAUUAUAUGUUACAAGUUAAAACAAAUAUGAAAUUUUUCGUGAUGAUCUUUAUGAUACCAUUAUCAUCUUUAAGAAACUAUGUUAGAUCACACUUUAGUUUAAAUGUUUAAUACGAGAGCUAUUCCCAGAACACAAAAUGAGAUCUAGCUAGCUGGAAUGAAUUACCUGAGGGAAGCAGUCGUGGAAGAAGAUGCGGAGGAGGCCGGCGGCGAGGGCGAUCUCGCUCUGGAGCGCGGUCUGCACGGCGGAGCGCACCACGUCCUGUAGCUGCGGGCAGGAGUCGGCGUGGAAGUCGAAGGCGAGCCCUUCGGCGGGGGAGACCGGAGGAAUACUGCCACCGACGUGGUCGGUGGGCAUAGAGAUGAACGCCGAUGACGUCUUGGAGAAGGCUGCCGGGCACAGCACGGCGGCCACGAGGACCAGCAUCGCUGCUGUCCUGCUCGACGCCAUUGAUCCUAGCUAGCUACCUUGAGCACCUCAGUGCCUUCAGUCUGCUAGUGCUACUUUGCUGCUAGCUGCCUGCAAGUGAGCGUGGCUUCCUCACGUCAAUGAGAUGCCCUUAUUUAUACACGAACUAGAUGCGAUCGAUCUAUCGAACGUUUGCCAUCAAAGUCGUCAGAGAAAUUAAGAGGGAGCUAGCAGAGAUCCAAGACGAGAUCGAGUAGGUGGCAAGCUAUACCAGGAUCCAAGUGCACAUGCUUGAUCACGUCCGUGGUGAUGCAGAUUGCUGAGGUCGUGUGCGUACUUGUGCCGACCAAGCUCCCGGAUUCCGUGGUUCCGCUCGUGGCAUGUCAACGAACAGUACGCCCAGAUCGGUAGUUAUAUGCAGAGAUCUAAAAUUCAGGCAAUUACUUCGGAGUAUAAGCUAUGCAAAAAUGGUACAAUUACGGGCUACCUACGCAAUCAACUUGCAUGCCCUCCCACUAACCAAUCACUCCUCCAAGCUAUGACAUGUAGAAGCAUUGCAUAUGGUAGAUAUCAGAAGGACUGGACGCGCUUUGCUGCGCGUUAGAUUAGAAAAACCUAAUCAUUUGAUUUUAAAAUACAAUGUGUAUUACUUUUUAAAAAUGUCAAUUUUUUUUAAAUUUAUUAAAUUUAUUGAUAAUUAUAUAAAAAUCCAUAAUAUCAAAUUAUUAUUAGAUUCAUCAUUAAAUGAAUUAUCAUGUUUUUUAUUUAAUAUUGUGAAUGUCCAUAUAUUUGCUCUCAACUUGGUCAAAGUUGAAGAAUUCGACUUUCCAAAAAACUAAUGCCCCUUAUAUUUUGAAACUAAUAGAAAAUUUCUUUUGAUCUACGGGGGAGAUGACAUAGUGUGUUUUACUUUCAUUUAUAAUUCGAUAAUUUAAUGGACAUAAUAAUUUGAUUUGAAAAACUGUUAGUUUGAUUAGAAAGCAUAAUGUAUUUGUCUAAAGAAUUGUAGAGAGAGUUUUGAGAAAUUGUUGGCCCGGUCAAAAUUGGAUGAUCCAAUUUUAAUUGUUGUCUUUGAAGACCUCAACUGAGUGACUCUUUAAAACUAAGUAUGGUAUUAUAGAGGUAUAAAUAAAAUAAUUAAAUAAAAAAUCUUUGGGAAAUUGUUGACCAGAUCAAAAUUGGGUGCCACAAUGUCAAUUGGAGGCCUCAAUUGAAUGUGGGCUCUCCAAUUCUAGGGAGAUUAAUUAGUGUUAUAGAAUAUUACUACUGGUAAGUUGUGUUCCAAGCAAAUGUGAAAAAACAUCUUAUGUUAUGAUGAACAAUUUGAUGAUCCAUGAAGCGUAAGUGAAUUACGAAUAAAUAUGAUGUGUGGAGGGGGAGAGAAACUAAAAUGUUAAUUAUGAAUAAGUAACAAAUGGGAUUGCCAUUUUGGCACGAGGAAUUGGAUGGUGGUCCGUGUGUUGAUUGGGAGCGGGCAAAUGGAGCUUAACCCAACAGAGUGUAACACACCGAACCAGCGUCCAGAUGCAAAAAUGCUACACCUACGUAAUCUAUUACUUAAGCUUACGUUUCUUUCCUUCUCAACUAAUCAUCUCCCCCCUGAUUUUCAUUGGAUGGGUUUGGGCCUUUUUCCUCUUCCAACCAGAUUAAGCCAAAUCAGCUCUUACGUAACUUCCUUAAGUAGUUUUACGUAGGUGUAGCAAAGCUCCUCCAGAUGCCACACCUCAAACGUGCCCCACCCACCCGCUCCGAGAGUUUCGCGGCCAGGGGAAAGAGUAGUCGUCCCGCGAAACUCACCAAUUAGCUCAUAUAAUCUGCUCAUCAAUUAUUGAGAAUUAACACUACAACUAUACAAUGGUAUUAUCCGAUUGACAUUGGUUGGCAUAAUGAUGUAAAACAUGUCAUUUUGUGACCUACUCGGGAUAAUUGAUUCAUUCAUCUCAUAUGUGUAUGAUGCAAUAGUCAAGACGAGUGAAUUGUACGUGUAUUUUUGGCAGAAAAAAAGGGGUCUAUGUAUAAUUGCCAAAUAUAUGUGAAUCAUCUUAUCAUGCAUGGCAAGAAAGCAAUUCUCCACAUAAUAAACAUUCAGCACCACACGCACUUACCUCGUUAGACUAUAACGUCCCCCGUUCGGACCUAGCUAUGGAAGAGGAUUAUUCAUCUGUGGUUCCUGCACUCAUGGAUACGUAUACUAAAUAUAAAGGUAGUAAAACAUGUUUCUGCAGUUCAGUACAAGUAAAUUAGGAGUGGAAUAAAAAAAACUACAGUAGCUCACAUCUGCUUAAUAACAAAAACAAUGGCAGAUACCAUACAUAUGGUUAAUGAGGCUACAAGUGCAACGGCCGUAGAUAACAAGGGGGAUACCAUACAUAUGUUUGGCGCAAACCACCGCUCUUGGUGAGGAAGUGGCAUCACCGAGGUGAUAUUCGACAAGACAUCUAUAACGUGUAGGUGUAGGUGUAGGAUCCCUGCGUACAAUGGUGUCACCCGUGAUGGUAGGAACGGCCUUAAAACCAAUACUCAGGCUCCUUUUGAUGAGGCUCUGACCGAUUGUAAUGUCAAUCAAGAGAGCAUUGCCCCCAAUACUUUUUAACGGGACGGCUCUUCCGAGGAUAAGAUCUGCUACGUUGUACACUAUCAUGUGGCUCGAGUAAUCGGUGCUGGUACCGACGAGCAAGAUCUGCGAGUCACAUUCUAUUAGUUCAAAAGGGCUGCAGAUCUUUGCCUUGGGACAUAAUAUGGUGAUCACCUUGGGUGGGUGAAACGAAAACGACGACGAAGACCAAGUGAAUCCUGACUUCUUCUCGUGGAGAGGCGGGUCGAUCUGGAAAAUCCAUAGUUCAUCAUCUUUGCUUGAGCCGGGCUUUUGCUGCAGCAUGUAAAAUUUUCCUCGGCAUGAUAUGAUUCUGUUAUCCGGCGAGAAGCUCCAGGCCGAGAAACUCCAUUGCUCAUCCUUGGUGGUAGCAAACAUCACGCGUGACAGACUUAGAUGAACGAUCAUGAGCAUCGGAACCCCUUGAGCGCCGACGCUCAAGGACGCGGCCACCCUGCCUGGCCAAAUAUAAGGACGCUCCAUGCGUGAACUACAGUGGGUUAGUCCCAAGCUCAUUGUGACAUAGGUGAUUGGCGGGAACUUGGCAACGCUCCCCGUGAAGGGGUGAAGUAGGCAAACCUCAUCGUCAUUUUCAUUAUCGUGUUGCCGGCGCCGCUGCAGGAGGAGGAGGCCUUCAACCGGGCAGAGGACCCAAUGUUCGUCGAGAAGAGGGACCCGAGGGCGGAGGAACACUCCGGUGUCGAGGUUGAGGAAACGCUGCCGGCCGUCUUCAAGGUGGAGGCCGUGGCCCUCGGGCAGCAUCAUCCACCGGCGCGGGUGGAAGCGCGGGUCGGCGAUGCCCUUCGCGCGCGGGCAGGGCGUGCUGGACCGAACGUGCGUGCACACGGCGCGGAAGCGGACGUAGCCGAGCAGGUCGUCGCCGGCGAGCACCAGCCAGCCGACGACCUCGACCAAGUCAGCGGGCAACGACGCCAGCGGAGACGCGUUGUCGGCAUCGGUCGGCGGAGGGCGGCAGCAGUUCGCCGGCGAUGACAUCGACGGAUCGGAUCGUCGUUCGGGAUCUUUUUGCCUGCCCUAGCCGCCAGCGGAAGCGAAACGACGACGAAUGAUUCGGGAUGGCCGCUGAGAUGAUGGAGGCUAGUGUUUGUUUGUGCAUGGGCUACCGUAGCUCGUCGGGCUAGCAUACGGCCCAUGUACCCAUUUAUCUCUCUGACGUCGUUGCGUGUAUGAUGGUGGAUACUCCUUUUGUCCCAAAAUAUUUAUCAUAAAAAUGUAUGUAUCUAAAUUAUUUUAGUUAUAUAUAUAUUUAUUUAUUUAUUUUUAUACAUUUAUGUAACAAGUAAUUUCCGACAAAGGGUGUAAUUAUUUUCGCAUUUUUGUACCAGAACUUCUGGCCACCACCGUGUCUCGAUCUCAUAUGCACCCGGAUGAACCAUAAAAUCAGAAAAAAUAGUUAAACAAUUCAAAUAAUUCUGAACUAAUGAUGAAUGUCUCACAUUCAUGCGAAAAUUCGAGAUGAAAUGACAUUCUUUGAAAUCUGGACAGAAACAAUAAAAUCGACGCUUCCAAAAGACCAAUUUUAAAAGCAGUUUGGAACAUGGACCUUUUUUUUUCCAGGCCUCAACUAAUGUCAUUUCAUCACCAAAUUUUACAAGCAACUAAAACAUUCAUCAAUGUUUAUCACAUGGAAAAAUAAAAUUGUUUUUGGAUUUAUCUGCUACUUUUUCAGAUUUUACUAUAUAUUCAACCGGAUGCAUGUGUGCUCAGGAUUAAAAAAGCACUUUCGCCGCCACCAUGGUUUUAUUGAAGAUAACCAUAGGUAGAGUGUGAAUUACCCGUGCGUACCCUCUGCCAAAUGAGGCCACAUGUUCACCAUGUGACUGCUGAAAAUGUGCCAUAGAGGCAAUAAUAAAGUAGUUAUUAUUAUAUUUCCUAGAUAAUGAUAAUUGUCUAUUAUUCAUGCUAUAAUUGUAUUAACCGGAAACCGUAAUUCAUGUGAGAAUAUAUAGAUCACAAUGUGUCCCUAGUGAGCCUCUAGUUGGCUAGCUCGUUGAUCAAUAGAUGAUCAUGGUUUUGUGAUAAUGGACAUUGGAUGUCAUUGAUAACGUGAUCACAUCAUUUAUGAAUGAUGUGAUGGACAAGACCAAUCCUAAGCAUAGCACUAGAUCGUGUUGUUCGUGUGCUAAAGCUUUUCUAAUGUCAAGUAUCAUUUCCUUAGACCAUGAGAUUGUGCAACUCCCGGAUACUGUAGGAGUGCUUUGGGUGUAUCAAAAGUUACAACGUAACUGGAUGAUUAUAAAGGUGCACUACAGGUAUCUCCGAAAAUAUCUGUUGGGUUGUAUGAAUCGAGACUGGAAUUUGUCACUCCGUGUGAUGGAGAGGUAUCUCUAGGCCCACUCUGUAAUUCAUCAUCAUAUUGAGCUCAGUGUGACUAAGGACCCGUUCGGCAACGCUCCAGCUCCUUGCUUCGCAGCCGGAGCCAGCGGAGCUGUCCCAAACAGUCGCGCUCCGCGGAUCGACAAAGAUGGAGGCUCCAUCGAUUAGGCUGAUUUUGCAGAGCUAGCCUGGUCCCGCUCCACGAAGACGAAAAAUCAGGAGCGGCAUGAAAUUACAUGUGGAUGCCACUGAUAAGUAAUAACGAACAGGUACGACGCUGUUGAAUCUCUCUCGUGUCUUUUCUUCCCCGUUCGAGCUCCUCGCCAUGGCGCCCGAACCCUAGACCUCCACGUCGAUCGAAGUGUGUUGCUGUCCGAAUUAAGCUCUCCUCCGCCAAAACUAGACCACGAGACGAAUUUCAAUCCACCCCAGCAAACAUACACCUCUCCACGUGCUAGAUCUGUUUUGAUUUUUUUAGAGAAUUUGGAUCCAUCUUCCUGCUAUUAGCAGGCUGGAUCCACAAGAAAUGGGCCGACAACCCAACUACACAUGAAACAGGGGCACAGAUCGCUACCGAACGGUUCCACGCUCAAGCUAGCGAUCAGGGGAGCGGCUCCUCACUCGCCUGGAGCGGAGCGACCGGAUUAGGAGGAGCGGAGGGCUACUGAACGGGCCCUAAGGAGUUAGCCACGGGAUGAUGUGUUACGGAACGAGUAAAGAGACUUGCCGGUAACGAGAUUGAACAAGGUAUAGGGAUACCGACGAUCGAAUCUCGGACAAGUAUCAUACCGGUAGACAAAGGGAAUUGCAUACAGGAUUGAUUGAAUCCCCAACAUCGUGGUUCAUCUGAUGAAAUCAUCGAGGAACAUGUGGUAACCAACAUGGAUAUCCAAACUCCGAUGUUGAUUAUUGACCGGAGAGGUGUCUCGGUCAUGUCUGCAUGCUUCCCGAACCCGUCGGGUCUACACACUUAAGGUUCGAUGACGCUAGGGUUAUAGGGAAAUAGUGUACGUGGUUACCGAAGGUUGUUCGGAGUCCCGGAUGAGAUCCUGGACGUAACGAGAAGUUCCGGAAUGGUCCACAGGUAAAUAUUCAUAUAUAGGAAGUGAGGAUUUGGUCACCGGAAUUGUUUCGGGUGACACCGGUAAUGUACCGGGACCACCGGAAGGGUUCCUGGGGUCCACCGGCAAGGGCCACCAGCCCCAAGUUGCUACAUGAGUUAAGAGUGGGUGGGAACCAGCCCAUAUGUGGGCUGGUGCGCCUCCACAACUAGCCCAAGGCGCACAAGGGGUGGAGAGAGGGGAAACCCUAGGCGUGGGAGGCCACCUUGGGCCUCAAAUGUUGGAAAUAUGCCCUAGAGGCAAUAAUAAAUUAGUUAUUAUUAUAUUUCUUAGUUCAUGAUAAUCUUUUAUUAUCCAUGCUAUAAUUGUAUUGAUUGGAAACACAAUACUUGUGUGGAUACAUAGACAAAACACUGUCCCUAGUAAGCCUCUAGUUGACUAGCUCGUUGAUCAAAGAUGGUCAAGGUUUCCUGGCCAUAGGCAAGUGUUGUCACUUGAUAACGGGAUCACAUCCUUAGGGGAAUCAUGUGAUGGACUAGACCCAAACUAAUAGACGUAGCAUGUUGAUCGUGUCAUUUUGUUGCUACUGUUUUCUGCGUGUCAAGUAUUUGUUCCUAUGACCAUGAGAUCAUAUAACUUACUAACACCGGAGGAAUACUUUGUGUGUAUCAAACGUCGCAACGUAACUGGGUGACUGUAAAGAUGCUCUACAGGUAUCUCCGAAGGUGUUCGUUAAGUUAGUAUGAAUCGAGACUGGGAUUUGUCACUCCGUGUGACGGAGAGGUAUCUCGGGGCCCACUCGGUAAUACAGCAUCACACACAAGCCUUGCAAGCAAUGUAACUUAGUGUAAGUUGCGGGAUCUUGUAUUACGGAACGAGUAAAGAGACUUGCCGGUAAACGAGAUUGAAAUAGGUAUGCGGAUACUGACGGUCGAAUCUCGGGCAACUAACAUACCGAAGGACAAAGGGAAUGACAUACGGGAUUAUACGAAUCCUUGGCACUGAGGUUCAAACGAUAAGAUCUUCGUAGAAUAUGUAGGAUCCAAUAUGGGCAUCCAGGUCCCGCUAUUGGAUAUUGACCGAGGAGUCUCUCGGGUCAUGUCUACAUAGUUCUCGAACCCGCAGGGUCUGCACACUUAAGGUUCGACGUUGUUUUAUGCGUAUUUGAGUUAUAUGGUUGGUUACCGAAUGUUGUUCGGAGUCCCGGAUGAGAUCACGGACGUCACGAGGGUCUCUGGAAUGGUCCGGAAACGAAGAUUGAUAUAUAGGAUGACCUCAUUUGAUUACCGGAAGGUUUUCGGAGUUACCGGGGAUGUACCGGGAAUGACGAAUGGGUUCCGGGAGUUCACCGGGGGGGGCAACCCACCCCGGGGAAGCCCAUAGGCCUUGGGGGAGACACACCAGCCCUUAGUGGGCUGGUGGGACAGCCCACAAGUGCCCUAUGCGCCAAGGAGAAGAAAAUCAAGAGAGAAAGAAAAAAAAAAGGAGGAGGUGGGAAGGGAGGGGGACUCCCUCCCACCAAACCUAGUCCAACUCGGUUUGGGGGGGGGAGAGUCCUCCCCCUUGGACUCAGCCGACCCCCUUGGGGCUCAAGAGCCCCAAGGCAAGGCCCCCUCCCUCCCACCUAUAUAUACGGAGGUUUUAGGGCUGAUUUGAGACGACUUUUCCACGGCAGCCCGACCACAUACCUCCACGGUUUUUCCUCUAGAUCGCGUUUCUGCGGAGCUCGGGCGGAGCCCUGCUGAGACAAGGUCAUCACCAACCUCCGAAGCGCCGUCACGCUGCCGGAGAACUCUUCUACCUCUCCGUCUCUCUUGCUGGAUCAAGAAGGCCGAGAUCAUCGUCGAGCUGUACGUGUGCUGAACGCGGAGGUGCCGUCCGUUCGGUACUAGAUCGUGUCACUCAUCGCGGGAUUGUUCACGGGGCGGAUCGAGGGACGUGAGGACGUUCCACUACAUCAACCGCGUUCACUAACGCUUCUGCUGUACGAUCUACAAGGGUACGUAGAUCACUCAUCCCAUCUCGUAGAUGGACAUCACCAUGAUAGGUCUUCGUGCCGUAGGAAAAUUUUUGUUUCCCAUGCGACGUUCCCCAACAGUGGCAUCAUGAGCUAGGUUCAUGCGUAGAUGUCUUCUCGAGUAGAACACAAAAGUUUUUUAUGGGCGGUGAUGUGCGUUUUGCUGCCCUCCUUAGUCUUUUCUUGAUUCCGCGGUAUUGUUGGAUUGAAGCGGCUUGGACCGACAUUACUCGUACGCUUACGAGAGACUGGUUUCAUCGUUACGAGUACCCCCCUUUGCUCAAAGAUGACUGGCAAGUGUCGGUUUCUCCAACUUUAGUUGAAUCGGAUUUGACCGAGGAGGUCCUUGGAUGAGGUUAAAUAGCAACUCAUAUAUCUCCGUUGUGGUGUUUGCGUAAGUAAGAUGCGAUCCUACUAGAUACCCUUGGUCACCACGUAAAACAUGCAACAACAAAAUUAGAGGACGUCUAACUUGUUUUUGCAGGGUAUGAUUGUGAUGUGAUAUGGCCAACGAUGUGAUGUGAUAUAGUGGAUGUAUGAGAUGAUCAUGUUGUAAUAGAAAUAUCGACUUGCACGUCGAUGGUACGGCAACCGGCAGGAGCCAUAGGGUUGUCUUUAUACUAACGUUUGUGCUUGCAGAUGCGUUUACUAUUUUGCUAGGAUGUAGCUUUAGUAGUAAUAGCAUAAGUAGCACGACAACCCCGAUGGCAACACGUUGAUGGAUGAUCAUGGUGUGGCGCCAGUGACAAGAAGAUCGUGCCGGUGCUUUGGUGAUGGAGAUCAAGAAGCACGUGAUGAUGGCCAUAUCAUGUCACUUAUGAAUUGCAUGUGAUGUUAAUCCUUUUAUGCACCUUAUUUUGCUUAGAACGGCGGUAGCAUUAUGAGGUGAUCUCUCACUAAAAUUUCAAGACGAAAUUGUGUUCUCCCCGACUAUGCACCGUUGCUACAGUUCGUCGUUUCGAGACACCACGUGAUGAUCGGGUGUGAUAGACUCAACGUUCACAUACAACGGGUGCAAAACAGUUGCGCACGCGGAACACUCGGGUUAAGCUUGACGAGCCUAGCAUGUGCAGACAUGGCCUCGGAACACAUGAGACCGAAAGGUCGAUCAUGAAUCAUAUAGUUGAUAUGAUUAGCAUAGGGAUGCUUACCACUGAAACUAUACUCAACUCACGUGAUGAUCGGACUUGGGAUAGUGUAAGUGGAUCAUGAACCACUCAAAUGACUAGAGAGAUGUACUUUUUGAGUGGGAGUUUAGCAUAUAAUUUGAUUAAGUUGAACUCUAAUUAUCUUGAACAUAGUCUAAGUCCACUUUGAAUAUAUUUGUGUUGUAGAUCAUGGCUCACGCGACAGUCAUCCUGAAUUUUAAUACGUUCCUAGAGAAAGCUAAGUUGAAAGAUGGUGGAAGCAACUUUGUAGACUGGGCUCAUAAUCUUAAGCUAAUCUUACAAGCUGGGAAGAAGGAUUAUGUCCUUAAUGCUGCGCUAGGAGAUGAACCACCCGCUACGGCUGAUCAGGAUGUUAAGAACGCUUGGUUAGCACGUAAGGAGGACUACUCAAUAGUUCAAUGUGCAGUCUUGUAUGGCUUAGAACCGGGACUUCAACGUCACUUUGAGCGUCAUGGAGCAUUUGAGAUGUUCCAGGAGUUGGAGUUUAUCUUUCAGAAGAACGCCCGGAUCGAGAGGUAUGAGACCUCCGAUAAAUUCUAUGCUUGCAAGAUGGAGGAAAACUUGUCUGUCACUGAACAUGUGCUCAAAAUGUCUGGGUACUCAAACCGUCUAGCUGAACUGGGGAUUGAACUCCCGCAAGAAGCUAUCACUGACAGAAUCCUUCAAUCACUGCCGCCAAGCUACAAAGGCUUUGUGUUGAACUACAACAUGCAAGGGAUGAACAAGUCUCCCGGCGAGUUGUUUGCGAUGUUGAAAGUCGCAGAGUCUGAACUCCAUAAAGAGCAUCAAGUGUUGAUGGUGAAUAAGACCACUAGUUUCAAGAGAAACGGCAAAGGCAAGAAGGGCAAUUCGAAGAAGAGCGGCAAGCCUGUUGCCAAUCCGCCGAAGAAACCCAAAGCUGGACCUAAGCCUGAAACGGAGUGUUUCUAUUGCAAGGGUAUGGGUCACUGGAAGCGCAAUUGCCCCAAGUAUCUGGCAGAUAAGAAGGCGGGCAAAGAAAAAUUAGGUAUAUUUGAUAUACAUGUUAUUGAUGUGUACUUAACCGGCUCUCGUAGUAGUACCUCGGUAUUCGAUACCGGUUCUGUUGCUCAUAUUUGCAACUCGAAGCAGGAACUGCGGAAUAGACGAAGGCUGGCGAAAGACGAAGUGACGAUGCGCGUAGGAAAUGGUUCGAAGGUUGAUGCAAUCGCCGUCGGCACGGUGUCACUUCAGCUACCAUCGGGAUUAGUGAUGAACUUAAAUCAUUGUUAUUUAGUGCCUGCGUUGAGCAUGAACAUUAUAUCUGGAUCUUGUUUAUUGCGAGACGGUUACUCUUUUAAGUCUGAGAAUAAUGGUUGUUCUAUUUCUAUGAGUAACAUCUUUUAUGGUCAUGCACCGAAUGUGAGAGGAUUGUUCAUAUUGAAUCUUGAUAGCAAUACACAUAUACAUAACAUUGAGACCAAAAGAGUUAGAGUAAACAAUGAUAGCGCCAUAUUUUUUUGGCACUACCGCUUGGGUCAUAUUGGUGUAAAGCGCAUGAAGAAACUCCAUGCUGAUGGACUUUUGGAGUCACUUGACUUUGAUUCACUUGACACGUGCGAACCAUGCCUCAUGGGCAAGAUGACUAAGACUCCGUUCUCCGGAACAAUGGAGCGUGCAAGUGACUUAUUGGAAAUCAUACAUACCGAUAUGUGUGGUCCAAUGAGCGUGGAGGCACGCGGCGGAUAUCGUUAUUUUCUCACCUUCACUGACGAUUUAAGUAGAUAUGGUUAUGUCUACUUGAUGAAGCACAAGUCUGAAACAUUUGAAAAGUUCAAGCAAUUUCAGAGUGAAGUGGAAAAUCAUCGUAACAAGAAGAUCAAGUUCCUACGUUCUGAUCGUGGGGGUGAAUAUCUGAGUUUCGAGUUUGGUGCUCACUUAAGACAAUGUGGAAUUGUUUCACAGUUAACACCGCCUCGAACACCAUAGCGUAAUGGUGUGUCCGAACGUCGUAAUCGUACUUUGUUAGAGAUGGUGCGAUCUAUGAUGUCUCUUACUGAUUUGCCCUUAUCAUUUUGGGGUUAUGCAUUAGAAACAGCUGCAUUCACUUUAAAUAGGGCACCAGCAAAAUCCGUUGAGACGACACCAUACGAACUAUGGUAUGGCAAGAGGCCAAAGUUGUCGUUUCUUAAAGUUUGGGGAUGUGAUGCUUAUGUCAAAAAGCUUCAGCUUGAAAAGCUGGAACCCAAAGCGGAAAAAUGCGUCUUCAUAGGUUACCCAAAAGAGACAGUUGGGUACACCUUCUAUCUCAAAUCCGAGGGCAAAGUGUUUGUUGCUAAGAACGGAGCUUUUCUCGAGAAGGAGUUUCUCUCGAGAGAAUUGAGUGGGAGGAAGAUAAGACUUGACGAGGUUGUCGAACCUCUCAUCCCUCUGGAUGGUGGCGCAGGGCAAGGGGAAACCUCUGUCGUUGCGACGCCGGUUGAGGAGGAAGUUAAUGAUGAUGAUCAUGAAACUCCAGUUCAAGUUUCUGUUGAACCACGCAGGUCGACGAGAUCACGUGCUACUCCAGAGUGGUACGGUAAUCCCGUCUUAUCAAUCAUGUUGUUAGACAACAAUGAACCUGCAAGUUAUGAAGAAGCAAUGGUGGGCCCAGAUUCCAACAAAUGGCUAGAAGCCAUGAAAUACGAGAUAGGAUCCAUGUAUGAGAACAAAGUGUGGACUUUGGAGAUACUACCUGAGGGCCGCAAGGCUAUUCAGAACAAAUGGAUCUUUAAAAAGAAGACGGACACUGACGGUAAUGUGACCGUUUAUAAAGCUUGACUUGUGGCAAAGGGUUUUUCACAAGUUCCAGGAAUUGGCUACGAUGAGACUUUCUCACCCGUGGCGAUGCUUAAGUCCGUCAGAAUCAUGUUAGCAAUAGCUGCAUUUUUCGAUUAUGAAAUCUGGCAGAUGGAUGUCAAAACGGCGUUCCUUAACGGUUUCCUUAAGGAAGAGUUGUAUAUGAUGCAACCCGAAGGUUUUGUCGAUCCUAAGAAUGCUAACAAGGUGUGCAAGCUCCAGCGAUCCAUUUAUGGACUGGUGCAAGCAUCUCGGAGUUGGAACAAACGCUUUGAUGAGGUGAUCAAGGCAUUUGGGUUUAUACAAGUGGUUGGAGAAUCUUGUAUUUACAAGAAAGUGAGUGGGAGCUCUGUGGCGUUUCUAAUAUUAUAUGUGGAUGACAUAUUACUGAUUGGAAACAACGUAGAGCUUUUGGAGAGCAUAAAAGGUUACUUGAAUAAAAGUUUCUCUAUGAAGGACCUAGGAGAAGCUGCUUACAUUCUAGGCAUUAAGAUCUAUAGGGAUAGAUCAAAACGCCUGACAGGACUUUCACAAAGCACAUACCUUGAUAAAGUUUUGAAGAGGUUCAAAAUGGAACAGUCCAAGAAAGGGUUCUUGACAGUUUUACAAGGUACGAGAUUGAGUAAGACUCAGUGCCCAGCAACUGAUGAAGAUAGAGAGCAUAUGCGCUCCAUCCCCUAUGCUUCGGCCAUAGGUUCUAUCAUGUAUGCGAUGUUGUGCACUAGACCGGAUGUUAGCCUGGCCAUAAGUAUGGCAGGUAGGUUCCAGAGUAAUCCAGGAGUGGAUCACUGGACAGCUGUCAAGAAUAUCCUGAAGUACCUGAAAAGGACUAAGGAGAUGUUUCUCGUAUAUGGAGGUGACGAAGAGCUCGCCGUAAAAGGUUACGUCGAUGCAAGCUUUGACACAGAUCCGGACGACUCUAAGUCGCAAACCGGAUACGUAUUUAUUCUUAAUGGGGGUGCAGUAAGCUGGUACAGUUCCAAGCAAAGCGUCGUAGCAGAUUCUACAUGUGAAGCGGAGUACAUGGCUGUCUCGGAGGCAGCUAAGGAGGGUGUCUGGAUGAAGCAGUUCAUGACGGAUCUUGGAGUGGUGCCAAGUGCACUGGAUCCAAUAACCUUGUUCUGUGACAACACGGGUGCCAUUGCCUUAGCAAAGGAACCACGGUUUCACAAGAACACCAGACACAUCAAACGACGCUUCAACCUCAUCCGCGACUACGUCGAGGAAGAGGACGUAAAUAUAUGCACAGUGCACACGGAUCUGAAUGUAGCAGACCCGCUGACUGAACCUCUUCCACGGCCAAAACAUGAUCGACACCAGAACUGUAUGGGUGUUAGAUUCAUUACAAUGUAAUUCACAUGAUAAUGUGAGGGCUAGAUUAUUGACUCUAGUGCAAGUGGGAGACUGUUGGAAUUAUGCCCUAGAGGCAAUAAUAAAUAUAGUUAUUAUUAUAAUUCUUGUAUCAAGAUAAUAGUUUAUUAUCCAUGCUAUAAUUGUAUUGAAUGAAGACUCAUAUACAUGUGUGGAUACAUAGACAAAACACCAUCCCUAGCAUGCCUCUAGUUGGCUAGCCAGUUGAUCGAUGAUAAUCAGUGUCUUCUGAUUAUGAACAAGGUGUUGUUGCUUGAUAACUCGCUCACGUCAUUGGGAGAAUCACGUGAUGGACUAGACCCAAACUAAUAGACGUAGCAUGUUGAUCGUGUCAUUUUGUUGCUACUGUUUUCUGCGUGUCAAGUAUUUAUUUCUAUGACCAUGAGAUCAUAUAACUCACUGACAUCGGAGGAAUGCCUUGUGUGUAUCAAACGUCGCAACGUAACUGGGUGACUAUAAAGAUGCUCUACAGGUAUCUCCGAAGGUGUUGGUUGAGAUAGUAUGGAUCAAGACUGGGAUUUGUCACUCCGUGUGACGGAGAGGUAUCUCGGGGCCCACUCGGUAAUACAACAUCACACACAAGCCUUGCAAGCAAUGUAACUUAGUGUAAGUUGCGGGAUCUUGUAUUACGGAACGAGUAAAGAGACUUGCCGGUAAACGAGAUUGAAAUAGGUAUGCGGAUACUGACGAUCGAAUCUCGGGCAACUAACAUACCGAAGGACAAAGGGAAUGACAUACGGGAUUAUACGAAUCCUUGGCACUGAGGUUCAAACGAUAAGAUCUUCGUAGAAUAUGUAGGAUACAAUAUGGGCAUCCAGGUCCCGCUAUUGGAUAUUGACCGAGGAGUCUCUCGGGUCAUGUCUACAUAGUUCUCGAACCCGCAGGGUCUGCACACUUAAGGUUCGACGUUGUUUUAUGCGUAUUUGAGUUAUAUGGUUGGUUACCGAAUGUUGUUCGGAGUCCCGGAUGAGAUCACGGACGUCACGAGGGUUUCUGGAAUGGUCCGGAAACGAAGAUUGAUAUAUAGGAUGACCUCAUUUGAUUACCGGAAGGUUUUCGGAGUUACCGGGAAUGUACCGGGAAUGACGAAUGGGUUCCGGGAGUUCACCGGGGGGGGGGGGCAACCCGACCCCGGGGAAGCCCAUAGGCUUUGGGGAGACACACCAGCCCUUAGUGGGCUGGUGGGACAGCCCACAAGUGCCCUAUGCGCCAAGGAGAAGAAAAUCAAGAGAGAAAGAAAAAAAAAAGGAGGAGGUGGGAAGGGAGGGGGACUCCCUCCCACCAAACCUAGUCCAACUCGGUUUGGGGGGGGGAGAGUCCUCCCCUUUGGACUCGGCCGACCCCGUUGGGGCUCCUUGAGCCCCAAGGCAAGGCCCCCUCCCUCCCACCUAUAUAUACGGAGGUUUUAGGGCUGAUUUGAGAUGACUUUUCCACGGCAGCCCGACCACAUACCUCCACGGUUUUUCCUCUAGAUCGCGUUUCUGCGGAGCUCGGGCGGAGUCCUGCUGAGACAAGGUCAUCACCAACCUCCGAAGCGCCGUCACGCUGCCGGAGAACUCUUCUACCUCUCCGUCUCUCUUGCUGGAUCAAGAAGGCCGAGAUCAUCGUCGAGCUGUACGUGUGUUGGACGCGGAGGUGCCGUCCGUUCGGUACUAGAUCGUGGGACUGAUCGCGGGAUUGUUCACGGGGCGGAUCGAGGGACAUGAGGACGUUCCACUACAUCAACCGCGUUCACUAACGCUUCUGCUGUACGAUCUUCAAGGGUACGUAGAUCACUCAUCCCAUCUCGUAGAUGGACAUCACCAUGAUAGGUCUUCGUGCGCGUAGGAAAAUUUUUGUUUCCCAUGCGACGUUCCCCAACAGCUCUUUCUUAUCCCACUUUGGGAUGGCAGUCUCAUAGCCCCCUGGCCCCAGUGUGUGGUGAUAUUUCUUCUUGUCGGCAUUUUUCUUAUUCUUUUCUGAUAAUGCCUUGGCAUCUUCUGACUCCUUGUACUCUUGAAAUGCCUUCCAGUUAUUCGCCUGCUUGGCUAGAUACCCCUCGAAUACUGGCACUUUCUUUGUCUUCCGACAGUUUUUCCAUAGCUUCUUCUUCCAGCUACGGAACAGUUCGGCCAUCUUGUUUAGAGUCCACUGCUUGACUUUGUUCCUCAGUUUUUUUGCGGCGUCUUCAUUCUCACAUUCUGGCAGGUUGAAAUGUGACAUGAGAUCAUUCCAAAGAUUAUCUUUGUACCUUUCGGCGACAUAGUCACUAUCGGCUGCCCCUUUGCGCUUGUUCCACUCCCGUACGCUGAUCAGGACAUGAUCCCUAACGAGAACUCCGCAUUGCUUCUUGAAUGUGUCAGCAACAUUCUUAGCAAGCUUGGGUUCGCCCGUAGGAAAUAUCACCUCAAAGGUGUAAUGCGUCCGUGCAUCCAACUUUUUAGUCGGGCCUCGUUUCGUAGCUUUGCUCGAUGUGGAGGCCUAAGAGGGAGAAACAUUCGUCAAAUGAAUGUAUAUGUAUACGAUAUAGAGCUAUCUCCAAUAUUUUUCACAUAUUACAAGUGAUUGUCUAACUUCAUAUGUAUACCUCGCCGGACUUUAUUAUUUCUCCACCGGCUUCUCCGCCGGCUUCUCCAUCAGUGGAGCUAUCACCUUCUCCGUCAUUGGACCUAUCUCCUGCCCCAUAGGCUUCAUCUUUGUGUCGGUCGACCUCCAUUCCAUAUCCGGAGGGGUUUAGAUAUGACGACGGAGAUUCAGCUGGUUCAACGUCGGGGCCGUCUUUGAUUAUAUCUUCGAGAAGUUCUUCCUCUUUGAGGUUCCUGAUAUGUGGAUCCAUAGUUCUGCAAAAACAGACAUUUGAUUAACUAAUAAACUAGCAAACUAUAUAAGAGGGGUUGGAAACUUCGAAGUGUCGUUUUAUAUAGGAGGACCUUUAGUCUCGGGUCUUGGCUAGAACCUAAUCUCUAAAAUAUGUCUAACGGAUUCUCUUAACCUUUAAGGAUUUAACAAAAUGGCGACAUUCUAGAUGUGUAGAAAAUGAUCGUAUUUUUCCUCAUCUCAUCUAUCCUUCUAUAUGUCACAUUGUCUAGUGUCAAAGGACUUUGUUGCACUUUGUACCAAAAAAGAAUUAUUCUAUCAGGAACUCCGUUCCAAAACAACUUUAGUCCCGGGUCGUGGCUCCACCCGGGACUCCUAGAUUUCUGCAUAGUAUUCAAAGUAGGAGUACUUUUCCAAUUUCAGCAUUCAAUAAGCAAAACCAAAUCGUAAAAUAAAGUAGUAUUCAAAUUAGCAUGCAUUCAAUUAUAAGCAAAACUACAUCAUCUCUUGUGUCCGUACAUCGUCGAAUAUUAUCACUAAUACUCCUCGAAUACUAUCAUACAUAUAGCAUCACUAAUACAGCUAGAACCGUAGCGCCCGACGGGUAUCUUCGCGGGUGGUGGACACCCAAAGAGAAGCAACCAUCACAGGAUCAUGGCUCCAGUGAGAUCCCUGAAGAACCUGCCAGGUAUGGUCGAACCUGCCCUCCAACGCAACCAUGUAGCGACGGACGUGCUCAUCCUCCUCGCUGACACGGUGACGUACCACCUCCGCGGUGUCCGGAAGCCUCGGCACCGUCAUUGGCCCACGCGACCGCCACCAAAUAAGGAUCGGGUCAACAACGGGUUGGCUCCUCACCAACCUACGCCCCCGGAAGGUAGCACCUCCCAAUACCAGCCGGGCGGAGCCUAGUCCCGGACAUGGCCCCUCUGAUCAAGCAGGUGUCCUCCGCCGAGUCGACGACGAGGAUGCGGGAUAGGCAUCGUAAAAUAAACUAAAAAAUAAACUAGUUCUAUUAAUUUUCUUGUUAAAAAUAAACUAAUUGUAUAUAUAGUAAAAUAAAGUAGUUUUAUUAAAUCAACUAGUUCAACUAUAUAUUAAUUAACACUAACUACCUAACCCUAAUAACACAAAUUUAAAUAACACAAAAUAACACAAAUAACCUAUUUAACACUAACCUACCUAACCCUAAAUUCACCAAAUAUUCUACAAAUAACACUUAAGCAUAUACAAUAGCAAAAUUAAGCAAUAAUCUAAAAAACACUAAUUAAGCAUCUAUAUACGUAGAAAUGUCUUCUUCCUCUUCUUCUUCUUCUUCUUCUUUCUUAUUUUCUUCUCCGCUUCUUCUUCUCCUAUUUUUCUUCAACUUCUCUUCUUCUACUUCUCCUCUUCUUCUAUUUUUCCUCUUCUUCUCCUCUCCUCCUCUUCUUAUUCUCCUUUUUCUUCUUUUCUUCUCCUCCUCUUCUUAUUUUCCUUUUUCCUAAUCUUAUUUUUUUAUUUUUGUUCAUCUUUCUUCUUCUUGUAACCCUAACCUAAUUCUAAAUAUUACUAACCCUAAUAAUCUAGCACAAACCUAAUAACAAUAGGAAUAAAAUGACAAAAAAAAUCUUUUCUUCUUUUCUUCUCCUUUUUCUUCUUUUCUUCUCCUUUUUCUUCUUUUCUUCUCCUCCUCACCGGCACGACGGCGGCGGUGGCGUCCCCGCCGGCGGGCGCCGGCGGCUCGUCCUUNNNNNNNNNNNNNNNNNNNNNNNNNNNNNNNNNNNNNNNNNNNNNNNNNNNNNNNNNNNNNNNNNNNNNNNNNNNNNNNNNNNNNNNNNNNNNNNNNNNNGAGGCGACGGCGGGGCAGGGGAUAGGGGCGGGCCGGGGGAGGGCGACGGCCGGGCCGCUUCUGCUUCAGGCAGCAGGCGCAGGCCACCAGCAGGCCACCAGCAGCGCAGCCGCGCAGGCUACUUCUGAAUUCUGGUUCAGACAUGAGCAGUGGGCAUGAGAGUCUAGCAAAUCCAAAAAAAAGAGGAAGAGGUAAUCUUUUAUUUUUCUGAAAUUUGAGGUGGUUGGUACUUGGUAGUGGCAGCAGAUUGUAUUGAGAUAUUAAUGUUGUAAUUGCAGAUUUAAGAAAGUAUUUUCAAGUGCUUGGUGGUGGCAGCAACUCAAAAUCGAAUCCAAGCACUCGUGAAAGUGUCAAUAUUUCAGCACAUGACCAUCAUCAAAAUCAAGUUAUUUCCAUGGAAGUGGAACAAACUACAAAUUCCGUUGAAGCUAUAGUGGAAGAGAAUGUAGAAGUUCACGGGGUUGAAGGUAUAACUAUUUUUAGUGAAGAUUACAUAAAUGGUGAUCCAGGACUUCGCAUUCCACUUGAUUGUUUUGCCCCCAACAUUAGAGAUGAUGUUAGAUUUGCUUAUAUACGAAUGGGUGCAACUCAACCAACAAGUUGCAUUUCCCCCCCAAAUAGAGAUGGAAGAUGCUUCCGACCACAAUGGUAUAAAGACUUUGCUUGGUUGGAAUAUAGUGUAACAAAGCAUAAGGCUUAUUGCUUCUGUUGUUUUCUUUUCAAGCAUGACCGAAUGGAUGAUAAAUUUGGGCAUGAUGUCUUCUCCAAAUUUGGUUUUGACUGUUGGAAAAAUGCAGUUGCAGCAUUUCGUAAACAUGUUGGUGGGCCAUGUAGCAUCCACAAUAUUUCAAAGACAACAUGUGAUGAUUUUAAAAAUCAAGGGGCAAGUGUGAAAAGUAAAGUUACAAUUUACAGCCAAGAUUCACUAGUCAAGUAUGAAACUCGUGUCGAUACAUCUUUGGGCAUUGUAAGUUAUCUAGCAUUGCAAGGUGAACCAUUUCGUGGACAUGAUGAAUCCAGUUCUUCUUUGAACAAGGGGAAUUUUUUAGAGUUGCUUGAUUGGGUCAAAGAAAGAAUUCCAGAAGUGAAGGUUGCAUUUGAUGAGUUAUGUCCUAAAAAUGCCAAAAUGACUUCCGGGACAAUUCAAAAAGACCUUGUCAAACAUUGUGCAAAUGCAGUCAUCAAAGUAAUCAAAGAAGAGAUGGGUGAUUGCCUUUUCUCUGUUCUUAUUGAUGAGUGCCGUGAUAUAUCGGUGAAAGAACAAAUGGUCGUGGUUAUCAGGUAUGUAUAAUGUAUUGAAGAAUGUUAAGUGUCUAUGUGUUUUUCCUUCUGUUAUAUGUAGAGUAGGUUAACUAAUUUUAUGAUUGUCUACUUCUACAGGUAUUUGAGCAAAAAAGGAGAGACCAUUGAAAGAUUUUUGGCUAUUAAGCAUGUUCCAGACACAACAUCUGUUUCUUUGAAGAAGGCAUUGUUGGAGGUUUUUGCUAAACACGGUUUAGUUGUUGCAAGACUACGAGGGCAAGGAUAUGAUGGGGCAUCUAAUAUGAGAGGAGAAUUCAAUGGACUUCAGAAGUUAAUUCGAGAUGAGAACCCAUAUGCUUUCUAUAUCCACUGCUUUGCCCACCAACUGCAGUUGGUAGUUGUUGCUGUUUCGAGAUGUUGCAAGGGUGUUGAGGAUUUUUUUUGAAUAUGUGACCAUGAUUGCCAAUCUCAAUACUUCAUAUUGCAAGAGGAAGGAUAAAUUGCUUGACAAGCAAAAGGAAAUUCUUUUGGAUAAGAUUGAGAGAGGUGAGAUGACCACAGGAAGAGGGAGAAAUCAGGAAACAUCCUUAGUCAGACCUAGAGACACAAGAUGGGGAUCUCAUUACACAACCUUAUCUCGCAUUGAAUCAAUGUGGGAUGCAGUCAUAGAAGUUUUGGGCAUUGUUGAGGAUGAUUUGCGUGUUCCAUGUAGGGCAGGAGGUUUGGUUCAUCAAAUGGAAACUUUUAGCUUUGUGUUCAUCCUGAAGAUGAUGUUAAAAAUCCUUCGUAUCACAAAUGAUUUAUCUCUUCUAUUGCAAAAAAAGGAUCAAAAUGUUGUUCAGGUAUGUGAUGGAUCAUGUUAGAUGUAUGUAGUAUGGUUCAUAUAUUUAGUUCAUGUCAGCAUACAUGCAUCUAAAAUUGUAUUUAUCUCAUUUCAGGCAAUGUCAUUGGUUACGGAUGUGAGAACACGUUUGAUCAACUUCAGAAAUGAUGGUCGGCAGCCACUAUUGGAAGAUGCCAAAGCCUUUUGCACCAAAAACGACAUUCCAAUACCAAAUAUGGAUGACAUCUUUACAAAGUGGGGUAAAUCAAGAAAAUGUGGACGAAACAAUGUCACAGCUGAUCAUUUUUUUCGUGUGGACACCUUCUAUGCUGCUAUAGACUCCAUCACCACAGAGUUCGAUCAUCGUUUUAAUGAGGUAUCUUCAGAGCUGCUCCAGAACUUCUCUUGUCUUGACCCAAGAAACUCCUUUUCUAGGUUCAACCUGCAUAAACUAGCUAGACUCACAGAGAUAUACCAUGAUGAUUUCUCUGAUUAUGAACGUGAACAUAUAGAAGAUAACCUUGAUCUAUUCAUUAUCCAUAUGAGAAGAAUUGAAGACUUUAGAUCUUGUCAUGAUAUUGCAAGUCUAGCUAAAAUGAUGGUUGAACUUGAAAGGCAUGUCAUGUUUCCUACUGUUUAUCGCCUCAUUGAGUUGGCAUUGUUACUACCGGUAGCGACAGCAACAGUUGAAAGGGCCUUCUCAUCAAUGAAAAUCAUCAAAACUGAGUUGCGCAGCAAGAUGACAGAUGGUUGGCUUAAUGACUUGAUGGUUUGUUAUAUUGAGCGAGAGAUCUUCAAAAGUAUUGAUCUUGGUAAAAUUAAGGAAGAUUUUCAGAAUGAGGGUAGGGCAUUGCCAUUACCUGGGUCUUCUAGACGUCAUUGAAAGCUUCAUUAUCGGUAUGUUUUAGGUUGUUUUUCUAUUGAAACAUGUCUACAUUUUUAUUGUAUUUGGUUUUCAUUUGUAAUGUGUAUUGAGUCUUUCGAUUUGCAUUAAAAGAAUUCUUUCCUUAAGACUUCGCCACACCUUAAAUUUUUUUUCGUCCUCCGCCUCUGCUUCGGCUAGUUCCAGAUUAUGCACUUCAUCAACAUGGCUCAUGCUACCACUUGUACAAAUCCCAAUAGAUUUUUUAUAAUCAAAAAUAGCCCAUGUGCCGUGAAUUGGAGAAGACCACAGGAUCAACAUUCGUCAACAUGAACUUUAUCGGUGGUAGAGACCAUUUUUCAAUCGACCCCUGGUUCUCACACCAUGUGGACGUAGUCUAACCGGAAGCAAUGAACUCUAGAUUGUAACAAUUUGUCAUCAAUUUGACAUCCCUAGUAUAAAUGUAAGAAAUCAGCAAUCAUGUCAUAUUCUCCAAUGAUUUCCUUACGCAUAUUUCUUGAGUGGUUUUGGUUGCAAGAAAACUGUCUUUCUUGUAGCAUCAUCCACUCGCAAGUGAUCAUACGCACUACCUCUUGAAUCAGCUAGUUCAUCUCUACAAAAGUACAAGUUGAUAGCACAAUCAGCUACUUCACCGAGACAAGUAUAAAGAAUGCAAAUUAUUUCCCCUAAUAGUUUCAACAAGAACGUCCAUGAAGUAGAGGUAUGUCUCACUUGGCACAACUUGUCGACCUUCCAUAAAGGAUGGCUUGAAGAGGAUUGCUCGGGCGAUCUCAAUGGAAAAGUUCCAACUCAGCGUGUAAUUCAGAUAUUUUAUUCCAGCUCAGGUUCAUAAGAUUAAACCCCAAAGUUUGAUUAUGCCUCUGAUGAACAAUCAAAGAGCAAACACAAUAUAAAUAGCAUUCAAAACACAUUAGUUUUGCAGUGGAAUGCUCCAUAAUUAAAUAUCUAUGUGGAAUGGCAUGAGAGUCUUUUAGCCACAAGAUAAUCUUGCUCAUACAAUUCUAGUAGGUCACACAUAUUACGCCAAAUAUAUCACCAAGAGUGAUAACUUUACAAGUGACAAACAUUAAGAGUUGAGACUGUGUGCUGAGGGAGAGCAUCUUGAUCUUUGGGUUUUUAUUGCUGACAUCAAGGUUGCUGUAAUAACACCUACCAUUCCUCACACCUAACUUAAUGAACAGUGAUUACCAUAGUGAAAUGUAUUGAGAGAAGAAAAAAACGAGGGACGACGAGGGCCCAAUUAACAUGCUGAAUGGGGAUCGAAUUUGGAGCCGCACCCAUGUCGUGUAACUGGCGGCCUUACUCGCCCUAUCCCAUGCGAGUCGAAUGGGCCGUGGUGGACGACGGAGGCCACUACGGCUGUGGCAGACUAGAAAUUUGGUGGACUAUAUCUGACAUGCCUCGAGCUGACUCCUAUCUAGUCCAAGCCAACCAUUGUUUGACAAUAGAGUCGAGCGGCAGAAAGCCACGAACAAAGCAGAGGAAGGAUAUCGUCCCUGUUGGGGAACGUAGUAAUUUCAAAAAAAAAUCCUACGUCAUGCAAGGAUCUAUCUAUGGAGAAAUCAGCAAUGAGCAAAGAAGUAGAGCAUCUUCAUACCUUUGAAGAUCGUUAAGCAGAAUCGUUGCUAGAACGCGGUUGAUGGAGUCGUACUCGCAGCGAUUCAGAUCACGGUGGAUUCCGAACUAUGCACCGAACAUCGGUGCCUCCGCGUUCAACACACGUGCAGCCCGGUAAUCUCUCUUAGCACGACGGCGUGGUGACGGUGGAGCUGUGUGGUAACUCCGACAGGGCUUUGCUAAGCACUACGGACGACGAGGAUGAGGAGGAGUAGGGCUGCGCCGAGAGAGAAGUAAUUGUUGUCUCAAAUCUGCCCAAAAGUCCUCAAUAUAUAUAGGAGGAGAGGGAGGAGGUGCCCACCCUUUAGGGUUUCCCACACUAAAGGGUGCGGCAGCCCUAGAGCCCAAGGAGCGCGGCAGCCAAGGGUGGAGGGCCCUAGGGUGGGCCUUUGAUGUUGGGGAACGUCGCAUGGGAAACAAAAUUUUCCUACGCGCACGAAGACCUAUCAUGGUGAUGUCCAUCUAUGAGAGGGGAUGUGUGAUCUACGUACCCUUGUAGACCGUACAGCAGAAGCGUUAGUGAACGCGGUUGAUGUAGUGGAACGUCCUCACGUCCCUCGAUCCGCCCCGGAACUAUCCCGCGAUCAGUCCCACGAUCUAGUGCCGAACGGACGGCACCUCCGCGUUCAGCACACGUACAGCUCGACGAUAAUCUCAGCCUUCUUGAUCCAGCAAGAUAGACGGAGAGGUAGAAGAGUUCUCCGGCAGCGUGACGGCGCUCCAGAGGUUAGUGAUGAUCUUGUCUCAGCAGGGCUCCGCCCGAGCUCCGCAGAAACGCGAUCUAGAGGUAAAACCAUGGAGAUAUGUGGUCGGGCUGCCGUGGCAAAAGUGUGUCAAAUCAACCCUAAAACCCCACUAUAUAUAGGAGGGAGGGGGAGGGAAGAGGCAGCCUCAAACCCUCAAGGUUUGGCCGAAAUUGGAGGUGGAGGAGUCCUACUCCAAUCCUACUUGGAGUAGGAUUCCACCUUCCCACUUGGAAACUCUUUCCACCUUGUGUUUUUUCCUUCUCAAACCUUAUGGGCCUUAGUGGGAACUUAUUCCAGCCCACUAGGGACUGGUUUAUCUCUUCCCAUAGCCCAUGAGACCCCUUGGGGCGUGACACCCCUCCCGAUGGUCCCCGGCACCCCUCCGGCACUCCCGGUACACUACCGAUGAGCCCGAAACUUUUCCGGUGACCAAAACAGGACUUCCUAUAUAUCAAUCUUUACCUCCGGACCAUUCCGGAGCUCCUCGUGACAUCCUGGUUCUCAUCCGGGACUCCGAACAACAUUCGGUAACCAACCAUAUAACUCAAAUACGCAUAAAACAACGUCGAACCUUAAGUGUGCAGAUCCUGCGGGUUCGAGAACUAUGUAGACAUGACCCGAGAGACUCCUCGGUCAAUAUCCAAUAGCGGGACCUGGAUGCCCAUAUUGGAUCCUACAUAUUCUACGAAGAUCUUAUCGUUUGAACCUCAGUGCCAAGGAUUCAUAUAAUCCCGUAUGUCAUUCCCUUUGUCCUUCGGUAUGUUACUUGCCCGAGAUUCGAUCCUUAGUAUCCGCAUACCUAUUUCAAUCUCGUUUACCGGCAAGUCUCUUUACUCGUUCCGUAAUACAAGAUCCCGCAACUUACACUAAGUCACAUUGCUUGCAAGGCUUGUGUGUGAUGCUGUAUUACCGAGUGGGCCCCGAGAUACCUCUCCGUCACACGGAGUGACAAAUCCCAGUCUCGAUUCAUACUAACUUAACGAACACCUUCGGAGAUACCUGUAGAGCAUCUUUACAGUCACCCAGUUACGUUGCGACGUUUGAUACACACAAAGUAUUCCUCCGGUGUUAGUAAGUUAUAUGAUCUCAUGGUCAUAGGAAUAAAUACUUGACACGUAGAAAACAGUAGCAACAAAAUGACACGAUCAACAUGCUACGUCUAUUAGUUUGGGUCUAGUCCAUCACGUGAUUCUCCCAAUAACGUGAUCCAGUUAUCAAGCAACAACACCUUGUUCAUAAUCAGAAGACACUGACUAUCAUCGAUCAACUGGCUAGCCAACUAGAGGCAUGCUAGGGAUGGUGUUUUGUCUAUGUAUCCACACAUGUAAAUGAGUCUUCAUUCAAUACAAUUAUAGCAUGGAUAAUAAACUAUUAUCUUGAUACAGGAAUUAUAAUAAUAACUAUAUUUAUUAUUGCCUCUAGGGAAUAAUUCCAACAAGAGCAAGAUCUGCUAGCUAAAGGCAUCAUACGUGAACCACUCCGUGAUGAGUGGGAAUUGAGAGCAAGAAAUUGGUUCCUUGCGCAUGGUGGUUCGUACGAUGAAGAAACAUGGGACCUCAUCUGCAGUGACGGUCUUAGGAUACCCAGGGAGAAUUGGAAAAAGAUAGUGAAAGAAAUUAAGGAGGGACAAAGACAGUUCACUGCAGAUAGAGAGAAAGAUUUACUCACACUGGUCCUCGGCAAUGACGAACAUGGAGGACGAACGCGAGGCUUCGGUCCUUCUUACCCGUGGUAGCUUGGGUUUGCCAGAGACCAAGACACUUACAGAAGCCGAGCGAGAGCAAAGAAGCGACAACAGGAUGAGGAGAAUGACAGGUUCAACCAGUUGCUUGCCAGGAUUAACGAGCAACAGAAGCAUAUUGAUGAGCUUAAAGGAGUAGCACGCCAGGAAGAUCCUGCACUCGAUAUUACCGGCGCCCCAUCUAAGCGGAAAAGCAGUGUGGCUGAAUCUUAGGCCCCGCCGACGAUGCAUGAAGAAUGAUAGAGGGCGGUCCCGGCUACCCCGUGGACUGGAAUCAAGGAGUCAACAUCAUGUGAACUCCAUCAGAAAUUCAAGAACAUAUCCAUGAAGGUGGCCGUCGGACNNNNNNNNNNNNNNNNNNNNNNNNNNNNNNNNNNNNNNNNNNNNNNNNNNNNNNNNNNNNNNNNNNNNNNNNNNNNNNNNNNNNNNNNNNNNNNNNNNNNUCGGAUCUAAUGCCGAACGGACGGCACAUCCGCGUUCAGCACACGUACAGCUCGACGAUGAUCUCGGCCUUCUUGAUCCAGCACGUAAGAAGGAGAAGUAGAUAAGUUCUCCGGCAGCGUGACGGCGCUCCGAUGGUGGUGACGAUCUACUCCAACAGGGCUCCGCCCGAGCUCCGCAGAAAUACGAUCUAGAGGAAGAACUACGGUGUCUAGAUCUGAGUUGCACGUGGCAAAAGUUGUCUCAAAUCAACCCUAAAUCACCACUAUAUAUAGGAGGGAGGGGGAGGAUGCUUGCCUUGAGGGCCAAGCCCUCAAGGGUGCGCCGGCCAGGGAGGAGAGGAGGAAUCCUACUCCAAUUAGGAUUGGAAAGUGGAGUCCUUCUCUUCAUUCCCACGUCCCUUUUUUUGUUUUCUUCUCUUGCCGCCAUGGCACUUUUGGGCUGUCCCACCAGCCCACUAAGGGCUGGUGCGCCACCCCUAAGGCCAUUGGGCUUCCCCCGGGUGGGUUGCCCCCCCUCCCUCCCGGUGAACUUCCGGAACCCAUUCGUCACUUCCGGUAACCAAAUGAAACCAUCCUAUAUAUAAAUCUACGUUUCCGGACCAUUCCGGAAACCCUCGUGACGUCUGUGAUCUCAUCCGGGACUCCAAACAACAUUCGGUAACCACACAUAUAACUCAACUAUACUAAAACAUCAUCGACCUUAAGUGUGCAGACCCUGCGGGUUCGAGAACUAUGUAGACAUGCCCUGAUGCACUCCUCGGUCAAUAUCCAAUAGCGGGACCUGGAUGCCCAUAUUGGAUCCUACAUAUUCUCCGAAGAUCUUAUCGGUUGAACCUAAGUGUCAAGGAUUCAUACAAUCUCGUAUGUCAUUCCCUUUGUCCUUCGGUUUACUUGCCCGAGAUUCGAUCGUCAGUAUCCGCAUACCUAUUUCAAUCUCGUUACCGGCAAGUCUCUUUACUCGUUCUGUAUUACAAGAUCCCGUGACUUACACUUAGUCACAUUGCUUGCAAGGCUUGUGUGUGAUGUUGUAUUACCGAGUGGGCCCCGAGAUACCUCUCCGUCACACGGAGUGACAAAUCCCAGUCUUGAUCCAUACUAACUCAACGGACACCUUCGGAGAUACCUGUAGAACACCUUUAGAGUCCCCCAGUUACGCUGUGAUGUUUGAUGCACACAAGGUAUUCCUUCGGUGCCAGUGAGUUACAUGAUCUCAUGGUCAUAGGAACAAAUACUUGACACGCAGAAAACAAUAGCAUUAAAACGACACGAUCAAUAUGUUGCAUUCAUAGUUUGGGUCUAGUCCAUCACAUGAUUCUCCUAAUGAUGUGAUCCAGUUAUCAAGUGACAACACUUGCACAUAGCCAGAAAACCUUGACUAUCAUUGAUCAACUGGCUAGCCAACUAGAGGCUUGCUAGGGACAUAAUUUUGUCUAUGUAUCCACACAUGUAUCUAUGUUUUAUCAAUACAAUUAUAGCAUCGAUAAUAAACGAUUAUCUUUCAACAGGAAAUAUAAUAAUAACUAUUUAUCAUUGCCUCUAGGGCAUAUUUCCAACAAGAUGUGCCGGUGCGCGUGCUCGAACUCGAGGACAUCCAUGGCGGAUGAGCCCGGGGCGGUCCUAAACGAUGCUAACAUGGCAAGAACACGGGGGAAACGAAGAUGGGGAGUAUCAGAGGCUCACCAUGGUCCCAUGGGACUAGACGAGGAGGCGGGAUGCGUACGAGGAGGCNNNNNNNNNNNNNNNNNNNNNNNNNNNNNNNNNNNNNNNNNNNNNNNNNNNNNNNNNNNNNNNNNNNNNNNNNNNNNNNNNNNNNNNNNNNNNNNNNNNNGAAGAAAAAGGAGAAGAAAAGAAGAAAAGAUUUUUUUGUCAUUUUAUUCCUAUUGUUAUUAGGUUUGUGCUAGAUUAUUAGGGUUAGUAAUAUUUAGAAUUAGGUUAGAUUUACGUGCAUUUUCACACUAAACAAAGUUGUGGACACAUUGCAUUACUUUUAGCAGCCAAUUAGUACUCCAUUGUACUAGUUCUGUAUGCAUGCGUAGUGUGAAUUCUAUUUUUCAACCCAUCUCGCAUUCAAUCAACAACGCCUAGGUUCCAGAGAAUUUCCAAGCACGCCUUCUAACCCGUGACGAAAAAAGUAUAUGUAACGGUGCAAAAAAAGAAGUAUAUGUAUAAAUGCAGGCAAGCCCAUCAUGAUAGUGGUAUAAGAGAUAUGGCAGAGAGUGGAAAGACAGCUUAACUAACACGCUGAUCAUGGAUGGCGUGAGGAGGCACACUGUUAAACCAACAUGAGGUAGUACCAGAAGCAGUGCGGAUCCAAAGGUUACUUGUCUUAGGUUUGUUUACAUANNNNNNNNNNNNNNNNNNNNNNNNNNNNNNNNNNNNNNNNNNNNNNNNNNNNNNNNNNNNNNNNNNNNNNNNNNNNNNNNNNNNNNNNNNNNNNNNNNNNGGAGGAUUUAGUCCCAGUUGGUGUCUUGAACCGGGACUAAAAGGUAGACCUUUUAGUCCCGGUUCGUGACACSAACCGGGACUAAAGGUGUUCUAGUAUUUUUUUUUUUAAAUUCUUGUUUGUAGUUUCUGUUUUAAAUUGCUUAUAUCUUUUAGGAUAUUUGAUGUUUUUGAUUGAUUCUUUUUGCAUUAGAUUCAAAAUUUUGUCUAGUUUCUGUUUGUGCCAUUAGUUUUCAAAUUUGAAUGGUUUAAAUUUGAAUUUGUUUAAAUUUGAUUUAAACCCAGUUUUUGAAUAACUUGAGUUUACAAAUAGUUUUUAAUUUAAUUCUUUUUGCUCCCACUCAUGUGUUAGAUUGUUGUCACAGUAAGAAUUAUUUGGUUAUUUUUAGAAUAAUUUAAAUUAGGAUUUUAAUUAAAGAAAUAUUGUUUUGCUUAUAUAGUUGUUUUAGUCAUUUAAUUGUUGUUUUUUAUUAUUUCAAAAAGUUAUUUCAAAAAGAAGUUUUUUCAAAAAGUUGUUGUCACAGUAAGGUUUUUAUUAUUUCAAAAAGAAGUUUUUUCCAAAAAAAAGAAAAUAAUUUUAUUUAAAAAUAUUAGGUUGUUUUCAUUGAAAUUCACUAUUAUUGUUACUUAUUAAGUUUAUUUUAAUAAUUGUUUGUUAUUCAAAAAAAUAAAUCAGGUGACAUGACAUCAAGACCCAAGUUGUUUAGGAUUGAUAGCUUACUAUUGUCAGGAAAACAACAAGUGCACACUUGGCAACUAGGGGCGAUAGAACCAGAAAGUUAAGCGUGCUCGGGCUGAAGCGAACAGUGAGAAUGGGUGAUUAGAGAUUAAAUUGUCAAAUAAUUCAAAGAUUAGAAAAUUGGAAUAAAACAUAAAAAAUAUUCAAAAAUAAAAUUUGAAAAAAAAAAAUCUAACUUUUCGGGUCAAACAAACAAAAAAACAGACGGAUCCUUUAGUCCCGGUUCGUAAGUAGAACCGAGACUAAAGGUACUCCCUCCGAGGCGGCCACGUGGAGCACCUUUGGUCCCGGCUUGGAACAGGGCCGGGACUAAAGGUUAGGCCUUUAGUCCUGCCCCUUUAGUCCCGGUUGGUGAACCGGGACUAAAGCCCCUUACGGACCGGGACUAAAGGCCCUGUCCCCACUAGUGGAUUAAAAGAAAAAAGUAGCAUAGCAGCGCCAGCACAGUGGCAUGUUAGUUGCAGACAUAUAGGAUGUGUUUGGUAGCCUGUAUGAAGACUGUAUGAGCCCAAAAAUUCCAUCCCCGAUCUACUUUUCGCUGUUUGGUAGGGUGUAUGAGCUGAGGAGAGGAUGCAUCAACUGAUGCAAAAAAGGGCCUUAGCAUAGCGGAGCCCAGCACCCCGCGGAGACGAGUUGAAGAGAGAUAUGCUGAGUCCAUGCACCCUCGCCCCGCCUCGCCCUCGCCCCGUCGCUCCUCGACCGUCUCCCCUCGCCCUCCCGCGCCCCUCCCGAGCUCCGGCGGCCUCACUCGAGCCCCGCCGCGCCCCGCCGAGCUCUGACGCNNNNNNNNNNNNNNNNNNNNNNNNNNNNNNNNNNNNNNNNNNNNNNNNNNNNNNNNNNNNNNNNNNNNNNNNNNNNNNNNNNNNNNNNNNNNNNNNNNNNGAGGAGGGCGACAGGGCGACGGCGACGGCGGGCAGCCUCGCGGCGUCGAGGAGUUCGUCCGUUGCUGCGCCGGGCAGGAGAGGCGAGCGAGAGGAAGAAGAGAACGAAAUCGCGUUUGGAUUUGGAUUUUCGUCCGCGUCGUAUAUAUAAUAGGAUCUUUAGUCCCGGUUCGAGGCUCGAACCGGGACUAAAGACACCCUUUAGUCCCGGGUGGAGCCACGACCCGAGACUAAAGACCCUUUUUCGGCACACCAAAAGGCGGGAAGCACGGGCCUUUAGUCCCGGGUCGGGGCUCGAGCCGGGACUAAAGACACCCUUUAGUCCCGGGUCUUGCCACGACCCGGGGCUAAAGACCCCUUUUCGGCAGGGGGCAGGCGAGCGGCUUUAGUCCCGGGUCAUGGCUCCACCCGAGACUAAAGCCCCUCCGCUGGCUGCACGAUAAGUUUAGUCUCACCUCGCCCAGCGAGGGGCACUAACACUAGUUUAUAAGCCCCGUCGCAGCAUCUCCAUCGAGCUCCUCUCUAAAGCAGGCUUAUGGGCCUAAACAGACUGUAAAUUUAAAAAUUGAAACUAUAUUUAAAACUAUGGAGAAAAGUCAACCUGAAUUCUCAUAUAGUUUCAAUUUUUUCUAUUUUCAAAAUUAAUUUUUUUACUAUCCAAACUAUUAACUAUUUUGUUAUUUUCAAUUAAAAACUAUGUUUAUUAAAAUUCUUUUUGCAUAUUUGAGAAUUUGAGAAAAACUGUUCUAAUGAAAAGUGUUUGAAAUUGAAUAAAUAAUUCAAAACUAUUUCAUUAUUUACAAAUUUAAUUAUUUUACUAUCCAAACUAUUAACUAUUUUGUUAUUUUACUAAAUUAAAACUAUUGUUUUAAAUUUAAAAUUUUCUUUUUGCAUUAUUUGAGUAAUUUGAACAAAACUAUUACUAAAUAGUAAAGUAGUUUGAAUUAGAANNNNNNNNNNNNNNNNNNNNNNNNNNNNNNNNNNNNNNNNNNNNNNNNNNNNNNNNNNNNNNNNNNNNNNNNNNNNNNNNNNNNNNNNNNNNNNNNNNNNAUACUAAAUCGAAAUGCUCGUUGAUCAUGCAUGUCAGACAUAUGGAAAUCACCUUGGGUGCCAGAAACGAAGAUGAACAUGUGGCUUGGGUUUGAACAUGUAAAGUUUUCCUACUGAUGAUAUGGUGCUCUUAUUUGGGGAGAAUUAUCCAGGCCGAUAAUCUACAUUGAUUGUCCUUGCUGGUGGCAAAGAGCACACAUGAGAUAUCUAGAAGCACGACCGUGAUCAUGGCGACCCCUUAAGCGUUAACGGUCAAGGAGCCGGUCACCCCGCUCGGCAAUAAGUAAGCAGAUCCGUUGUAAGAAUUCAAGUGGGACCUUGAGCUGCAAUGGCGGUUCCAGUUGAGACAUCGGCGAUUAAUGCAGUUAGCCGAGAAGCACAUAUCUGCAAGGAGGAGGACCCAUUGGGUAAGCGGAAGCAGAGCUCGCCAACUGCGUGUGAGUAGUCUAGAAGGUGAAUCAAGGGUUCGUGUGCGUGGGUGGACUAAGAGGUUUGUAAAAUUGCAAAUUGAAAUUAGACAUCUGUUAAUACAGAUUUCUGAUUUGUACAUUGCUAAUAUUUAAUCCGCCUAUACAUGUACGUAAAAGAAAAAUCAGUCUGUGAACACAAGUGAUCUGCACUACAAAGUAUUAUAGUAUAUUGUGAAAUAUUCGAAAAUUCAUAUGUUAAAUGCUCAGACUUUGUACUGUUCUUCAUUGUGAUAUUAGUGACAGCUCGUAUUUUUAAAUUCUACGAGGAUUUCCUGUUUCUGUAAAUGGUUGAGUUAUAUCAUUUUGUAUUAGAUGGAUAUGAGUAUUAGUACCGUGAAACAAGCACAACUGGCUAAUGGUUGAUUCAACUGAAUUAAAACUCAAUUCAGUUUUCCAGUUGCAGAUACUUUUCAAUGAUUAUAUGACCAAAAAAAUAUCUGUGGGUUAGGGUCAGUUCAGCAGCUCCUGGAAGCCUGGAAGAACACCUUGUCCUUCAAGAGUGACUCUCUGGAGAAAGCUAUUAGGAGUUUUGCAGACAAUCCGAUUGAUAAUGUCACGUUGUAGCAAAAAAAUUGAUGUGAUGUAUUUUUCUGAGUAACGUAUUUUUCAUUGACCUGGUCGUUUCUGUAUAAUAUUGGACGCCUGAAAUGUUCUGGAUUUUAAUUGAGCGAGCUUUUUUCAGCAUUUCAAUUGAGCGAGUUAAUCAUGAGUAGGUUAUUUUGAGAAAAUGAAUAGGUUCGUUUCCCGACAGAGCAAACAGCCUGGAAUGUUAGCGGACGUCUAGAUCUACGAGGAAAAGUACCUUUGCAUAUAUAGGAAAACUAGACGUAUAAUUGUCAAAUGAUGUAAUAAUAAUCAAGUGUCUUCACAUGUAAAGAAAGCAAAUCUAUGCAAAACAAGUAGCAUCACACUUGGUUUUCUAGUCCUGCAUACGGGUACAUAUGUAGUAAUUAACUUCAACAGCUAGGAGCGAGAACCUAGCUCAUCAGCUAAUAAAACAAUGGCAGGCUCCGUACAUGUGGUCGAUGAGACUGCAAGUACAGCACCCAUAAACACUAUAUAUGUCACAUACCAUAUCUCUUAGCGACCAAGUGCCGCUACCAAUGUGAUAUUGUCCAGGGGGAUUUUCCAUGUAUGGGAUCCUGGCAUACAAUCAUGUCAGCUCCAAUGGUUGGCAUGGCCUUCAAACUGACACUCAGAUUCCUUCCAAUAACACUUCCACUCGUGCUAACACCAACCAAGAGAGCCUUGUCCCCGAUGCUUGUUAGAGGAGUAACUCUUCCUUGGAUAAGAUCUGAUAUUCUGUAGACUGCCAUGCGCUUGGUCAAGAUGUAUUCGCUGGAAUCGAUGAGUAGGAUCUCCGAGUCGCAUUCUACUAAUUCAAAAAGGGCGUUGCGCGUACCCGUGGGAAAUAUGGCAAUCACCUUCGGUGCUGGAAACAAAGACGAACUGGAUCCAUAAAUAUUCUCGGGCCGAGGUGGGUCGAUCUGUAAAAUACGUUGUUCGACGCUAGACCUAGGCUUGGGUUGAAACAUGUAAAUUUUUCCUUGUGAAGAUAUGUUGCUCUCCUUUGGGGAGAAUCUCCAGGCUGAUAAUCUCCAUUGCUUGUCCUUGGUGGUGGCAAACAGCACGCGUGCCGCAUCUUGAAGCACGAUGGUGAUCAUAGCGACCCCUUCGUCAGCGUUAACGGUCAAGGAGGCGGUCACCUUGCCCGGCAAUAAGUAAGCAUAUCCGUUGUUGGAAUACAAGUGGGAUGUUGAACCAAACAAGUUCACCACCAUGGGAUAAGUGAUUGGAGGGAACUUUGCGACGUCUCCCGUGAAGGGGUGAAGGAGGCUUAUCUGGGCGUCUUGGUCGCAAUGUUGACGCUGCAUGAGGAGGAGGCCAUCGACCGAGCAGAGGACGCAGUGGUCGUCGAGGAGAGGAACUUGUGGACGGACGAACACUCCGGUGUCGAGGUUGAGGAAACGUUUCCUGCCAUCUUCAAGGUGGAGUCUGUGGCCGGCCGGCAGCAUCAUCCACCGACGCGGGUGAAAGCGUGAGUCGGUGAUGGCGAGGCCGCGUGGGUUGAUUGUGCUGGACCUGGAGUGCGCGCAGACUGCACGGAAGCGCAUGUAGUCGAGCAGGUCUCCGGCCAGCACCCGCCAGCCGAUGAGCUCAAGCAAAUCUGCCGGCAUGGACGCCAGCGGAAACAUGUCGCCGGAGCAGGUGGCGGAGGCAGCAGUGAUGGGCGCAGGAGGGCGCUCGCAUUUCCCUGCCGGCGAUGACAUCAACCGAUCGAUCCCAGAUCGCCGGUUAAUCAGAUCGAACGGAGAUUUUUCUUGACCUAGCCUAACACAUGGUGGCAAGACGUUUUUUAAGCAGAUCGCUCGGUGGCGAACUAUUCGGGAUGGCGUUAAGAUGCUAAUGUAUCGGCUCCGGUGUUGGGCCUAAACCAUCGUAUCCACUCCCCUUGGUGUUGGGCCUAAGCCAUCGUAUCCACUCCCCUUUGUGGGGCUAACAGCCAGCCCAUCUUUCUCUAGUACGUGCGUGCGAUUGCUGAAUAAAAAUAAAUUAGUUUACCUAUUUUGUUCUUUUUUUGUUUUUAAAAAGGGCAACGUCUUUAUCUUUACGUCAUUUUUUUUCAUACUAAAGCGGAUAUUGUUUAUGUCCGAAAACCGGUCACGUCAUUUUUGCAAAAAAAGUUCCUUCUGUUUGAAAGAAUCAACCCGCAAUCCAUUGUUUAGUUGAAAAACUUUUGUUUUUACAAAAUCCCCACUCCCCGCGGUCAGCGUCUUCUUACCUUAUGCAGAGAUCACAUACGCCCACCGCUGGUAGCUCAGCUCGGGCACGAGGAGGCGGGGUCGAGGAGGGGGCGCGCGGUCGUGAAGAGGCGGGGUCGAGGAUGUGCAGGAUGAGCCGGCCGCCGGCCGCCGGCGAGGAGGCGAGCGAGCUCGGAGAGCUCCGGCUCAGCCUUGUCGCCGGUGACGCGAGGCCGAGGGGGCAGGGUCAAGAGGACGUUGGCGGCCGGCUUCCGGCGAGGAGGCGAGGGAGAUCAGCCUUGUCGCCGACGACGCGAGGCCGAGAGGGUGGCGUGCGUGUGCGAGGAGCCGGGGCCGGGGAGGCGCAGGAGGAUGUCGCGGGUGGCCGAGGGUGGCGCAGGUGGUUCCGAGGCGGUGGUGUCCUUCCUCUUAGCCAGACCCAGACGCCACGAGCAGGUCCUCGAGCUUUCCUCCAGCGCCGUAGCCGCCGUCCUAUUCUCCUUCUCCUCCCCACCCGACCCGAACUCCGUGACACCGCCCCAACCUUUUACUAUCGCGAGCUUCACCCUCUUUACCCCAGCCACCCUACAUGCCACCACCGGCCGGCACGGAUCCACGUCGCCCGAUCGACAACCUGCUACCAGCAACGCGCACGCCGGAUCGAGCUACCCUGGGUUCCCACCCUGUCGCCUUUGGUGGUCGUCGGAUCUGUGCGCCAAAAUCAGUUUGUGCGGUGCUCCUUUCGGUCUUUGAGUUGUAUGCCCGAUUAUUUGAGGAAGUGAUAGUCACUGGGAAGACGGAUCGACAGACUAGACAGCAGACCAAGGCCAUGGAUUGUUUGAUUCAACAACGAAGGUUCUAUCAUCCCCGUAACUUUUUGUUCCUCUCUUUAUUCUGCAGAAACUGCUAAUUGUUACUGUAGCUUUCAUGCCUACCAGACAAAAUCAAAGGCAGGUGCUUUGCUUCUCAUCUGAAGUAAAUGAAAGUGUUAUAGUGAAAGGAUUAUCCUAACGUAAGAGCCUUAUUUGUUUCAUACUUCCUCUGUCUCAAAAUAAGUGACUCAAAAAUGACUCAAUUUUAUACUAACUUUAGUACAAAGUAGAAUCACUUUUGAGUCACUUAUUUUGAAACAGAGGGAGUACAAAAUAUGUAUAGUUCGUUCAGGCAAUGCUUAGAUUGAUGUUGUUAGUUUGAUUUGAGUUUCUACACCAUGCCAAGAGCUUUAUUAUUAAAAGGCGCAAUCUCAUUUUAUAAGGAGCACUCCAAGUGUCAGUAUUAAAGACAGAUCAUGCUAUUUUCUGAAACGAGUAAUGAGAAAUUAAUCUGUAUGGUUCUCCAAUUUGAGGGUACUAAAUUUCGAUAUAUCAGAGGUACUGUUAUGUUAGCUGCAAUUAGGUGACAGGAGCAUGCCACGGUAUAGGUACAUGAUCUAUAAGCUUUUAGAUGUUGCUCUUCUCUAUUCUCGGACACAUCUUCUAAAAACAAAGAUUAGCCAACACCACUUUAUCAUAUCUUAUAAUUGUCCACAUCAUUGCAGAAAAACUCAACCUUUUUUCCAAUGCCUAAAGUUAUGUGGGAAGAUUUAUCUAUCUUCUUUCAAUGUACUCAUGGCACUUAAGUCCUGAGAAGUUCUCAGAAAACAACAAUAUAUUUUUUCUUCACCAGAUGCGGAAACUAAAAGGCGUGUACCACGGGAACAUGAAGUAUAUAAAGCAAAGGAGGAGCUGUACUGUAACAGCCCAAGACCAAGACCUGUACUAUUUUGAGAUUUGUUCAUGCUAUGUGUGAUGUUGGUUCCAUUUCAUUGUUGCAUCAUGCCAUCAUCUUGCAUAUAUUGUGAUAAAUGUUUUUUUUCUUAUUAUGUUUGCAACUUCCCCUUCUUAUUUGAUCAUUCCUUACAUCUCAUGCAUCUUCCAUCAAGCUUCACCCAUGUCUCAAUUCCAAUUAGCAACUCCAUUCUUUUCUCUAUCCAUUUAGUUUUGUUUUGAGUUGGAUUUUUUACUUCUUCUUUUCUUGCCCAAAACCUUGCCCAUAAUUCAUUUGAAUUAUGUUCAGCCACCCUCUCGAUUUCACCCCCUUCCAUAGUUCGUUAAAGGGAGUCAAAUUUAAAUAUAAUGAAUUUAAUUCAUUUUGUUUUAUUUUUUUUACUUCCUCUAUAAAUGUUCCUCUUGCGCAAAUCAUAAUUAUUAUGUAGGGUGACCUCCAAAAUCUCAUUCCAUUUGGAAUUGUUUUGGUUGAAUUUAAUUCAAACUUGCCUAAAUUUUCUUUCUCUAAAAUUGCGAGAACUAUUUUAUUAAAGUGGGCAUAUUUCAAGGUUUACAGGUUUAUUAUUAUUUCUCUUCAAUCCCCUCCUUAAGACCCUUUUCUUUUCUUCCCAAAUCCGUGUUUUUAUUUAAACAAAGAGAAAAGGGAAAAGAAAAGAAGAGUAGUGACAUGUAGUAGCAGCCCAGCCGAGCCCACCUAAGCUCUUACCUACUCCGCGUUCCCUGCUUCUUCUUCAACACGGCCUCGAACUCCUCCACCUCGCCUCCUCGCCCCGUCCCCAGCCUCCUCGUCGCAUCCCCGCCUCCUCGUCUAGUCCCAUGGGACCAUGGUGAGCCUCUGAUACUCCCCAUCUUCGUUUCCCCCGUGUUCUUGCCAUGUUAGCAUCGUUUAGGACCGCCCCGGGCUCAUCCGCCAUGGAUGUCCUCGAGUUCGAGCACGCGCACCGGCACAUCUUGUUGGAAAUAUGCCCUAGAGGCAAUGAUAAAUAGUUAUUAUUAUAUUUCCUGUUGAAAGAUAAUCGUUUAUUAUCGAUGCUAUAAUUGUAUUGAAUAAAAACAUAGAUACAUGUGUGGAUACAUAGACAAAAUUAUGUCCCUAGCAAGCCUCUAGUUGGCUAGCCAGUUGAUCAAUGAUAGUCAAGGUUUUCUGGCUAUGUGCAAGUGUUGUCACUUGAUAACUGGAUCACAUCAUUAGGAGAAUCAUGUGAUGGACUAGACCCAAACUAUGAAUGCAACAUAUUGAUCGUGUCGUUUUAAUGCUAUUGUUUUCUGCGUGUCAAGUAUUUGUUCCUAUGACCAUGAGAUCAUGUAACUCACUGGCACCGAAGGAAUACCUUGUGUGCAUCAAACAUCACAGCGUAACUGGGGGACUCUAAAGGUGUUCUACAGGUAUCUCCGAAGGUGUCCGUUGAGUUAGUAUGGAUCAAGACUGGGAUUUGUCACUCCGUGUGACGGAGAGGUAUCUCGGGGCCCACUCGGUAAUACAACAUCACACACAAGCCUUGCAAGCAAUGUGACUAAGUGUAAGUCACGGGAUCUUGUAAUACAGAACGAGUAAAGAGACUUGCCGGUAACGAGAUUGAAAUAGGUAUGCGGAUACUGACGAUCGAAUCUCGGGCAAGUAAACCGAAGGACAAAGGGAAUGACAUACGAGAUUGUAUGAAUCCUUGACACUUAGGUUCAACCGAUAAGAUCUUCGGAGAAUAUGUAGGAUCCAAUAUGGGCAUCCAGGUCCCGCUAUUGGAUAUUGACCGAGGAGUGCAUCAGGGCAUGUCUACAUAGUUCUCGAACCCGCAGGGUCUGCACACUUAAGGUCGAUGAUGUUUUAGUAUAGUUGAGUUAUAUGUGUGGUUACCGAAUGUUGUUUGGAGUCCCGGAUGAGAUCACAGACGUCACGAGGGUUUCCGGAAUGGUCCGGAAACGUAGAUUUAUAUAUAGGAUGGUUUCAUUUGGUUACCGGAAGUGACGAAUGGGUUCCGGAAGUUCACCGGGAGGGAGGGGGGGCAACCCACCCGGGGGAAGCCCAAUGGCCUUAGGGGUGGCGCACCAGCCCUUAGUGGGCUGGUGGGACAGCCCAAAAGUGCCAUGGCGGCAAGAGAAGAAAACAAAAAAAGGGACGUGGGAAUGAAGAGAAGGACUCCACUUUCCAAUCCUAAUUGGAGUAGGAUUCCUCCUCUCCUCCCUGGCCGGCGCACCCUUGAGGGCUUGGCCCUCAAGGCAAGCAUCCUCCCCCUCCCUCCUAUAUAUAGUGGUGAUUUAGGGUUGAUUUGAGACAACUUUUGCCACGUGCAACUCAGAUCUAGACACCGUAGUUCUUCCUCUAGAUCGUAUUUCUGCGGAGCUCGGGCGGAGCCCUGUUGGAGUAGAUCGUCACCACCAUCGGAGCGCCGUCACGCUGCCGGAGAACUUAUCUACUUCUCCUUCUUGCGUGCUGGAUCAAGAAGGCCGAGAUCAUCGUCGAGCUGUACGUGUGCUGAACGCGGAUGUGCCGUCCGUUCGGCAUUAGAUCCGAACGGAUCGUGGGACGGAUCGCGGGACGGUUCGUGGGACGGUUCGUGGGGCAGAUCGAGGAACGUGAGGACGUUCCACUACAUCAACCGCGUUUCUUAACGCUUCCUGCUGUGCGAUCUACAAGGAUACAUAGAUCCAAGUCUCCUCUCAUAGAUGGACAUCACCAUCAUAGGUCUUCGUGUGCGUAGAAUAUUUUUUGUUUCCCAUGCACCGUUCCCCAACACAUCUUGCCGCCGCCCCCGCUGCACCCUUGCACACCUCUCAAAACACUGACUCUAUCCGNGGCAUUAGAUCCGAACGGAUCGUGGGACGGAUCGCGGGACGGUUCGUGGGACGGUUCGUGGGGCAGAUCGAGGAACGUGAGGACGUUCCACUACAUCAACCGCGUUUCUUAACGCUUCCUGCUGUGCGAUCUACAAGGAUACAUAGAUCCAAGUCUCCUCUCAUAGAUGGACAUCACCAUCAUAGGUCUUCGUGUGCGUAGAAUAUUUUUUGUUUCCCAUGCACCGUUCCCCAACACAUCUUGCCGCCGCCCCCGCUGCACCCUUGCACACCUCUCAAAACACUGACUCUAUCCGCACACUACGCAGUCGCGGAACACGCAGGCGUUGCUUCGUCCCCCUCGUGCACCCUCGUGCCUCGUGCCGGGCACCAAGCUGAAGCCACCAGCCCUGAGCUCGCUACGAACCCGAAAACCGCACCCAUUUCAAACCCGCACGCCUGUUGGGGAACGUCGCAUGGGAAACAAAAAAUUUCCUACGCGCACGAAGACCUAUCAUGGUGAUGUCCAUCUACGAGAGGGGAUGUGUGAUCUACGUACCCUUGUAGACCGUACAGCAAAAGCGUUAGUGAACACGGUUGAUGUAGUGGGACGUCCUCACGUCCCUCGAUCCGCCCUGCAAACCGUCCCGCGAUCAGUCCCACGAUCUAGUGCCGAACGGACGGCACCUCCGCGUUCAGCACACGUACAACUCGACGAUGAUCUCGGCCUUCUUGAUCCAGCAAGAGAGACGGAGAGGUAGAAGAGUUCUCCGGUAGCGUGACGGCACUCCGGAGGUUGGUGAUGAUCUUGUCUCAGCAGGGCUUCGCCCGAGCUCCGUAGAAACGCGAUCUAGAGGAAAAACCGUGGAGGUAUGUGGUCGGGCUGCCGUGGUAAAGUCGUCUCAAAUCAGCCCUAAAACCUCCGUAUAUAUAGGGGGAAGAGGGGGAGCCUUGCCUUGGGGCUCAAGGAGCCCCAAGGGGGUCGGCCGAGCCAAGGGGGGAAGGUCUCCCCCCCCCCCAAACCGAGUCCAACUUGGUUUGGUGGGUGGAGUCCUUCUUUCCUUUCCCACCUCCUCCUUUUCUUUUUCUUUUCUAUUUGAUUUUCUUCCUAUGGCGCAUAGGGCCUUCUUGGCCUGUCCCACCAGCCCACUAAGGGCUGGUGUGCCACCCCCAAGGCCUAUGGGCUUCCCCGGGGUGGGUUGCCCCCCCCCCCUGGUGAACUCCCGGAACCCAUUCGUCAUUCCCGGUACAUUCCCGGUAACUCCGAAAACCUUCCGGUAAUCAAAUGAGGUCAUCCUAUAUAUCAAUCUUCGUUUCCGGACCAUUCCGGAAAACCUCGUAACGUCUGUGAUCUCAUCCGGGACUCCGAACAACAUUCGGUAACCAACCAUAUAACUCAAAUAUGCAUAAAACAACGUCGAACCUUAAGUGUGCAGACCCUGCGGGUUCGAGAACUAUGUUGACAUGACUCGAGAGACUCCUCGGUCAAUAUCCAAUAGCGGGACCUGGAUGCCCAUAUUGGAUCCUACAUAUUCCACGAAGAUCUUAUCGUUUGAACCUCAGUGCCAAGGAUUCAUAUAAUCCUGUAUGUCAUUCCCUUUGUCCUUCGGUAUGUUACUUGCCCGAGAUUCGAUCGUCAGUAUCCGCAUACCUAUUUUAAUCUCGUUUACCGGCAAGUCUCUUUACUCGUUCCGUAAUACAAGAUCCCGCAACUUACACUAAGUCACAUUGCUUGCAAGGCUUGUGUGUGAUGUUGUAUUACCGAGUGGGCCCCGAGAUACCUCUCAGUCACACGGAGGGACAAAUCCCAGUCUUGAUCCCUACUAACUCAACGAACACCUUCGGAGAUACCUGUAGAGCAUCUUUAUAGUCACCGAGUUACGUUGCGACGUUUGAUACACACAAAGUAUUCCUCCGAUGUUAGUGAGUUAUAUGAUCUCAUGGUCAUAGGAACAAAUACUUGACACGUAGAAAAACAGUAGCAACAAAAUGACACGAUCAACAUGCUACGUCUAUUAGUUUGGGUCUAGUCCAUCACGUGAUUCUCCUAAUCACGUGAUCCAGUUAUCAAGCAACAACACCUUGUUCAUAAUCAGAAGACACUGACUAUCUUUGAUCAACUGGCUAGCCAACUAGAGGCUUGCUAGGGACAGUGUUUUGUCUAUGUAUCCACACAUGUAAAUGAGUCUUCAUUCAAGACAAUUAUAGCAUGCAUAAUAAACGAUUAUCUUGAUACAGGAAUUAUAAUAAUAACUAUAUUUAUUAUUGCCUCUAGGGCAUAAUUCCAACAACGCCUGCCGCCGUAUUUUAGUUGCUUCUGUUGCCAUUUCACUCGCCUACCCUGCCGACAAGCAUUGUCGGUCUUCCACAGCCAAAGCUCCUCCCCGUUCGUUCCCUAUUUAAGUAGGUCAGCCCCCCUCAUUUUGACGAACUCGAAGCUUGCCCGACUGGUCAACCAAGUGCUCCAACAGCCAGAGCUCUUUUGUUCGAGUCCCCGCUGGAGUCAUGUCGCCCGAAUUGUUGCGUCUCUGUUUCAUUAUUUUUCUGGGUUCGAGUCCACUACAAUCCUAUUAUCUUCUCCAUAUUUUGUGCAUGACAUGCACUCGCUCUCAAUUCGUUGGCACCGGUAUUUCAUCAAUUUAUCGGGACCGGAAUGUUGUCAUGGCAUCAUUUCCGUUUUGCCGCCAUGGUUCCCUUUCAUUCGCCAUGACGACACAUGCUUCAUAUCCUUCUAGCUAGUGUUUUCAUAAAAUUGCAUGCAUGUUGCAUUCAUGGCAUAUUACCUGGUGUUGCACGUAUCUUUUAAUUGUAGCUCCAUUCAAAUGUUUCAUGUGUUAACCGACUAGAAUGACAUGUAGAAUCAUAUGCUCCACCUCUUGUCAUGUUUAAACAACAUUUAAUAUUACGUGUACCUAAAUAGGAGUAAACUAAAUAAUUCGUAUGUCGAGUUUCGUUAAUAUCCAACUCGUUGCAUAUCAAGCUUCACUUGAUGUGUAGUGUUUGAUUGUUGUGAAUUGUCAUGCCAUGCCUUGCAUAAUUGAAAUGGACAUACAUCACAUUAGGUCGUGCAUCAUAUCAUGCAUGCACCAUGGUGAAUAUCGUGUGUUUAUUCUUGUUUCCAGUUUGCUUCUUCUCGUUAGAGUUCCGCAAGCGUGUCGGAAUAUGAGGAUCCGUUCGACUACGUCGGUUCGUCUGCUUCACGGAUUCGUUCUUCUUCCAAGCGGGAUCUCAGGCAAGAUGACCAUUUUCCUAGAUACCAUUACUAUCAAUGUCAUAUGCUAGUUGUCUCAUUUCUUUCGUUAUGUCUCGUUGCCUACCACCUAUUAAAUGUCCCUCUCAAUAUUGCCAUGAAACCUUCAACCUUUCUACAACCUAGCAAAUCACUGAUCGGCUAUGUUACCGCUUGCUUAACCAUGUGUUAGCGUUGCUAGUUGCAGUCGUAGUUGCUUCCAUGUGAUAACAUGGGUUCCUUGUUAUAUCACCAUAUUAAUGCUAUUUGAAUUAAUGCACCUAUAUACUUGAUAAAUACUGGAAGGCUCGGGUUUCUAGCCUGGUGUUUUGUUUCAUCUUUGUCACCCUAGUUUCGGCUACCGGUGUUAUAUUCCAUAAUUGAGCGCUCCUAACACGAUCGGCGUUGUUAUCGGGACCCCCUUGAUAAUUCUUUUAGAUUAAGACUGGUCUGGCAAGGCCCAACUUUGGUACUACAUUUGCCUGAUAACCUAAUAAAUUGCAUAUGGACUUUCCGGACCCCGUGGAUAAUUAAUCAACAACCCGGGCCAGUGCUCCGCAUGAGUGUUGGUCCAAAACAGAGCCAAUUGCGGGGUCACCCGGGGAAACUCGGGGGAUGUCUAUCCGGCCACCGUACGUAGUGCUUAUCCGAUCGUGUCCUGAGAACGAGAUACGUGGCUCCUAUCGGGUUCGUCGACACGUCGGGAGGCCUUGCUGGAUUAGUUUUACCUUUUACGAAAUAUCUUGUGCAUCGAGAUUCCUGUGAUGCUUUGUGUUAUCUCAGAGUUGAGGUUUUCCACUAAGGAAUCCGAGGAGAUCACGAGUUUCGUGAUCAAGGUUUUCUAUGCGGCUUAUGGUAAUUUGUGAUGGAAUAGUUGGAGCAUCCCUGUAGGGUUAAAUCUUUCGGAAAGACGUGGCUGCGGUUAUGUGGUAAACUUGAAAACUUUGUUUGACAACCGGUUCUAGAUAAUUCGAAGUAAGCCUAAUUAAAACAUGCCAACUAUGUGCGUAACCAUGACUGUCUCUUCUCGUGAGUUCUGUAUCCGGAAGAGGACACGAUGGGGUUAUGUUUGUCGUAAGUAGGUGUUCAAGAUCAUUCAUUUGAUCAUCAUUAAUUCACGUCCGUUAUGCGUAGAUCAUCCCCCUCUUUUAUUUUUGUACUCGUAAGUUAACCACCUCAAAUAAAAGCUUAGUCGCUUGCUGCAGCCUCACCACUUAAGCAUACCUCACCUAUUAAGUUUUGUUAGUCUUGAUACCUUUGGAAAUGAGAUUGCUGAGUCCCUCUGGCUCACAGAUUACUACGACAUCAGUUGCAGGUAUAGGUAAAGCGAUACUCUGACGUGAGCGCGAUGAUUAUUAUAUUUGGAGUUUCUUCUUUUCUUCUUCAUCGAUCUAGGAUGGGUUCUAGACCGACAGCCUCGGAUAGCAAGGAUGGACGUCGUUCUUUUAUCGUUUGUUUUCAUCCAUAGUCGGACCUUGCUCUUCUUCAUGAUGAUUGAUUAUGUUGUUGUACUGAUGUGGACUUGAUGUAACUUGUGGCGAGUGUAAGCCAAUUCCAUAUAUUCAUCUCUACAGUACAUGUACAUGUACAUGUAACGAUAUCUAUUCUUGCAAAAUGAUGAGAUGCGCUUCUAUCUCUAUUGAGGCCCUCGUGUCAAAAUAAGGAUAGGAUCACAUCUUGAGCGUUACAUGUACCAUGUCCCAAAUUCAGUAAAAAUGUUGUACUUCGUUCUGUUUCAUGGGGUAUUUACUGAGAUCGUGUUCGAAGUUCAUGCAAGGAUGGAGAUGAUGGAACCUGAGUUUAGCACAAAAGGAAGUUCAUAGAUGGAUCUCCUAUUCGAAAUGAGGUUUAUUUUAAUAUUCUGAUGAAAGCCUCUAUUGUUUUAGUGGUCUCCCUGUUGUUAAAGUAGAAUAAUCAAGUGGUGAUUGUCUUUUACUACUUCACAUGGCUCUAGGCUCGCUAAACAUGUUUAAAUGAUCAAUGAUGUUGUGGUUUUCUUCAAGUUGACGUACAAAAACUUACGGUUUUAGGUAGUACAUUUGUAUUGCAGUGGAUCUCUACAUGUAAUUUUUUUGAUAUGCUCUUGCUGUUCAUGCGCUUGCUCGACUGGCAACGGUGACACCAUGUUAUGCAUGCGUUGACCACAACAUGCUCUCCUUCCAUUCCAUCUGGGAUGGCAACGUGCACGACAAAAAAAAACAUAGCGCAACAGAAGACAGAUUGAAUGCAAAGGAGCUCUGUGUCAAAGGUUGGCUCAGUGAAGGAGCUCGAAGGGCAUAUGCAACAAAGGCAGAGAGAGAAGCAUGUGGAAGAGAUAUUGAUGGCGUACUAGGAGGAGCAGAUGGUGAUGGAUGGAAAAAAGUGGACGCCCGACACGCAUGUGAGAACUAUGUGUUGUUGUUCAUGAAGCAGCACAGGGGGAGUGAGAGGCAAAGGAUAUGCUCGAGGUAAGGGUGUCACAUGGAUGGUGUUGUUGGGUCGGGAGAGCAGCGGCGUUAACAUUGGGAGAGAGAGUUGAUUUGGUGCAUGUGGGUAGGAGUAUAUUAUCGAAUUAGGUGUGUGUGAUAUUUUUCUUCCCGUUGCAAUGCACAUGCAUUGUUCACUAGUAUUAAUAGCAUGAAGAUGCAAAUUACAUCCCGUCCAACAAGAUAUCUCAAAGACAUCUAGGAUGCACACAUAAUGAAAAAAAGGAUAAAAAAGAAAGGUCUCGUCACAGUGAUCAACUCCUCUCAAAAGCAACACAUUAUAUAUAUCAUAAACUCACAUCUAUGAACUAUUCUACAUUCAAAAAUGAAAUAUAAAAAAGUGUUAAUUGUAUUUUCUUAUGUUUGACAAUUGCUUGGGCUUAUUAUUAGGGACGAUGAGGCGUAAAAUCUGCAAGGUCAGACAAAAUUCAAGUAUGGACAGUCUUGGAACUGCAGUGCCGUUCGGGGUAUUUUUGAGAAAGGGGUUUAAAAAAACAGUGGUAAUAGUCUUUAAAUUGAUUUUGUAUUAAAUUCUGAUCAUUUGUUUAACUAUUUUACUAACUUUAUUGUUGAUUAUUAACUGCUGCAUAGUAUGUUCCAUGCAACAUAAGGGAGAACUUCAACAAUUGAUAUGGUAACGUGUUGUAUUUUCAGGAUGAUGAGGAGCGCGAAUUCGAAUUGGAUCUUCGCAAAGGAAGAAUAAAUCCAUCGUAUAUGGUGAUGGAUGGGAGCAUUACAUUGCAGUGAAUAAUCUUAAAGGAGGACAACUCGUAGCUUUUACCUUAAUAGGGGAGGUGAAUAGGUUAAGGACAUUAUAUGUCCAAAGCGAUGAUGAUGACGAUGACCAAGAUGACAUCGUCAGCCAAGAUGACCAAGAUGACCAAGAUGACAUCGAUAGCCAAGAUGAAGAUGAGGAGAUCCAAGAUGAAGAUGAGGACAACCAAGAUGAAGAGGAGGACAUCGAAGAUGAAGAUGAUGGUCCUAUCCUUUCUGCAAUUUUAUCUCAAGGGAUGAAGAAGCUUACUCGGGAUGAUAUAUAGAGCUAGUGUGAAACAAAUGUUACCAUCCUCUUCGGCAUUCUUGGGGAAGCCCUUUGUGCACCGUCUAACAAAAAAAACAUGGUCAAAAAAGUUAUGGUGAGAUGUUUUAUAUUAUUUCAUCUCUUUUUGGUCAUAACCAAGUAUGGUGAGAUGUCUAACAUUCUGUGCUCUCUAUUUUUUCUUAAUGAUGGGGUCUUCAGAAGUUACCUUUGAAGAUGUUUUCCGGAGUGGACAGCCCCGCCGUCGGCACUGUUGGAGUAAUCCAUGGACCAAGAGGUCCUGCCACGAACGUCCAAGAUAAGACAGAAGAUGUCGGGCGCAUAUUAUUCCACAAGGCAGGCUGGCAGGAGUGUAAGGUUCUUUCAUUGCUAUAUUUAUCAUGACACUGUUGUGUAAUGGUUCUUUCAUUGCUAUAUGUAGUAGCUAGCAUCGAAUUGAAUGAAAAUCGUAAAAUAAAAAUAGUAAACACAAAAAUAAAAGGGGGAAACACAAUAUGGAAACCCCUAAGCCCUUCCUUUAAAAAAAAUCAGAGCCUCGCAGCUGCUGACGCGUGGCUGCCUUUUAGUCCCGGACGCUGUUACCAACCGGGACUAAAGGUCCUCCUGCCAGGCGUCCCACAACGGCCACGUGGAGCUCCUUUAGUCCCGCGUCGUAAGCCAACCGGGACUAAAAAGUGAUCGGCAUUAGUCCCGAUCGUUUUGUUUCGGUUGCAGAACGAGGACUAAAGGCCAUCUGGAAACGGGACUGAUGCCCUGUUUUCUACUAGUGUAUUGCUACAAGUGUUGAUGUCUUGGUGACGGUAGGUCUUGCAAGUAAUUGAAACACAUGUUGAGUAGAGGAUAAUCAGAGAUAUAAAGUUCUACCUCAGAUCUUGGGGUAUGUGAAAGUGAACUCGGUGGUUUCGGGUAAUUUUAAGAGCAUAUAUCUCAUCUACCAGGUAUCCUUUUUUGAGUAAUGAUAAGGGGAUACAUCUGAUCUAUCGGGAAUUAAUCAUUUUUUUCUCAUUAUUUACCUUGUUCUGUAAAUGUCUAAAUAGGUAAUGAUUAUUGAUACCUGAUGACAUGAGGGAGAGGGGGACAAUCACGUUUAGCUACUGCAAUAAGGUUGUGCAUACAAAUGUGCUACUCAUAUUCCACUGUUAGACGAGGUAGCCGUGAGAAGCAGGUUCAAAAUUCAGCUUCAUUUGAUAUACAUUUAGAUCAUCUUUCUGCAACACUAUCUCGAUAUAAAACAACAUCUUUUAGUAAUAAUAUAUAGUUUUUCUUUGGUUUGUUUAUUCUAUUAUACCAUAGAUAUCGUGAGAAACUGUUAAUCGCUUAUCUGUUCACUCAAAAUCGAGUGCCUAAUGGUUUGAUUAGUUUAUGUAUGUGAAAAUUUCUUUUAAUAAUUAUAGUUGCAAUUCCCUGUGAGGGCAUGUAUUCUUUUAUACUUUUAUAGUGAGUUUACAAUAGAUUGAAUAAACCAUUUAUAUUUCCUUUCCUCACCGUCGUCCUCUUAUGUGGUAAGGGGAGCCAGAAAGGUGAGGGAGGCGACCACAACGGCAGUGGCCUUGGGGUGCCGAAAAAGAGUGCACUGGGGGAUGGAAAGGGGCUCAUAUACGACGGCUGGGAGAGGUAACCUAGGAUUUCGUGGUGCCCUACUCUAUAGCUCAUGCUCGGAUGAUUGUACUAUCUGUUUUGACUGAUCAAUUGAGUUUAAUUCUGUAUGAGCUGGGUAGCAACUUGAGCUCAAAAGGUUCUCUACUCUAUCCAAAUAUUCUGCUAGAUUUGAUUAGAACUUGUGUUGAUUAAAACAUGCAACGAGAGGAUCUAGGCCAAACAAUGGCAUUCUUUCCGUAGAGUGUAGACAAAUUAUGCAGCUACGCCUAAACACCCAAUAGAACCAUCUGUCACAGUACCAAGAAAUAUUUCAUAAUUUAUCAUGAGAGCAAUCUUAAUAAUUUGUGAACAGUCCUUACGUAUGAAUGCUUGGGGCUGAUGUUCUAUGGUUGAUUUGGGGAUGUGUAAGAGCAGGGAAACAGCCACUACAUGAUACUCUCUUCAUUGGGAUGAGAUUAGCUUUUGAAGAAAAAUGAUAAAAUAAGAAUCGUGAUUUAUGUUGCUAUCAUGACAUGCUUUUUUGCUAUUCUUUGCUGCCACUAUUUGAUGUAUUAAUUAUGUGUUGUGUGAACCAUCUGGUUGGGUCGAGCUCAAGUGAUUCAGAUAGGAUAGAAUGGAUGUCGAGCUCAGGUGAUUGAGAUAGGAUAGAAUAGGCGUCGGAAAUGGCCCAUGACAUUCUAGAUGAAUUCUAGCCGUUGCUAGCAAGGCCUUCGGUAAUUUCAUUCAAAAGUUAUCCAACAUCAGUUUUCUCUAUUAUACAUUGACUAACUCUAUCCUAAACAGAUGCAGUGUGAGAAAAAAACAAUUUAAUUGGACCUGAACAAAUGUUUUUGUGUUUGGAUCAGGGGAAGAUCAGAAUGGUGUUUAUGUUCCAGCAAAGAAAGGGGCACACUGCCAUCUAACCGCACGUACUUGAUUCCCGUUGCGUUUUUCCUCGUUGUAAUAAUAAAAAGUAGUGCAAUCUUUUCCUAUACUUUUGCAUGUAUAGAAAAACUAGACGUAUGAUUGUCAAAUGAUGUAAUAAUAAUCAAGUGUCUUCACAUGUAAAGAAAGCAAAUCUACGCAAAACAAGUAGCAUCACACUUGGUUUUCCAGUCCUGCAUACCGAUACAAAUGUAGUAAUCGACUUCAACAGUUCGUCACUCUAAGUAAAUUAGGAACGAGAACCUAGCUCAUCAGCCAAUAAAGCAAUGGCAGACUCCGUACAUGUGGUCGAUGAGACUGCAAGUACAGCACCCAUAAGCACUAUAUAUGUCACAUAUCUUAUCUCUUAGCGACCAAGUGCCGCUAGCAAUGUGAUAUUGUCCAAGAUAUUUUCCACGUAUGGGAUCCUGGCAUACAAUCAUGUCAGCUGCAAUGGUUGGCAUGGCCUUCAAACUGACACUUAGAUUCCUUCCAGGAACACUUCCACUCGUCCUAACACCAACCAAGAAAGCCUUGUCCCCGAUGGUUGUUAGAGGAGUAACUCUUCCUCGGAUAAGAUGUGAUAUUCUGUAGACUUGCAUGCGCUUGGUGAAGAUGUAUUCGCUUGAAUCGAUGAGUAGGAUCUCUGAGUCGGAUUCUAUUAGUUCGAAAACGGUGUUGAGUGUGCCCGUGGGACAUAUGGCAAUCACCUUCGGUGCCGGAAACAAAGACGAACUGGAUCCAUAAAUAUUCUCGGGACGAGGUAGGUCGAUCUGUAAAAUACGUUGUUCGACGCUAGACCUAGGCUUGGGUUGUAACAUGUAAAUUUUUCCUUGUGAAGAUAUGUUGCUCUCGUUUGGGGAGAAGCUCCAGGCUGAUAAUCUCCAUUGCUUGUCCUUGGUGGUGGCAAACAGCACGCGUGCCGCAUCUUGAAGCACUAGGGUGAUCAUUGCGACCCCUUGGUCAGCGUUAACGGUCAAGGAGGCGGUCACCGUGCCCAGCGAGAAGUAAGCAUAUCCGUUGUUGGAAUACAAGUGGGAUGUUGACCCAAACAAGGUCAGCACCAGGGUAUAAGCGAUUGGAGGGAACUUUGCUACGUCUCCCGUGAAGGGUUGAAGGAGGCUUAUGAGGGCGUCUUGGUCGCGAUGUUGGCGCUGCAUGAGGAGGAGGCCAUCGACCGAGCAGAGGACGCGGUGGGGGAGGAGGAGAGGUACUGGUGGACGGACGAACACUCCGGUGUCGAGGUUGAGGAAACGUUUCCUGCCAUCUUCAAGGUGGAGUCUGUGGCCGGCCGGCAGCAUCAUCCACCGACGCGGGUGAAAGCGCGAGUCGGUGAUGCCGUGGCCGCGGGGUUGGAUAGUGCUGGACCUGGAGUGCGUGCUGACUGCACGGAAGCGGAUGUAGUCGAGCAGGUCUCCGGCCAGCACCCGCCAGCCGAUGAGCUCAAGCAAAUCCGCCGGCAUGGACGCCAGGGGAGACAUGUUGCCGGAGCAGGUGGCGGCGGCAGACGUGAUGGGCUCUGGAGGGCGCUCGCAGUUCCCUGCCGGCGACGACAUCAAUCGAUCGAUCCCAGAUCGCCGGUUAAUCAGAUCGAACGGAGAAUUUUCUUGACCUAGCACGGUGGCAAGACGUUUUUUAAGGAGAUCGCUCGGUGGCGAAACUAUUCGGGAUGUAUCGGCUCCGGUGUUGGGCCUAAGCCAUCGUAUCCACUCCCCUUUGUGGGGCUAACAUCCAGCCCAUCUUUCUGUAGGACGUGCGUGCGAUUGCUGAAUAAAAAUAAAUUAUUUAUCCUAUUUUGUAUUCUUUUGGUUUUGAAAAAAGAAAUAUAUAUUAAUAUAAUGAAGAUACAAAUUACACCACGUCUCACUUAAACCAUCAUCAUAGACAAAAUAAAAUANNNNNNNNNNNNNNNAAAUAAAAAAGGCUUCGUCACAGUGAUCAACUCCUCUCAGAAGCAACACUUAAACCAUCAUCAUAGACAACACCAAGAAAACAUUAAAAGGUCUCCAAAAGCGACACCUUCGAUAACGAAACAGUAUACAAACGUCAUUAUUGUCCGGUCCAAGAUCUUAGGGUUUCAUCUAGAAGAAAGUCUAAACUCUUAAAACAAUACCUUUAGCAAUACAAUUGCCACGCACAACCAAUGAAAAUCAGACCUUAGAUUUUUCAGCCUGCAAGUCAUGACGCGACACCCGAGGAACACAACCAAAAAAUAUAUAUCCUCCAGCACUACUAGGAAAAACCCUAACAGUAGCGCGAGUUAGAAGCAUAUUAGUAGCGCGGGCGGCCGCACUACUGCUACGACGCUACAUCUAAUUUUUAGGAGUAGUGUCGGCUACCCAGCGCUACAGCUAACUGGAUUAGCAGUAGCACGCUAUCGCAACAAGGGCUACUACUAUCCUGCAAUAGCACUAUCGAACUCUUAGAAGUCGUGCCACUACUAAACGGACGUAUUUCUUCUUUUAUAUUUGUAUUGUAUUUACACACUGUUAUACUAAUUAAUUACUAUACUAAUUAUUAAUUGUGCAAAAAAUAACAUUUAGAUUAAAAUGGAUGGAUGCAAGUGAUCAAUUUGGGUUAGAGGGAAACUAUGAUGUUGCGAAUGGCGACAUCAUAUUUUCCUCUAAUUCAACUUGAUCACUGGUAUCAAUCCACUUUAAUCUAAUAUCUGUCAUAUAACUUAUCUUCAUCUUAAUCAUCUAACAAAUCAUCAUCCUCUUAAUCAUCUAAGAACUCAUCAUCCUUUCAAUCAUCUAACAAUCAAUCAUCAUCUUAAUCAUCUAACAAUUUAUCAUCAUCUUGAUCAUCUAAUCAUUAGUUAAUAAUCACUAGUAGAAAACAGGGCUUUCGUCCUGAGCCCGAUUGAGCAAUAUUUUCGAUUGCUUUACGAACCAGAACUAAUUCGAACAUUUAGGAGUGGAUGGGUUGGUGUGGGACCUUUAAUCCCGGUUGGUGUCACCAAUUGGGAUUAAAGGGGUUGCGGCAGGAGCGACUGUAGGGGAACGUCGUAUGGGAAACAUUUUUUUCCCAUGCAGCUUGCAAGAAUCGUUAUAAUAAAUACAUAAUGAAUUAUGUUUUCCAGUAUAUUAUUCAGAGGAUUAAAAAGGGAUUAAGUCUAUGUUCUCAGUUUAUAAGCUAUGAUGGAAGGCUGCUAUUUGUCAAUGAUGUUUUAUCAUCAGACACAACCUUUGUUAUGAGUUGUUCACUUCUGUACAAGGUACCAAAAUGCUACCUGCAAAUGUUUAGGAAAAAAGAUUAAAAUUUUGACAUGUGCAAAGAAAAAAAACAAGUCAAACACCAAAUGUCACCCCAAUUUCCUCUUUUUCACAGACGAAAAACCGCCGCUCCGUUUCACCUGAAAAUUUUCAAGCAUGCUUGCCACACUAGCACAGACAUUUACAAAACAAAUCAGAUCUUUUUAAAACAUUUAGCAUAUUGAUUUGAUUUACUAUUGAUCCGAGAACAAAGGCUCCCAUGAGCCAAAACACGUGCCCUGUAGUCAUUGAUCUACUAGACAAGUAUAGAAGGCAUUGUUUUCGGAGAUAGAAAGAUCUCAAGAAAAAAAUCCUACUCCUCUGGCUGCUACUGAUCUCUAGACCCAAAGACAAAGAGGGAACGGGCAUUCUCAAUCUACAAACUUAGAAUACAUAUAUCCUAUUCAAAAUGAUGCAUAAGUUUAUUAACUACAUGGAUUUACCUGGGUUAAUCAUGUUUUGAUUUUAUUACCCCAAUUGUUUGAUCACCCUACAACCAUCGAAGUGCUCAUUCUGGUGGAGAGACUGUUUGAAGUUAAUGCCAAUCUACAGGGAAAUUGCUACCUAUGCCAAGGGAUGGAAAUUCAAUUGUUUUCUGGAAUGAUACUUGGGACAAUGUGCCAAAAGCUCAUUUUUGCCUCAUUUCCCCUCAUUUCUUUCGAUCUAACGGGUAUUUUUAAUUUGUACACCAAAAGGACUGUCACAAAGUACCAUCAUUAGCACUAGUGGAAAACGGGCCUUUGGCCGGGACCCUUUAGUCCCGGCCUGACUAAAGGCCCGGCCACGUCGCCCCAAUUCUCAAUGCCUCCCUCGAGGCUUUAGUCCCGGCCCGUAAGGAGCCUUUAGUCCCGGUUCGUGCCUCAAACCGGGACUAAAGGGCCACGCGGUGGGCAGCCCGCAUGUGCGCCACCUUUAGUCCCGGUUUGUGUCUCAAACCGGGACUAAAGUCCUGUGCCUAUAUAUAGCACAGCCCCCCUCUCCCCUCUUCCUUGCAUUUUUCUUGGAUGGAGGAUUGUGGGUGGGUGCUAGCUCUCCACUUUUUUUGAUGCACUAGAGGUGUUUGUUGAAAUGUGUGUUAGAGCGAUGCCGCUUUAGUUCUACUUAUUCUAAAAGGUUAGCAACUAUAUGAGAUGCAACUACGAUAUGAGAUGCCUGAGCCACGCUUAAACCUCUUCCUCUUUAUUUCUACUUAUUCUAAAAGGUUAGCAACUAUAUUUCCUCGUUUAGACCGUGCGGUACUAAUUUUUAGGAUCGUGAUUGUAUUUGAUAAACUUUCGUAUAACACAGAUGAGCCAUCCAUGGAUGUACGAUGAUCGACGCACAGCCGCUUACAGAGAAGGCGUGCAUUCUUUUCGAGACGCAGACGAUGCGAACAAGCAUGGUGGUGGCUAUAUGUUUUGUCCAUGUGUUGAACGUCGGAAUGAGAAGGAUUACACUUCCUCAAGAGUCAUUCAAAGCCACCUGCUUCGGUCCGGUUUUAUGUCGGGCUAUAAUGUUUGGACCAAGCACGGAGAAAGAGGGGUUAUGAUGGCAGACGACGAUGAUGACAACUAUCGAUCUAUGUUCCCUGAGUAUGCUGAUACCACAAUGGAAGACAGUGAAGAAGAAGAUCAGGAUGAAGAACGGGAACCAGAUGGGCCCGCUGAUGAUCUUGGUCGGGUCAUUUCUGAUGCACAGCGAGGUUGCAACACAAAAAAGGAGAGGUUGCAGUUCGAGCAGAUGUUACAGGACCACAACAAAUUGUUGUACCCAACUUGUGAAGAUGGCCAGAAGAAGCUGGGCAGCACACUGGAAUUGCUGAAGUGGAAGGUAGAGACCGGUGUGACUGACUUGUCAUUCGAAAAGUUGCUGGUACUGAUGAAGAAGAUGCUUCCAAGAAAGAACGAAUUGCCCGCCAGCACGUACGAAGCAAAGAAGCUUGUCUGCCCUCUAGGAUUAGACGUGCAGAAGAUACAUGCAUGCCCUAAUGACUGCAUCCUCUACCGCGGUGAGAAGUACGAGAAUAUGGAUAAAUGCCCGGUAUGCACUGCAUUGCGGUAUAAGAUCAGACAAGAUGACCCUGGUGAUAUUGAGGGCGAGCCACCCAGGAAGAGGGUUCCUGCCAAGGUGAUGUGGUAUGCUCCUAUAAUACCAUGGUGGAAACGUCUGUUCAGAAAUAAAGAUCAUGUGAAGUUGUUGCGAUGGCACAUGGAAGAUCGUAUGAAAGACGAUAAGUUGAGGCACACCGCUGAUGGUCGGCAGUGGAGAAAAAUCGAGAGAGAGUUCCCGAGAUUUGCAGCUGACGCAAGGAACUUAUGGUUAGGUCUGAGUACAGAUGGCAUGAAUCCUUUUGGGGAGCAGAGUUGCAGUCACAGCACCUGGCCCGUUAAUCUAUGUAUCUACAACCUUCCUCCUUGGUUGUGCAUGAAGCGGAAGUUCAUUAUGAUGCCAGUGCUUAUCCAAGGUCCAAAGCAACCCGGCAACGAUAUUGAUGUGUACCUAAGGCCAUUAGUUGAUGAACUUUUACAGCUGUGGGCCGAACCAGGUGUACGUGUGUGCUACGAGCACAAACAAGAGGAAUUUGACCUUUGAGCGUUGCUUUUCGUAACCAUCUAUGAUUGGCCUGCUCUUAGUAACAUUUCAGGACAGUCAAACAAGGGAUACAAUGCAUGCACACACUGUUUGGAUCAGACAGAAAGUAUAUAUCUGGACAAAUGUAGGAAGAAUGUGUAUCCGUACAAUCGUCGUUUUCUUCCACCCAAGCAUCCCUUAAAGAAAAAAGGCAAGCAUUUCAAUGGCAAGGCAGAACCCCGGGGGAAGCCUGUCAUCCGUACUGGUGCUGAAGUAUUUGAUAUGGUCAAAGAUUUAAAAGUAAUCUUUGGAAAGGGUCCUGGCAGCCUACCUGUUCCUAACGGCCCUGAUAAGCGCGUACCCAUGUGGAAGAAGAAAUCUAUAUUUUAGGAGCUACCCUACUGGGAAGUCCAUGAGGUCCGCUCGGCAAUCGACGUGAUGCACCUGACGAAGAAUCUCUGCGUGAAUAUUCUAGGCUUCCUGGGCUUGUAUGGGAAGUCAAAAGAUACACCGGAAGCACGGGAGGACCAGGAACGUCAUAAAGGAAGAGAUGGCAUGCAUCCAGGGCAGUUUCAAGGGCGUGCCAGCUAUGCUCUUACUAAGGAAGAGAAGGAAAUCUUCUUUGAAGUCCUUUUCAGUAUCAAGGUCCCGACUGGCUUCUCGUCGAAUAUAAAGGGAAUCAUAAAUAUGAAAGGCAAAAAAUUCCAAAACCUAAAGUCUCAUGACUGCCACGUGCUUAUGACGCAAUUGCUUCCGGUUGCAUUGAGGGGAAUUCUACCGGAAAAUGUUCGCCUGGCAAUUGUGAAGGUAUGUGCAUUCCUCAAUGCAAUUUCUCAGAAGGUAAUCGAUCGAGAAAGUAUAUUAGGGUUACAGAUUGAUGUGGUCCAAUGUCUGGUCAGCUUUGAGUUGUUGUUCCCGCCAUCCUUCUUGAAUAUAAUGACACACCUCCUAGUUCACCUAGUAGAAGAGAUUAGAACACACAAUAUGUUCCCCUUCGAGAGGUUCAUGGGAGUCUUAAAGAAAUAUGUUCGUAACCGUGCUAGGCCAGAAGGAAGCAUCUCCAAGGGCUAUGGAACAGAGGAGGUCAUUGAGUUUUGUGUGGACUUUCUUCCUGACCUUAAGCUGAUUGGUGUUCCUGAAUCUCGGUAUGAGGGUAGGCUGACAGGAAAAGGCACACUAGGAAGGAAAGCAAAAGUAUGUAUGGACGGGCAUUCUUUCUCUCAAGCACACUACACAGUUCUAAACAAUUCCACCGUGGUGGCUCCGUAUAUCGUGAGACACAAGAAUAUUCUACGCUCCGAAAACCCGGGGAAGGCUGACUCUUGGAUUAAAGGGGAACACAAGAAGACUUUCGGCAGUUGGUUGCAGACACAUCUCAUGAAUGACGAAACCGUUGGAGAUGAGCUGUACUGUUUGGCUAGGCCACCAUCUUCAACUAUAUGUACUUUCCAAGGGUAUGAGAUAAAUGGGAAUACAUUUUACACGGUUGCCCAAGAUAAAAAGAGCACCAACCAAAAUAGUGGUGUCCGCUUUGAUGCAACAGACGAGAAUGGGCACUGUUUGGAAACAUAUUACGGGUACAUAGAGGAGAUAUGGGAACUUGACUAUGGACCUACUUUUAAGAUCCCUUUGUUUCGGUGCAAAUGUGUGAAGCUGACAGGAGGC